rnacentral:lncRNA from 1 species
GGAUGGGUAGUCCGUCAAGGCGAUCGGACACGGCUUCAAUGCCAUCAGCUUUCUUGGCAAUAUCCUCAAGCCGCUGUUCCAAGAACCGGAUGGAAUCAGGAACUUCCACCAGGUAGAGCAUCUGCUCUUCGAUUCCCACAAGUCGCUCAUCAUGGGUCUUGCUAGACUGUUUCGCCACCGACAUCUUUCUGUCACGCACUGUCAACUAGCCAACCUGGCUCUGAUACCACUUGUCACAAUCGUAAUUCUUCAAACACGAUGUGAACGAUUGUGCGGCACUUGUUCUAGCUCGACGAACAAGUCAGCCGAUCAAAAUCCACAAAUCGCGGACAACUUUAACACAUGCUUCAACCUCCCCUCACGUUCUUGGAAAAUAUUUUUAGAAAACGUGAAAGAUGAUUAAAUUGAUUGAAAACAUUGUUAAAACAAGCAUUGAAGACUGUCAAUUGCAAUAAGAAAGCAUAGAUUGCAAAGAGUACGACAAGGCUUGGGCGGGGAUUCAACAGGUAUGCCUCCCCUAUAGUACAUUUUUAACAUUUUCAUCUCUGGUAGGCUUGCAUAUGAAAAUGCCGAAACGUCACACCCAAGCAUAUCGACUUGAAAUUUAAAGCAACUACCUAAACUACAUACAAGACAUAAAGACAAGAUAAAUUGGGGCUAAUCGGAGCAUACGGCCAUAGGUAAACACACCUUGGACAAGUAUGUCCGUUACACUAGGCCUCCAAUCACCCAAGUUUACCAAAGGAGGGGUAAAAAUAAAAAUUCCACCUAGACAACAUGGUUGUUAGGAUGACCAGUGGUCCUAACAACACGUGGCAGCAGCAGAAAGGGAAUAUAUAUAUAGGCGUUUUUUGCUAGGGCUGAUUAUCUUGGUUAUUAUGUAUUUUGAAUGAACGUUGUUCAUUGGGGAGAGAGCAGCCCUCUUACUUGGUUGAAGCUUAUGAUUCCAUAUUGAAUAUAUAUACACACAUAUAUCAGCUUCUCUCCAUUGUACUGUGUGUUUGUGAGUGUGCUGGAAAUAUUCUUUGUAUUUGUGUGGGUGUGGGUUGAAUCUUUUGCAGGUGAAACAAGAACCUACCAGGGGGGACCACUUUGGUAGGGCCGGGAGUUAGAGGAAAGAGAUAAAAGAAAGGAAGCUACAGAGGGAGGGGGUAUGGAACUUUGAGGAAGGAAAUCUACAUUACUCCUUGAGAGAGGGAAAGCAGAGGGUCCAAGUUCAUCUUUGAAUUGUUCUUGAGUCUUUUAUUUGGUUGCUAUUAGUUUGAGUAAUUUUUGCUUUGAAUCUGUAAUCGCGAUCAAUACUCUAUUGAUCCACGAAGAGUCUCAAUAAUUCGUGUAAGUUUUCAUAUUAUAUCAACAUAUACGAACACUGCUGUGGUGUUCUAUCAUAAUUCUGAGAUACUGAGCUUCGUUUAAGAUCCUUCACUGUGGCCAAACCGAGUUUGUGAGUUGAACCUUUCAUGUAUUUAUGAGAAAUGUUUCUCUAUCUAUUUGAAGUCUGUUUGAUGGAGCAUUUGGUUGGGAAGAGAUGACUAACUUUUAGUGGAAAGGCGAAGGACUGGUGAAGCCCUGAAGGGGUGUUGAAGUUGGCUAAAGUUUAUGUGUUGAAUUGAAUUUCUUUAAGAGAGUGGGUUUUUUUUUUUUUUUUUUGUAGCUUGAUUUUUAAAUUUGAAUUAUGUUUAUUAUACUAUAAUUAUUUAUAAACCCUAAACCCUAAUAGCAUUUUAGUAUCACGAAGUUGGAUUAUUUUGUUGCAGAUGGAAUUUGUGUCUAGAGCAUUGAGCAUCCUGGUUGCGUUUGGGAUGCCAAGUUUUUGGAAAAUGGAGAUAUUGUCACAGCUUGUUUAGAUGGAGUAGUACGUGUCUGGACGGCAGAACAGGAAAGAAUUGCUGAUCCCCAAGAAUUGGAGUUAUUUGCUUCAAGACUGUCUCAGUAUAAGUUGAAGAGGUGCCCCACAACAGCUGCCACACACACACACACACACUCACAAAGAGGAAGUUCCAAAAUCCUUUGGUACAUCUCUCUUUCUCUCUCUCUCUCUCUCUAACUUAUUUUGACUUUUUGAGGCAAAAGCAUGAUUUUGAGCAUAUCUAAAAUAAUGUCAGUAUAGAAUAUAUUCUGUUCUGAGUAUGAUUUUAGCGACUUAUGUACAUCUUUAAUUUAUUUGUUCAUACCUCAUGAUAAUGUGCACUUUUAUUCCUAUGUUGACUGUUGGUCUUCUAUUUGAUAAGUUGUCUCUAAUUUACUUGUGUUAGGAAGAGGGUUGGAGGAUUGAAAUUGGAAGAAUUACCUGGGAUGGAUGCUUUACAAAUUCCAGGUCUGGUUACACUAUUCCAUUUUAAUAAGAAGCCAAGAUGCUAUCCGCUUCUAUACCUUUUUCCUUUUACCCCUUAAUUUCAUGAAUCUUUGUUGCAAAGUGGAUGGGUGGCAAGGUUUUCUUUUUCUUGAUAUUUGUGAGAUUCUAGGCCAGCUCACACACCCUCGACUAAUCUCACGGGAUAAUCCGCUUGACCCUACAAACAUGGGUGUUAAGGAAACUCAUAGGAAAUUAAUUUACAGCUGCCACACACACUCACUCACAAAGAGGAAGUUCCAAAAUCCUUUUGUUCAUCUCUCUUUUUUUUUCUCUCUCUCUAGCUUAUUUUGACUUUUUGAGGCAGAAGCAUGAUUCUGAGCAUAUCUAAAAUAAUGUCAGUAUAGAAUAUAUUCUGUUCUGAGUAUGAUUUUGCCGGCCUGUGUUAUGUUUAACGCCUUUCUUUUUUGCUUCUAGGCUGUACUGGAGCUUGUCAUAAUCUUCCCAUGUUGCCUCAUGAGGAGGGAGACCUUGCCAUUUAAUCAAAACCUCACAGCUUCCUCUUUUAUUCUUCGAGUACCCAAAUAUUUCCUCCGGUAUAGAUUUACUCGUGAGUUUCAGUAACGUAAGGCAGCAUGUCUGUCUGUACAAGUUGAUGAUCACCAACCAUUUUUUUGAGUUGGGACACAUGAAACACUGGAUGGAUGGAAGCGGAUGCUGGCAACUCUAGCUUAUACGCAACCAGUAUGAUGCGUUCCACAAUCGUAUAAGGCCCAAAGAACUUGGGGGAUAGUUUCUCAUUUUUCUUUUGUCGUAAUGAGAUCUGUCUAUAGGGCCUAAUCUUCAGGAAGACCAUAUCGCCAACUGCAUACUCCACAUCAUGACGCUUCAAGUCUACGUUAUUUUUCAUCUUGUCUGUGCAACGAAUUAGUGUUCUUUUAGGACUCCCAGAAUUUCAACUCAUGCCUUGAGCUAUUCGUUUAAGGUAGUGUUUGGAGUGUCCCGGUCACCAUAAAACAUCAAUGGUGGUGGCAUACGUCCAUAGAUAGCCUGAAAUGGAGUGACCCCUACGGAUCUCUAAAAAGUAGUGUUGUACCAAUAUUCAGCCCAAUGUAUCCAUUUUGACCAUUCCUUAGGCCGUUCUCCACAAAAACAUCGCAGAUACGUCUCCACUCCCCUAUUAACCACCUCAGUUUUCCCAUCCGACUGAGGGUGAUAAGCGGUGCUUCGAUUUAAUCGGGUGCCUGCCAUUUUGAACAUUUCUUGCCAAAAGUUGCUCAAGAAUACCUUAUCUCGGUCGGACACUAUCGAUUUGGGAAAGCCAUGAAGUCGGACAAUCUCCUUAACAAAUAUAUUUGCUGAAUCUGUCCACCACUACAAAGAUGACUUCGAAACCAUUCGAUCUUGGUAAGCCCUCGAUAAAGUCCAUAGAUAUAUCGCUCCAAAUAUUGUUUGGACUGUCCAGGGACAGCAGCAGUCCGGGGAUAGGUAGGGAGUUGUUCUUCUGACAUAUUACACAUUCCUCACAAUACUUCUUAACAUCCGCCUUCAUUCCUUCCCAAUAUAGCUCACCAGUUGGUCGUUUGUAUGUGCAUAAAAAUCCAGAAUGGUCUCCAAGUACCGAAUCAUGGUAAGUAUGUAGGAUUGUGGGUAUCAAUGUAGAUGUUUUGGACAGCACAAACUUAUCCUUAUAUCUUAACAUACCUUGUCGGAUGGAGAAUUUACCCUCUGUUCCUUCUUCCAUUGCUUGUAGUUCUUCCAUUAUUUUGCUCAACUUUUCAUCCGCUUCGACUUCCUUUUUAAUCACCAGAAUGUCAACCAAUGUAGGAGCUGUUAUGCUACCGAGGUUAACUGUAGGAGGCAUCCAAGACAAGGCGUCUGCUGCUUUAUUCUCCAAGCCGGGUUUGUAGACCACCUCAAAUGAGUAUCCCGUUAGCUUCGCUACCCAUUUCUGAUACUGAAGCUGUAUCACUCUUUGUUGUAAUAAGAACUUCAAGGAUUUCUGAUCGGUCUUCACAAUAAAUUUUCUUUCCAACAGAUAUGGUCGCCAUCGUUGCACAGGCAAGAUUACUGCCAUUAAUUCCCUUUCAUAUACAGGCUUGGCCCUAUCUCUUAAGGCUAACGUAUGGCUAAAGUAUGCUAUGGGGCGCUUGGCUUGGACGAGUACGACUCCUACCCUAUAUCUCGAUGCAUCUGUUUCCAUUUCAAAGGUGGCAUUGAAAUCAGGCAACACCAAAACGGGCAGGGUCAUCAUGGCAUUCUGUAGUUGUUGGAGUGCCUCCUUAGACUCCUCAGUCCACUGGAAUCCCCCUUUCCUAAGUAGUUGAGUCAAUGGUGCGACAAUGAAGCCAUAGUGCUGAACGAACUUUCUUUAGUAACAGGUGAGGCCUAGUAAUCCUCGUACCUCUCUUAUAUUACUGGGUAUAGGCCAUUCCCUGAUUGCUCUGAUUUUCUCGGGGUUCACUUCAACUUCUUGUCCUGAAAUGAUAUGACCCAAAUAAUCAAUACGUUCUUGCGCGAAGCUGCACUUCUUCUGGUUUGCAUAUAACUCAUUCUUUCUCAGGAUUUCCAAUGCUAACCCAAUGUGCUUCAGAUGAUUUUCCAAGUUCUCACUGUAGAUUAGUAUGUCGUCGAAAAAUACUAAUAUGAACUUCUGCAAAAAUGGUUUAAAUAUUGAGUUCAUUAGAGCUUGGAAAGUGGAUGUGGCAUUAGUUAAGCCGAAUGCCAUAACCAUAAAUUCAUAGUGUCCAUCAUGUGUUCGAAAUGCUGUUUUUUCGAUGUCUUCUCCACACAUUUUGAUCUGAUGGAACCCCGCCUUUAAAUCAAUCUUUGAAAACCAGUUUGCUCCAUUUAAUUCAUCGAAAAGCUCCUCAACCACCAGAAUAGGGAAUUUUUAUCUUCAAAAAGUUCACCCAAAAUCAAUGAAUGAAUAACCAUGUUAAUUGACUGGUUCUUUUUUUUAUUUUAUUUUGACAUAAUUACAACUAAGAUGCACUUUUUUAUUGAAAAGAUACAAGUAAGAGGGUAAAUUUUGAGUUUUCUCACUAUAUAUGUUGCCAAAAAACCUGGUGUAAAGUGUAAGUAUUUUCUUAAUAAUUUCAUUUAAACCAUGCUCAAUUCUACGCAAUAUGAGUUUUGGUCCUUUAUUAUGAAAGUGCAUAUUUAGAUUUGGUUACGAAUGUUUUGUUUUAUGAAAAAAUCAUUUGUGACUAUUGUUUCAAUCUUUUCAAUUGAAACACGUGCACAUAUUCACGUGAAAUAUCUUAAUUCUAUUUAAUUUUUAAAUAUGCUUUAGCAUAUAAUAAACAAAUAUUAUACAAUAUUAAUGGUAAAAUUAUUAUUUAAAAAAGAAAAAGAAAUUCAUUGUUGUAGUAAUUAAAUAAUUGAAUUAAUGUAUUAAUAUUUGAUCCAAUAUUGUAAUAUAUAGAAUACGAUAAUUUUUUAUUCUAAUAUGUCAAUGUGAAAUCACAAGAAAUGAUGCAAUUUUUCACCAUUCGUUACUACUUUGAAUCAAUUAAAUCCCCUUUUGUGUGUUUUGUUUUCUUUUGAACUUUGGGAUUUCGUGACGUUUUUUUUUUCUAAUGUGUAACUGCAAGAGUUUAUUUUUUUUUCUUUUACACGUACAUUUUACAUGUAAGUUUGGAGGAAUCAAUGCACCAAUUUGAUGUGUGUGCAACCAUCUCCACUCUAAACAGAAUGCAUCGUAUCUCGAAGAUCAACUAGUCACAUCCUAUCAAUAUUAGUUACACAUAUUCGACAUAAGGUUUUAUUUUUUAAAAUAUAGAACUUUAUUUUGUAAACUAAAAAAUUGGAAAAAUCUUCUUUCCAAACAUUAAAAUGGACACUUACAAUAGAAAAGUCACAACUACGUUAGAUCACAAAAAGUAAUAUAAAUUUUUUUCGACAAUUUAAGAAUAAAAUAGAUGUAUAUAAUUUUUUUUCUCCACGAGCGCAUUUAAUAUAGUAGAGAUUUCAACGCUGAUUACAAAUUUAGUUUACAUCAUGUCAAGGUAAUAUUACUCUGUAUUUUUUUCCCUAAAAGAAGGUGUCCAUAAAUUUGUAACUUUUUGCUACUAAACCCAACUUUAAUUAGUGUUUAUGUAAUGUUUUAAAAUAUUUAUAAAAUAUAGUACAACUUUAGUAAUUUUUCAUCGGCAGGAAAUUAUCUAUUAAUAUAAGUCUAUUAGUGUCUAUUAGGAUAUUAUAUUUUCAAAUCUCGUCUUUUAUUUAGUUAUUUUGAUUAGUUGGAAUUAUCUAUUAAUUGAUUUUUUUUAUCUAAUUUUAAAUUUUAACCAAAGUAAUCAAUUCCGAUCACCAUCCCACUGUAAUGUUAUUAUUUUAAAAAUUAAACUUCAUUUUAUUUAUUGAUUAAAAUCUUCAAGUACAUAGCCUUCAAAGAAGAUUGGAUAUAACCAAAAUAAUGCUGCAUAUAUCAUUUAGAGUCUUGCCAUUCUUCAAAAGCAACGAUGUAUCCUUAGGCGGCUGUGCGAACUUAUCCUGACAGUCACCAAUAUUAGUCAUGGCACCAGAAGUUACAAUAUUGACACCAUUAAAGUCCCCAAGUGCCAAGUCCUUUUGGGCAUUUUCAAUGUCACCAAUAGCUUCAUCAUAGCUCUCAGCACAAGACGAAUAUCGUUGCUUAAGUUGAGGAUUGGUGGCGGUUUUUGCCAGUGAGUUGGCUAAAGUCAAAGAUUUUUCAGCAUUUGUAUGAGCAAGGUUUAAGGUGUAUACAGCCAAGCCUUUUAGAUUUGUAGUGCCCGCAGAUUUCAACACACUUGAACAAAAUUGUGGAUUUGAGGUUUUUGGACAGAUGGUGGAAACGACGUCAUUAGAUGAUGCCACAUUUGAAAUGAUGGUGAACGAAAGAACUCCAACGAGAGAGAUAAUAAUGAGACAAGAGUUAUUGGCCAUUUUAAUUUUUCUUUGUUGUUUCCCGUCCUUAUUGAUAUGAUUCAUUUGAUAAAUACAUAUAUAUAUAGAUGAAAUUUAGAGAAAUUGUUUGUUUUUCUUAUGGAGGAGAAAUGGCAGUUGUGAUUACAUAACUAAAUAACCCAUUCUAGUCUUUUGUUUGGUACUUUUAUCUUGAAAUAGCCCACCCAAAUCAAUUCAUGAAUAAUCACAUUAAUUGUCUUUUUUUUUUUUUACAUAAUUACAACUAAGAUGGGUUUAUUUUUAUUUUUAUUCAAAAGAUACGACUAAGAUGUUAAAUUUUGAAUUUUCUCAUCAAUCCAUUAGAGGUGACCUAUGCUCCAAUCUUUUCUUACCAACAAUUUAGGCCUUAUAAGUGUAUAGAAAAUUGAACAGUGAAUAGGAUAGUUAGGCUUUGUAAAACUUACAAGUUACAUAGUCCAAACUCUGAUGUCUCUUCCGUUCCUGUCCUGCUUUGAUUUUACCCCCUUCUUUUCUCAAAUACAUUUUUCUACAUUGUCGUUUCUUCUUCUCUAACUCAUUUUUUCCAAUUAUAUAACAUGUCCGUAUGUACCAGAAAUACAGUGAGCGGAAUUCAUGGAAGUUUUUCCCUGUUUCAAGUUCUAAGGUAUGUGCCUCCAGACAUCCCAGAAGUCAAUAUCCUAGUGCUUUCUGUAUAUAUAUUGAAGAAUUUUCGUUGUUUACUUUUCUGGCUGAAAAGGGGGGACACGAAACUUAUGUGACAGAAAUCAAAGGAUAACGUGUCUACAGUAAAUCGAAAUAAGAGUCUGGUUUUCAUUGAGUUCAACGUAUUCCUCAAACAGAAACACAGGGCCGUAUGCAUACUUCUACGACUACAGUAGUCAUCAUGCUAGAGGUAAACUAUUCCAUAAGUUCACUAUAAAUUGUGAAAUAAGAACUGUCUGAUACUUGUCAAAUAAGAAUUGCAUGCGUUAAUCAGACUAAUGUGUGGUAGAAUAUUACCUGAAUUUGCUAAGUUUGUCCUGGACAGUUGUCUAAUGUUAAUUCUUUCCCCAUUUCCUUUAUAGGUCCCUGAUAUGCUAUUGUGCUCCAUUUUUGCCAUUAACAAUUAUAAUGUGAAAAGCUAUCUCUUUGUUAAAAAUACCUAGAUGAUGGAUUAAUGUGGAGUGGCCGAUUAAAAUGUUCUGUCAUAUCACACCAGUGCCUUAACAUGAAAAUCCAAGUGCAUUACUAUACAGUUAUCCUUAUAUAUAGUUGAUAUUCAUAGUGUUCGUACUGUUUCUCUGUAGGAGUGUUAACAAUUUAGAUAUGAUAAUUUCUCUUAUUUGACUUUGUUCUCCGUUGCAUUUGCAUCUUGAUCAGCUAUGUUUAUCUUGAUUUGUUGAGCUUAUGUUAUUAUUGCAUCUAGGCAGAUGAAGUUGAAGUAGUGAUUGAUCCGAAGGACAUUGAACUGACUACUGCAAGAUCUGGGGGCGCAGGAGGUGUAACUUUACUUCAAAUAUUGCUUGCAAUUAGCUCUCUGAAUUUGUUCUCAUAAAACCAAAAAAAUGGUAGAAUAACCUUUCUAUUUAUUUCUCGUUGUCAAUAAUUAUGCAGGGCGAAAUGUCAACAAGGUGGAGACAGCAAUUGAUCUUUCCCCAAGCCGACAGGAAACCACAUUUUUUGCACUGAAGAAAGGACUCAACUUGAGAAUAAGAUUCGGGCUUUUCUAUUGCUACGAGCCAAACUAUGAGCAUCCAUUACAAUCAUAGCAUUUCUCACAUCAUCGUAUAAAUUACGUGAAUGUGCACCUCAUUCAUACAAUUUAUGUAUUUUUCUUUUUAUGAGUACAAAUUCGGGGUAGAGGGAUUUAAACCGAGACCUCUUGGUUCUAAGUACAUACAUACAGGCGUUAGUUGAGCUUGGUUGACAAUUUCUAUACUUUUUUAAGUAACAAAUAAUUGGAGAAAUUUUGUGGCUAUAUUUAUGAUUUUUCUCAAAGAACUUAAGGAUCUUUAUUUCCAUUUCUAUAUAUUGUGGGAAUUUUGCAGACAUUGAUAUGGGUGAAACAAAGAAAGUAAGCGAACAAACUAAUAUUGGACAGUUGGAGUUCAGCCCUGCACGACCCUUUGACAAAGCCCUUCCCUCACUUCUAGCCACCAUUGUCCAUUGUUCACACCUAACACAACCUAGUGGUAGCAUGUCACUUCCUCCUUGCCAGCCAGUUCACCCCAGCCUGUAGGUCAGUCAGCCUGUUAUAAAAGAAAAAAAUCAAUUUUUAUGUUUAUCCAUGAAAAAGGAAUGAAAAGGUUUAUCCAUGCAAGCUUCAAACAAAAGUCAAGGAUGUCGAUCCUUCCAGGGAGUCCAAAGUUCCCCCCUUAUUUUUCUCCAUUUACUUUGAUUUUCAAAAGCUUUUAGGACAGAAAAAGCAAUUUUUUGAGUGGGUGUGGGUAAUAGCUUGCUUAGCUUGCAUGUUUAGUGUAAACUUGGGGGUUCAAAUUUUGCCCAAAUUUCAAAAUUUUUCAGAAUUCUUUCCAUACAAUAAUGAGCAUUAUACCUUCUUAGCUUAAUUAGAUCUUGCAUAAAAAGCAUGAUUGGCAACCCUUGAGCACUGAGCUCUCGGUUUAUGAUGUGAAAUUCUGAAUUUUGAUGAGUAUAUGUGCUGAAAUUUGAGCAUAAGCUGCUGUCUUUUUGUUUUAAGCUCCUUUUAGCUAUUUCUUAUUGAGAUGUGAAUGCAUGAUUGAGAAAAUGGUGUGUGUGUUGUGAAUGCUUGAUUGCAUGUAUAAUAAAUAAGUGCAUGGAUACUUUUCUAGCUUUGUCUUCCUUUGUUGCUUUGUCGUGACUUACCUAUGACGCACUUAGUCCAAACCUAGCCUAGAUAGAGUAACAAAGGAUAGGAGGCACUCUUUAGAAACUGGGAUGGUUUUAACAAGUUUGUCUUGUCAAACAUGAGUUAGAAGCCUCUUGUCUAGCCACAGUGAACUAAAUCCCUUUAGAAAAGGGUCGACAUUAACAAAACUUAUUGUCACUUCGAAGGGAGCAAUCAAACUUAAUUAGUAACUAAAUGUAGAACCAUAGAAAGGUUAGCCCACCGGUUCUAGCAAGGCCUAGUUACCACAUUGCAUACCAAAGAAAGAAAAGAGAGACUUGACAAUGCAAAACAUAAAAACAGUAAGACAAUCAAGAGCUAUAAAAAAAAUCAAACAACAUAUCAAUUAUACAUUAGAAAAAGCCCAUAAAAAAUGGGGGAAAACUUCACUUUUGGCCUAACCAAAACCAGACUACCUACUCUUAGCGUUCUAAACAUAGCAUCGAGUUUGAUGAGGGCUUUGAAAAGAGGAGGAAUCCUCCCCGAUCCACAUUAGGGGGAAAACGAGGCUUGUUGUCACUCCGAAGGGAGCAGUCAAACUUAGAAACUAAGUUUAGAACCAUAGAAAGGUUAGCCCACCGGUUCUAGCAAGACCUUGUUACCACAUUGCAUACCAAAGAAACAAAAGAGAGACUUGCAAAUGCAAAACGUAAAAAGGUGAGACAAUCAAGAGCUAUAAAAAAACAAACAACACAUGCAAUAUACAUUAGAAAAAUCCCAUAAAAAAACAAAGAGCCAACUUGGUUCGGUCAGGUAGAAUGUGUUGAGUUCCCUAACUAUCAGAGCUUUUAGAAAAAUUCCAGGUAUCACUAUACCGUUUGAAGAAAUUCUACUAGAGCUAAAUAGCGAUCAAAUCGGUUACGGUAUUCUUCUACAUUCGUUUUCUGUUUGAUUGAGAAAAAUCUUCCAACCAAAGUUCCUUCUCGAAUUGAUCGAAACUGUACAAGCAUUCGUUCUUUCAGGGCAGCCCAAUUCUUAAAAACUUCCUCCAAUUCCAUCACCUGUGCACGUGCAAUUCGACUUGUCUUUCUUCUGCUAUAUUGUAUUGCAAUUGGUGGUCUAUCAUUACUCUCCCUCUCCAAAGACACCUUGUUCUCAAGGUGGGAAAUGAGGAAGCUUUUGUGUAAAAUCAUAACAAUUCUCCCAUGUAGCCUCAUGAGGUGGUAUUCCUUUCCAACUAACAAGCACUUCCCACUUCUUUGUUGCUGGAUUUUUAGGAUAGCCAAAAUUGUCUGCUGGUAGUAACUCUUGAAAUGUAGGAACAUCAUCAAUUCCAUAUAGUUCGGUAAAUGUCAUUCCUCCCUCCAUAGCUCGACAUUUUGUCAAGAAACCGUAAUCAGAUGGUGUCCAUGUCUCCAUCAUGUGUUACAGACUCACUCUAGUCUUUGUCAAACUCGGGUCACCCCUUAUAACAACAUUCUUUUCAUUUUGUAUGAAAGUUAAAGUGAGUUUCCGCCAAUCCACUUCAGUUACCCCAACGUGUGCAGCCAUUGCAUUCCAAGGAUGACAUCACGAUAGAACACUGAUGUAGUGUUUCUAUUAUAUUGACAAUUCAAACACAACUUACAACAUAAGCAAACCGUGAACCUCAGAAAAUGAGUCACGUUACAUAUAAUUCACAAACAUCAAACAAAGAAAACCUCCUAAUCCAAAAUUCCGAACAACAAAAUACUAAUAAGCAAACCAGAAUAUAGAACACCAAUCUUCUGCUUCCCCUGUCUUUCAAGGAGUAUUGCAGACCUUUUCCUUCACUCCGAAAACUCACUUUAACAAAGAGGCAGCCACAUUUUCAGGUACAGAAAAUAAAGUAGGUAGUAUAUAGGAAGGCUAACCAGAACUGAGUUGCAUAAGGUUUGUCUCCGCCUCUAGAGAUGUUAUAUCUUUUCCACCUUUCAAGUUUCUUGUGAAUUCGAUCAAUGACUGGUUGCCAAAAAGACUUUUGUCGAGGGUAGCCUCCCAAAGGGAGACCUAAAUAUAUAAUCGGAAGCUGAAUAAAAAGAGAAGAGUAUCAUCGACAAAUUGAAGCAAAGGGAGGUGGAUCAAGUCUUUGCCAACAAGGAAACCUUCAAACUGGCUGUUAAUAUGAAGCUUGUUUAUGAUUUCUCCUAAAACCUCACUUACUAGGAGGAAUAAAAAGGGGAGAGGGGGUCCCCUUGGCGGAUACCUCUAGAUGCUAUUAUCCUCUAGGCUUACCAUUGAUGAAGACUGAAUACUUUGGAUUUUUUAGGCAGCCCAUUAUCAAUGAUAUCCAUUUUGAACUAAACUUUUUCAAAGAUAAAUUUUUGUCUAAAAAGUUCCAAUUCACCCUAUCGAAGGCUUUUUCCAAGUCAAGUUUUAAAAUUCAUCCUUUUUUCCGUUUUUCCCUAUAAUCUUCCACGGCCUCGUUAGCAAUUAAUAUUGGGUCAAGAAUUUGCCUACCUUCAAUAAAGGCGCUUUGAGUGGAGCUUAUAAUUGCAUCCAUAACUUGUUUUAGACGUUCAGAUAAAACCUUUGCAACAACCUUGUAUGCUAACGUAGUAAGGCUGAUUGGACGGAAAUCCUUGACUAGAGUCACAUUCUCUUUUUUCUGCACUAAACAAAUGAAGUUUUCUUGGAUGCAAGCAUUUAAUCUUCCAUUUCUGUGGAAAUCAGACAUUAGUGAUUUGAAGAUAUCCUUGAAAAUAGACCAUUGGGUGAUUAGGAACUUCACUGUGAAGCCAUCCGGGCUCGGAGCUUUAUUGUUGCCAAGUGCCUUUACUGCCUUAAAGAUCUCCUCCACUGAAAAUUGGGUAACAAGAGCCUCAUUCUGAAUUGAGGAAACACAAGACCAAUUACUGUUAAUAGGGAUGAAUCUGUCCCCCGGAAUUCUGGUAUAAAGUGACUCAAAAAAUUCAGCAUAAGCCUUUCAAUGUCGCGGAAUGAAGUCGAGACAACCCCAUCAUCAUUUUUUAAUUCAGUUAUGAGGUUCCUUCUUUUUUCGCAUUUAGAAACCGGUGGAAGAAGCCCGUAUUCUCAUCACCCGAAGAAAGCCAAUUGAGUUUACUCUUCUGAAUAAAAUUACGCUCUUCGUUUUGAUAAAUACUAAGUAAUUCCGCUUGCAAAGCAGCUCUAGAAUUCAACUCUUCUUGAUUUAAUCCAAUCAACUCAGCAGAAUCAUAUUUUUCUAAUUUUGACAUCAAGGAUUUCUCUGUUUUUUUUUUACCUUAGCUUGCGCAGCAAUAUUCCAAGCUUUUACUGCCAAUUUAACUGAUCUCAACUGCUCAUGAAGAAUGAAACCAGCCCAUCCUGGAAGUUAGAGUUGCUCACUGUUUCAACAAUAAUCUGAUUAGAAUCACUAGACACCCCAGCUGUUACAAAACCGAAAAGGAGAGGGACCCCAAAGAAAAGAACCAGCCUCCAAGAAUCUGUUUUGGAGUUUGUUCGAUCUGUUCGUGAUGAUACCAAUCUGUUAUGAUCCUAUUGCACUUGCAACUUUUAGGGUAUUUUUCUUCCAUUUCUUUUCUACUUCCAAUUUCAUUUUCAAUUUCUGCAAAUUUUUUAGUUUUUCAUAUGUAUAUUGUUUUCCAAUGGUCAUUUGUUGUGUGGUGUCUUUCUUGUAAGUCAUUGGUUACUUUGUAAAGAGAAACACAUUAUGCACUAUGUCAUCGUUCUACUCUUUCUGCAACAUUUCCAUAAAGAAGCAAGAAAACAGCUAGCAGGCAGAUCAAACUUUCUUAAAUAUUCAAUUGGCCAUUUCGCCUUUCUGGAUUUAACAUUCUGCAUUUGUGUCGUUACCCUUAAAUCUCCUCACAUCUCUUUGUUCUUCCAACAAUCGUUAAGAAAAAUCCCUGUAAACCGAACCCCAUGUAUUCCCUUUUCUCCUCACUCGCCAGAAUUUUGCCCACUCUCCAAACAAAAUCAUUUCAGCCUUACUUUUGUUCACUACCCAUUUCCAAAAAUUUCAUUUCCCUCUGAAAAUCUUUGUUGAUGGCCAAACCUGUGGCUGGGAACCGUUCUCGAUCAUGUCCAGUGCUGAACCUCCCGAUGGACUGCAAGGAUCAAGGGUUAAGGUUGGUUUUUCUAUUUUUGUUGGUUAGAGUUCGUGUUCUGUUUUUUUUUUACUUUGAGUUAAAUCCUUUGUAUUUGAAGAAAUUAAAGUUAUGGGAUGUGAUGCAUGUUGGCAGGGAACUGAUUCCUUAAAAGUUGGUUAGUGUUCUUGUUCUGUUUUUUUUUUUUACCUUGAGUUAGUUACAUUGUUUUUUGUAGGGAGCUGAAUCCUUUCUUGGGACGUUUUGGCGAGCAUGGAUGCUGUUUAUUUAGUUGGACGCCCGCUGCAAAAUCUGUUUUGGAGUUUGUCCGAUCUGUUCGUGAUGAUACAAUCUGUUAUGAUCAUAUGCAUUUUGAAGUUUUGGGUAUUUUUCUUUGGUUCUUUUCUUCUUCCAAUUUCCGCUUAUUUUUAUUCUUUCUAUCUGUUAUUAUUUUCUAAUGGUCACUUGUUGUGCAAUAUCUUUCUUUUAAGUCAUUGGCUACUUGUUGUGAAAUGGUGUCACUUCUUAGGAACGUUUUGGCGAGCAUGGAUGCUGUUUAUUUUAGUUGGAUGCCUACUGCAAAAUCUGUUUUGGAGUUUGUUCGAUCUGUUCGUGAUGAUACCAAUCUGUUAUGAUCAUAUUGCAUUUUGAAGUUUUGGGUAUUUUCUCUUUGGUUCUUUUCUACUUCCAAUUUCAUUUUCAAUUUCUGCAAAUUUUUUAGUUUUUCAUAUGUAUAUUGUUUUCCAAUGGUCAUUUGUUGUGUGGUGUCUUUCUUGUAAGUCAUACUUUGUAAAGAGUUAUGCACUAUGUCAUCGUUCUACUCUUUCUGCAACAUUUCCAUAAAGAAGCAAGAAAACAGCUAGCAGGCAGAUCAAACUUCCUUAAAUAUUCAAUUGGCCAUUUCGCCUUUUUGGAUUUAACAUUCUGCAUUUGUGUCGUUACCCUUAAAUCUCUUCUCUUUGUUCUUCUCGUUAAGAAAAAUCCCUGUAAACCGAACCCCAUGUAUUACCUUUUCUCCUCACUCGCCAGAAUCUUGCCCACUCUCCAAAAACAAAAUCAUUUCAGCCUUACUUUUUUCACUACCCCAUUUCCAAAAAUUUCAUUUCCCUCUGAAAAUCUUUGUCGAUGGCCAAACCUGUGGCUGGGAACCGAAUGUUCUCGAUCAUGUCCAGUGCUGAACCUCCGAUGGACUGCAAGGAUCAAGGGUUAAGGUUGGUUUUUCUAUUUUGUUGGUUAGAGUUCGUGUUCUGUUUUUUUUUUAGUUUGAGUUAAAUCCUUUGUAUUUGAAGAAAUUAAAGUUAUGGGAUGUGAUGCAUGUUGGCAGGGAACUGAUUCCUUAAAAGUUGGUUAGUGUUCUUGUUCUGUUUUUUUUUUUUUUACCUUGAGUUAGUUACAUUGUUUUUUGUAGGGAGCUGAAUCCUUUCUUGGGAACGUUUUGGCGAGCAUGGAUGCUGUUUAUUUUAGUUGGACGCCCACUGCAAAAUCUGUUUUGGAGUUUGUCCGAUCUGUUCGUGAUGAUACCAAUCUGUUAUGAUCAUAUUGCAUUUUGAAGUUUUGGGUAUUUUUCUUUGGUUCUUUUCUACUUCCAAUUUCUGCUUAUUUUUUAUUCUUUCGUAUGUAUAUUAUUUUUUAAUGGUCACACGUUGAGCAAUGUCUUUCUUUUAAGUCAUUGGCUACUUUGUACAGAGAAGAACAAAGUGAAUGUUAUCGUUCUACUCUUUCUACCCCAUUUCUAUAAAGAAGCAAGAAAACACCUAACAGGCAUAUCAAUCUGCUUAAACAUUCAAUUGGCCAUUUAGUCUUUUGGGAUUUAACAUUGUGCCAUUCUUGUCGUUGCCCUUAAAUCUCCUCACAAACUCUUUGUUCUUCCAACAAUCAUUGAGAAAGAUCCCUAGAAUCGGAGCCCCAUGACUUUCCUUUUCUCCACGCCGCCCAAAUUUUGCCCACUCUCGAAACAAAAUCUUUCCAACCCUAUUUUUCUUUACAACCUAUUUCCAAAAAAUUCAUUUCGCUUUUUGGAAAAUCAUCGUCUAUGUCGAAACCUGCAUCUUGGAACUGAUUGUUCUCGAUCAAGUCCAGUGCUGAACCCCCGAAUGGACUGCAAGGAUCACGGGUGAAGGUUUAUUUCUUUCUUAUCGUUGGUUAGAGUUUUUGUUUUGUAUUGUACUGCCUUGACUUAAUUCCAUUAUUUUUGAAGAAUUUAAAGUUAUGGGUUUUGAUGAUCCUUUCUUAGGAACGUUUUGGCAAGACUGUACACUGCCUAUCUGAGUCGGAAUCCCACUGCAAUAUCCAUUUUGGAGCUUAUUCGAUCAAUUCAUGUUGAUACAAAUUUUUUAUAAUCAUAAUGCAUUUGGAAAUUUUGGGGUAUUGUUCUUCGUUCCAUUUUUUUUUCUACUUCCAAUUUCGUUUUCAAUUUCUGCAUAUUUUUUAUUCUUUCUUAUGUAUAUUGUUUUCUAAUGCUCAUAUGUGGUGCAAUGUCUUUCUUUUAAGUCAUUGGUUUUUUGGUGAAUAGAAAAACAAAGGGAACUAUGUCAUCGUUCUACUGUUUCUACGACAUUUCCAUAAAGAAGCAAGCCAGAUCAAACAUUCUGCCAUUCUUUUGGUUCCCUUAAAUAUCCUCACAACCUCUUUGUUCUUCCAACAAUCAUUAAGAAAAAUCCCUGUAAACCGAACCCAUGUCUUCCCUUUUCUCCCCACUAGCCGGAGUUUUUCCCACUCUCCACACAAAAUCCUCUCAACCUUAUUUUUCUUGACUACCCAUUUCCAAAAUUUUCAUUUCCUUGGAAAUUCUUUGUCGAUACCGAAACCUGCAGCUGGGAAUCGAUUGUUGUCGAUCAUGUCCCGGUGCUGAACCUCCCAAUGGACUGCAAGGAUCAACGGUUAAGGUUUAUUCUUUUGUUAUCGUUGGUUUGAGUUCUUGUUCUGUUUUUUUCUGCUUUGAUUUAAUUGCAUUGGUUUUGAAGAAUUUAACGUUAUGGGUUGUGAUGCAUGUUGAUAGCAAGCUGAAUCCUUUAUUAGGAAUGUUUUGGUGAGCAUGGAGUCAGUUUAUCCGAGUCGGAAUCCCACUGCAAAAUCUGUUUUGGGGCUUGUUCGAUCUGUUCAUCAUUAUACAAUUUGUUGAGAUCAUAUCGCUUUUAGAACUUUUGGGGUAUAUUUCUUCCUCCCAUUUCUUCUACUUCCAACUUCAUUUUUAUUUUAUGGAUUGAUCAUUCAAUUUCAGCAAACCCACUGGUUAUGUUGAAGAUAUAGUAUUACAUUUACCUCGUAAGUUUUUGGAUGAAUUGGUGAUUUAACAUGGUCUAGAGUGGAUAGUUUAGGAGGCUGUUAGGCCACCAUUGUUGUUUACCUAUAAUAGAAGAAAGAAAAAUAAGGCACGUUAGGAACCAACAACAGUUACUUAAAAAAGAUGACAGUUUUCUAAAACUGGAAGUUAAAUGGAUGAGAGGGAGGUGGGAAAGGGCAGGCAGUUUUUAGUAAAAGGAAGGGCCUGCAAUACUCCAUGAGAGAUAGGGGAAGCAGAGGGCUCACGAUCUUGUUCUGGUUUUAAUUGUAGUAUUUUGAAUUGUGUUUAUUUGUGUUUUGGAUUAGGAGGGUUUCUUUGCUUGUUGUUUGUAAUUUCUCUGUAAUUUUCUUUUUAUUGUAACUUUGAGUUUCAAAUGUCAAUAUAAUAGGGAACAGUACAUCAGUGUUCUAUCAAGGUUGUAUGUUCAAAAGUGAGUAGAUAGUUGAGGAGGUCCAAUGUUCAAAGUGAGUAGAUGGUUUAGGAGGGUCCUAUGUUCAAAAGUUUGCUGGUGUGUAUCUUUGUUGGCUCGACAUGUUUUUAAUUUAUGAUUGUUGUUGGUGGAGAGAGCGGAAGAUGCCGGGGACAGCUUGGAGAAGAUCAAGCGGCAGCUGGCCUCUGGGUCUGUGUCGGAAUUUGUUGCAGGGUCCCCUUCUAAAGCGAUCUGAAACAGUAAACUAACGCAUUGCAACUCUUUCUGUCUUUCCUUUUGUUUUGAAUUGAUGUUACUGCUUAAUUGCGCUGCCUUUAGGUCUUCCAUUUAAAUCGUUCUGACUGUUUUAGUGAUAUUUGAAGACUUAAUUAAAUCACCUAGAAGUACUUAUUAAGAUUGGACGUCGGGAUUGUGAUUUCAAGGAGAUUAGAAAUGUGAGAAAUGCCCAUGUUCGUGAUCUAACUUGUCGGCAUAUUUGUGUUUAUGAAUAUGGCCGUCGAUGUGAUAGUAUUCUCAGACUGUUUUGUAGUGCGCAUAUGCAGAAUUGUGGUCACAUUUGAUCAGCCUUCUAUUUUCUGCGUUUCUGUUCUUAGACAGCAUUUUUUUAUGGCAAUGAGCCUUCAUUGUAGCAAAUCUGAUUUUCUCUAUUACAAUGUUUGCAGUUGAGGAAAUGGAAUGAGCGAUGGGUAGUUUUGGACCCAACAACAGGGAAAAUGGAGUAACCAUACGUCCCAUUUACACUGUUUUUGGUCCUUCCUUGCUUGGUUCAAUGUAGUAAUAUGUUGGUGGAAACAGCUCAUUUCUAAUGCUGCUGCCGAUGGUGAUGGGGUCAAUGGACCUCUGCCAAGAGUGUUCAUAUCACAAAUUGUUGUGGAUUAGUUGAGUAAAUAAACUCAGGUGCGUUUCACCGAAUUCUCGAUAUGAAGAAAUCUGAAUAUAUUUUUUCCUUCUGAAAUUUGGCUACAAGCUGUAUCUUGGUGCUGCAGUAAGUGUAUUGUUAGCGAUGUAGUAGGCAUAAGGUGGGAAUAGGAUGCAUUUUGUGUUUUAUCCAUUUAAGUUUUUGGUUUAUGCAACAAAACCUUAGCUUGAAUUACAACUUCAUAUCAUUUUUCCUACUGCAUUCAGUACAUAAUCAGAAGAUACACUGAAUGUUCUUGCAUUGGGAAGAAGCAUGCUGCUUUGGCUGGUUCUCUGGGUUCCUUCACAUGGGAAAAGCCUUUGCAUUCAGAGUUUGAGCAAUUAGCAAGGCUUUUAAUCUCCCAUGACUCUGAAACUUAUGUUAUUUAGGUCACCAUAUUAUCGUGGAGAAUGAAAAAUUUCAUUUCUGAAUUGUGAUUUCACCAAGAAUUUGAAAACAAAAAUGCAUAUUGUUUUCUUUCUGAUUCUCUUUUAUUGCGUAUUAUUUUUUAUUGGUCAUUUACCUCCCACAGAUGACAUGAAUAGCGCCAAACAACUACAAAGAGAACUGCCAUACUCCUAUAAUUGCUGCUAACCUACCUAACUAAGAAUAUACGACAAUCUCGAAAAUGUGCCAAUGAGAGACAUCAUCAGAUCCAGAGAUCAAGUUUGCCAAGAACUACUCAUAGUAGAAUUUGCAAAUAUGUGGUGCAAACUGAGCCAAGAAUAGACAACUCCAACCUUUUUGGAAUAGACGUGGUUAUCAACCUUUUGACUCUCUUCUUCUUUUCUUUCCUGACUUGGAUUCACUGCCCUGAUCAUUGGAUGAAUUUAGUGACUUUCCCUUUGAGUUCUCCAUUGUUUUCCCAGAAGUUGAUGAAUGCUUCACAUCUCCACUUUCUUUUUCUUUUGCUUUUGAAGAUGUGAACUUAACCUUGGUGGAGAGAUUGGUAUUAUUAGACUUAUCGCCUGUUUUGGUAGACUUGCCUUUUGAAACAGGAGUUUUUGGGGUUUCUUGUUUGGACUUCCCCGUCUUCGAUACAUCUUGCUUGUUGGACUUUGCAACAGCGGCAGGUGUGGAUGUCUCAUCGUCCUUAGAUUUGCUAGUCUUGUUGGAUUCGGCAUCAUCAUUCUUCGACUUGCCAGCGAUUUUUGGACCUGUGCUACCAAGUUUACUUCCAAUUUCAAGAGUGCCUUGAUCCUUUGAUUUACUUCCAAUUUUUGGAGGCUGGUUUCAGCACAGGUGUGGUUUCCUUUUUAUCAUCAUCACCUGACAAUCUUUUCACGUUUUUUCCAGAAAUAGAUUUAGCUGAUCCCUUCUUUCUCUUGACCUCUGAUUGUUUUAAAGAACUCGACUCUUGCUGGUUCCAUCACCCUUCCUAACAGACUGCUUCAAUGUCUUAGUUUCAAAAUCACUUCUAGUGUCACUUUCCCUUUCUCCUGCAUCUUCAGCUGCAGCCUUAGCAUCAUCAGAAACUCCAGCAGGAACCUUCUCUUCAGCAUCUGAAUCGAGCUUUGCUCCUGAGUCAUCCAUUCCAUCCAAUGAUUUUUUUGAAACUUCUGCAGAUGAUGCCGCCCCCUCUUUAACUGUGUUGCCUUUCCUUUUUGCCUGUCCAAUCUUAUUUCCCUGUCCAGACUUAUUGUUACACCGAUCAGGAACACUUUCUCUAAGUGAAGGUGAAGCAACAUUUGCAGAUUCAAUCUCCAUAGCCUUGGCUGAGGAAGGCUUGGCAUCAGUCUCAUUUUCCAAGGGCAUGGAGGCUGUUUAUUUGAGUCGGAAGCCCACUGCAAAAUCUGUUUUGGAGUUUGUUCGAUCUGUUCAUGAUGAUACAAAUUUGUUAUGAUCAUAUUGCAUUUUGAAGUUUUGGGGUAUUUUUCUUCCAUUUCUUUUUCUUCUGCUUACGUUGUAUUCUUUCUUAUGUAUAUUAUUUUCUAAUGGUCUUGUUGUGCAAUGUCUUUCUUUUAAGUCAUUGGCUACUUUGUAAAGAGAAAAACAAAGUGAACUAUGUCAUCGUUCUACUCUUUCUACCCCAUUUCCGUAAAGAAGCAAGAAAACAGCUAUCAGGCAAAUCAAUCUACUUAAACAUUCAAUUGGCCAUUUAGUCUUUUGGGAUUUAACAUUCUGCCAUUCUUGUCGUUGCCCUUAAAUCUCCUCACAAUCUCUUUGUUAUUCCAACAAUCCUUAAGAAAAAUCCCUGUAAACCGAACCCCAUAUGUUCCCUUUUCUCCACAUCGGUCAUAAUUUUGUCCACUCUCCAAACAAUAUCCUUUCAACCUUAUUUUUCUUCACUACCCAUUUCCAAAAUUUUCAUUUCCCUUGGAAAAUCUUUGUCGAUGUCGAAACUUGCGGCUGGGAACCGAUAGUUCUCAAUCAUGUCCAGUGCUGUACCUCCCAAUGGACGGCAUGGAUCAAGGGUUAAGGUGGAUUUUUUUGUUAUCGUUGGUUAGAAUUCUUGUUCUGUUUUAGGACAUAAAUUCCAACACAAAGAAUGUUUAAGUGUUAGCUUUCUCUACUCAUAACCUACUCAAAUAUUAGAAAAAAGGACUUAACGACACAAAUUGCAUCCAAGUGUCCAGAUGCAACACUAUAGUGCCAAACAAACCUAACUAGUGUCCAAAAUGUGCCUAAGAUUUAAAGACAACCAAACGAUGCUUAACUGUGAGCUUUUCCAAUGCAUAAGCUACCAAAAAGUGAGAAAAAAAGGUCUGAACAACCUAAAAUCGCAACCAAGUGCCCAAAUGCAACUACUAUAGUGCCAAAUAAACCUAAGUAGUGUCCAAAAGGUGCCUAAGCUUUAAAGAAAACCAAAGAAUGCUUAAAUGUGAGCUUUCUAGACUCAUAACCAACUAAAAAGUUAGAAAAAAGAAUUUAACAACCCGGAAUGACAACCAAAUGCCAAGGUACAACAACUAUAGUGCCAAACCAAGGUGCGUAAGCUGUAAAGGAAACAAAAGAAUGCUUAAGUGUUAGCUUUCCCGACUCAUAACCUAACAAAAGUUAGAAAAAAGGACUUAACAACCCGAAAUUGCAACCAAGUGCCAAAGUGCAACAACUAUGGUGCCAAAGAAACCUUAUUAAUGUCCAAAAGGUUCCUAAGGUUUAAAGACAGCAAAAAAAAUGCUUAAGUGUGAGAUUUUCCAAAUCAUAACUUUAAAAAAUGUGAGAAAAAGGACUUAACGACCUGAAGUGGAAAUCAAGUGUCCAAGUGCAACAGCUAUAAUGCCAAACCAACCUAGGUAGUGUCCAAAAGGUGCCUACGUUGUAAAUGCAAUCAAAGAAUGCUUCAGUGUGAACUUUCUCUACUUAUAACCUACCAAAAUGUUAGAAAAAAGGACUUAACGACUCGAAUUGCAACCAAGUGCAACAAAUAUAGUGCCAAACUAACCUAACUAGUGUCCAAAAGGUGCAUAAGGCUUAAAAUCAACCACACAAUGCUUAACUGUGAGCUUUUCCAACUCAUAAGCUACGAAAAAAUGAGAAAAAAAUGACUUAACAACCCGAAAUGGCAACCAAGUGCCCAAAUUCAAUAACUAUAGUGUCAAACCAACCUAACUACUAUCCAAACGGUGUUAAGUUGUAAAGGCAACCAUUGAAUGCUUAAGUGUGAGCUUUCUUAACUCAUAAGCUACCAAAAAAUCACAAAAAAGGACUUGAUGAACAAAAAUUUCAACCAAGUGCGUAAGUUAAACAAAUAUGCUGUUAAAACAACCUAAUUAGUGUCUAAAAGGUGACUAAGGUUUAAAGACAACCAAAGAAUGCUUAAGUGUGAGCUUUCCCGACUCAUAACCUACCGAUAAGUCAGAAAAAAAUGAUUGAACGACUCGAAAUGGCAAGCAUGUGCCCAAGAGCAACAAAUAAAAUGUCAAACGUACCUAAGUAGUAUCCAAAAGUUGCGUAAGCUAUAAACGCAACCAAAUAAUAUUUAAGUGUGAGCUUUCUCGACUCAUAACAAACAAAAAUGUAAAAAAAAAAGACUUAACGACCCCAAUUGGCAACCAAGUGCCUAAGUGAAACAACUAUAGUGCGAAACAUACCUAAGUAGUGUCCAAAAAGUGCCUAAGCUGUAAAUGCAACCCAAGAACUCGUAAGUGUGAGCUUUGUCGACUCAUAUCCUACCAAAAUAUCUGAAAAAAUAACUUAACGACCCGAAAUGGCAACCAAGUGCGCAUGUGCAAUAAUUAUAGUGCCAAACAAACCUAAGUAGUUUAAAAAACGUGCCUAUUAUAUAAACACAACCAAAGAAUGCUUAAGUGUGAGCUUUCUCAACUCAAAAUCUACCAAAAUGUCAGAAAAAAGACUUAACGACCCAAAAUGAAAAUAAGUGCACAAAAGCAACAACUAUAGUGCCAGACCAACCCAAGUAGUGUCCAAAAGGUGCCUAAGGUUUAAAGACAAACCAAGAAUGUUUAACUGUGAGCAUUCCUGAUAUGGAUCAAGAAAUCAUGAUUGAAUCAAAUGAAGAAGUUGAGGAGAUGCAAUGCUUGGAAGUUGAAGAGUUAUUUUGGGCAACUCAAAAGUCAUAAAUUUAAAUGUUUAAGAAAUAAUGUUUAUGUGUUUUUAGUUAUUAUGUUAGUUGAAAGGUUAUCAAAUUAAAUGUUUUGACCUUUCAUUUCAUAUUUUAAUUAGUAUAAAUAGGGUUGUAAUUUUUCCACAUUUAAAAAGAAGAAUUUGGGAUGAAAGAAAUCUGAAAAUUCUAGAAUGUAGAAUUUUGUUCUUGUCUGUUGUGAUAGAAUGCACAAACAUUUGAAGCAUUCAAGUGAGAUUGAUCUACCUUACUUGUGGAGUGUUUUGAAGAUUAAGGAUUGAUGGGAGUUUCUAAUUUUGUUCGAUCCUUGGUUUCUUAGAUCAUCUAAGCAAUUUGUAUGUAGCCUAUCUUAGGGGUUGAAAUCAAAUUGGUUUUGCGGCUAGUGGGGUUGUGUUCUUUGAGUCUUGUUGUUUAACAUGAUUCUUAGAUCCAAUGCCUAGGGGUUUCUUAUCAAUUUCCAACACAUAACCUACCAAAAAGUGACCAAAAAGGACUUAAGGACCUUAAAUGGAAACCAAGUGUGCAAGUGCAUCAACUAUAGUGCCAACCAACCUAUGUAGUGUCCAAGAGGUGCUUAGGCUGUAAAGACUAUCAAACAAUGCUUAAGUGUGAGCUUUCUUAACUCAUAAACUACCAAAAAUUGAAAAACAAAGAAGGAAUUAACGACCAAAAAUGGUAAAUAAGACAAGAACUAUAGUGCUAAACCAACCUAAGUGGUGUGCAAAAGGCGUCUAUAGUGCAAAUCAUGUCAUUUUAAUUGAUCAAUUCAUAAGUUAGUCCUAGAAGUUUUAUGGUAUAGUGCUUGAUUUGGCAAUGCAUAGGUAAAGAAACCAUAGUGACUAAAGUUCACAAAUCAAAUGUAUAGUAUUGUGUUUGAAAUGACUUUAUAAGUGAAUAAAAACACUAGGAAAAAGAAAUUGAGUCAUAUAAGGGAUCAUCUAGCAAACAGGUUUUUGUCAAGUUCCAAAUGUAGUAACACUACAACAAAAAUUAUCUACUACGACAGUUGUUUAUAUCACAAAAUGGAGGGAGGAAAAAAAAUUAUCACAAAAGGAAAAAAAACGCACGGGAAAAGGCGAAACUUUUCGGAUAAUACUUUUCGCGACAGUUAUUUGACGUCAUAGUAUUGUAAUUGAAAAAAAAUUUAGAGGCCUAGAACCACAAAUGAAAGUCACGAAUGAACCAUCAUCAUUCUUCUUAAAUCGCCACUAAUCUUAAAAGUGCAAGCAUUGUAUAUAUGUUUAAUUUUUAAAAUAAAAAGAAAACAGUUCUAAAAAAGAAAAUGGUUAUCAAUUCCUAUCUGAUGAGUUGUGGUAAAAAUUAUAUCAAUAAAAUGAACAAAAAAAAAGAAGUGUAAGGAAGGAAAAGUUGAAUACCGUAGAACCCAACGAAUUUUGACCUAAUCGGCUUAACUCUCCUACAUUCUACAGGCUAUUGUUGCUUCGGCCGUGAGUGAAUAUUUUCCUACGCAAGUUCUGAUAUCGAAGGAACCCAACGCAUUCUGACCUAAUUGGCUUAACUCUUCUACUUUCAACUGGCUAUUGUUGCUUCGGCCAAGAGUGAAGAGUUACCUAUACAACUAUCGAUCCCGAAGGAACCCGACGCAUUCUGACCUAACCACUUUAACUCUCCUACUUUCUACAGAAAUUGAUGCUUUGGCCAAGAGUAAAAAGUUCCCUAUGUGAAUUCUGAUACGUAAAGAACUUGAUGCAUUCCAACCUAACCAGCUUAACUCUCCUACUUUCUACCGGUUAUUGUUGCUUCAGCCAAGAGUGAAGAGUUCUCUACGCAAGCUUUGAUUCUGAAGGAACCUGACGUAUUCUGACCUAACUAGCUUAACUAUCCAACUUUCUACAGGCUAUUGUUGCUUCAACCAAGAGUGAAGAGUUCCUUAUGCAAUUUAGGAACCCGAUGCAUUUUGACCUAACCGGCUUGACUUUCCUACUUUCUACGGCCUAUUGUGGCUUCGGCGAAGUGAAAAGUUCUUUACGCAAGUUCUGAACUCAAAGGAACCCGAUGGAUUUUGACCUAACCCGCUUAACUCUCCUACUUUCUACCGGCUAUAGUUACUACAACCAAAAGUGAAAAGUUCCCUACGCAAGUUUUGAUCCCGUAGGAACCCGAUGCAUUGCGACCUAAUCGACUUAUCUCUCUAACUUUCUAUGGGCUGUUAUUGCUUCAUCCAAGAGUGAAGAGUACCUAAUGCACGUUCAUGUCUCGAAGGAACCCGAUGCACUCUGACCUAAUCGAUUUAACUCUCCUACUUUCUAUGGGUUAUUAUGGCUUCGACAAAGAUUGAAGAGUUCUCCACACAAGUUCUGAUCUCGAAGGAACCCAACACAUUCUGAACUAACCAGCUUAACUCUCCUACAUGCUACGGGUUAUUAUGGCUUCGACCAAAGAGUGAAAAGUUCUCUACGCUAGUUUUGAUCACGAAGGAACCCGAUGCAUUUUUGCCUAACCGACUUAACUCUCGUACUUUCUAUGGGGUAUUGUGGCUUUAGCCGAGAGUGAAGAGUUCCCGAUAAAAGUUCUGAUUCGGAAGGAACCUGACACACUUUGAGCUUUUCGGCUUAACUCUCCUACAUUUUACGGGCUACUGUAGGUUCAGCCGAGAGUGAAGAGUUCACGAACAAGUUCUGAUUCUAAAAGAACCCGAUUCAUUUUAAUCAAACCAGCUUAACUCUUUUACUUUCUACGGGCUAUUGUGGCUUCGGCCGAGAGUGAAGAGUUCCUCACACAAGUUCUAAUCCCAAAGCAACUCGACGCAUUCUAACCUAAUCGGGUUAACUCUCCUACUUUCUACAUGUUAUUGUUGCUUCAACCAUAAGUGAAGAUUUCAUUAUGAAAGUUUUGAUCCGGACGGAACCCUACGCACUCUGAGCUAUCCGACUUAAUUCUCCUACAUUCUACAGGCUAUUGUUGCUUGGUCGAGAGUGAAGAGUUCACCAACAAGUUCUGAUCACGAAGGAACCAGACGCAUUCUAACCUGAUCGGCUUAACUCUCUUACUUUUUAUGGGCUAUUGUGGCUUCGGCCGUGAGUGAAGAGUUCCGGACACAAGUUCUGAUCUCAAAGGAACUCUAUACAUUCUGACCUAAUAUGCUUAACUCUUCUACUUUUUAUGGGCUAUUGUUGCUUCGACCAUGAGUGAAGAUUUUCCUACGCAAGUUCUAAUAUCGACAGAACCGAAUGCAUUUUGACCGAACUAGCUUAACUCUUCUACUUCCAACGACCUAUUGUUGCCUCGACCAAGAGUUAAGAGUUCUAUAUGCAAGUUCUUAUUCUGAAGGAACCCGAUGCAUUCUGACCCAACCGUCUUAACUCCCCUACUUUCUACGGGCUAUUGUGGCUUCGACAAAGAGUGAAGAGUUCUCUAAGCAAGUUCUGAUCCUAAAGGAACCCGACGCAUUCUGACCUAACCGAUUUAACUCUCCUACUUUCUACGGGCUAUUGUGGGUUUAGUCGAGAGUGAAGAGUUGUUGAUGAAAGUACUGAUCUCGAGGGAACUAGAUGCAUUUUAACCUAUUCGGCUUAACUCUCCUACUUUCUAUGGUCUAUUGUGGCUUCAACCGAGGGUGAAAAGUUCCCAACACAAGUUCUGAUCUGGAAGGAACCCGACGCAUUUUAACCUAUUUUGCUUAGCUCUCAUACUUUCUAUGGGCUAUUGUGGCUUCAGCUAAGAGGGAAAAGUUCCUGACACAAGUUAUGAUACCAAAGGAACUCGAUGCAUUCUAACCUAACCAGCUUAACUCUAUUACUUUCUACGAGCUAUUAUUGCUUUGACCAUGAGUGAAGAUUUUCCUAUGCAAGUUCUGAUAUCGAAAGAACCAAAUGCAUUCUGACCCAACUGGCUUAACUUUUCUACUUCCAACGGGCUAUUGUUGCUUCGGCCAAUAGUAAAGAGUUCCCUACGAAAAUUCUGAUUUCAAAGGAACUCGAUGCAUUCUGACCUAACCGUCUUAAUUCUCUUACUUUCUACAGGCUAUUUUUGCUUCCACCAAGAGUUAAGGGUUCCCUACGAAAGUAUUGGUCUCGAUGGAACCCAAUGAAUUAUGAUUUAACCACUUUAACUCUCCUACUUUCUAUAGUAUUGCUUCGGCCAAGAGGGAAGAGUUCCCUAUGCAAAUUCUGAUAUUGAAGGAACCUGACACAUUUUGACCUAACCAGCUUAACUCUCCUACUUUCUACAAGUUAUUGUUGCUUCGGCCAAGAAAGCAUUCCCUACGCAAAUUUUGAUCCUGAAGGAACCCGACGCAUUCCGACCUAACCGGCUUAACUCUCAACCUUUUUAUGGGCUAUUGUUGCUUCGACCAAGAGUUAAGAGUUCCCUAUGCAAGUUCUAAUAUCGAAGGAACCAAAUGCAUUUUGACCUAACUGGCUUAACUCUCCUACUUUCUACAGGCUAUUGUGGCUUUAGCCGAGAGUGAAGAGUUCCAUGAAAUUUCUGGUCAGGAAGGAACCCGAUGCAUUUUAACAUAUUCGGCUUAACUCUCCUACUUUCUAUGGGCUAUUGUGGCUUCAACUGAGAGUGAAGAGUUCCCGACACAAGUUCUGAUCCCAAAGGAACUUGAUGCAGUCUGACCUAUCCGAGUUAAUUCUCCUACUUCCUACGGGCUAUUGUUGCUUCGACCAUAAGUGAAGAUUUCCCUACGCAAGUUCUUAUAUCGAAAGAUCUAAACGCAUUCUCACCUAACUGGCUUAACUCUUUUACUUCCAACGGGUUAUUGAAGCUUCAGCCAAGAGUGAAGAGUUCCCUACGAAAAUUUUGAUCCUGAAGGAAAUCGACGCAUUUCUGACCUAAUUGGCUUAACUAUCCGACUUUGUACAGGCUCUUUUUGCUUCAGCCAAGAGUUAAGGGUUCCUUACGCAAGUAUGGAUCCCGAAGGAACCCGACACAUUCUGAUCUAACCGCUUUAACUCUCCUACUUUCUAUAUGAAAUUAUUUCUUUGGCCAGGAGGGAAGAGUUCCCUACGAAAAUUUUGAUACGAAGUGAACCCUGUAAUUUAGAAUUCAGAAACGUAAAUGUCUUAUUAUCAUUGAGUCAAAGCAAUGUUACAUAUUUAUAUAGAGAAUAAACUAAACCCUAGAGACUAUGUAAAAUUACAAUAAAGGACAUGUGUAUAUAUAUAUAUAUAUCAUAACACUCCCCCUCAAGCUGGAGCAAAUAUGUCGAUCAUGCCCAGCUUGUUGCACAGAUAGCUUAUCCUUGUUCCAUUUAAAGCUUUAGUUAGAAUAUCUCCCAAUUGUUCUCCGGUCUUCACAUAUCCUGUGGACACCAACCCAUCUUGGAUUUUCUCACGAAUGAAGUGACAAUCCACCUCAAUAUGUUUAGUUCGUUCAUGAAAUACUGGAUUAGAUGCAAUAUGAAGUGCAGCUUGAUUAUUACACCAUAAUUUAGCUGGCACGGUAAUACUGAAGCCUAUCUCAGAUAAUAGUUGGUGAAUCCAUACUAUUUCACACACAGAUUGUGCCAUAGCUCUAUAUUCUGACUCAGCACUCGAACGAGAAACAACAUUUUGUUUCUUACUCUUCCAUGAAACUAAGUUUCCACCUACAAAAACACAAUAUCCAGAAGUCGAUCUCCUAUCCUCACGAGACCCCGCCCAAUCAGCAUCAGAAAAACAUUCAACUCUCGUAUGUCCAUGAUCUUUGUAUAGGAUCCCACGUCCAGGAGCAGCUUUUAGAUAACACAAAAUCUGCUCUACUGCAGCCCAAUGAUCCACUGUAGGGGAAGACAUGAAUUGACUUACAACACUUACAGAAUAUGCAAUGUCUGGUCGAGUCACUGUUAAGUAGUUCAACUUCCCAACUAAUCUCCUAUAUCUCUCAGGAUCUUUACAUAAUUCUCCUUCUUUAACAAGUUGCUGAUUUGGCAUCAUUGGAGUGCCACUUGGUUUGGCGCCUAAUUUUCCUGUUUCAGACAACAAAUCAAGUACAUAUUUUCGUUGAGACAAAUAAAUACCUUUCUUGCUUCUCAUCACUUCAAUGCCCAAAAAAUAUUUCAAUUGGCCCAAAUCUUUUGUAUAAAACUGACCCUGAAGGAAAGUUUUGAGAGACGAAAUACCCAAUGCAUCAUUUCCAGUAAUAACAAUAUCAUCAACAUAUACAACUAGUAGAACUAUACCCUUCUCAGAUCGGCGAUAGAAAACUGAAUGAUCAGAUGUACUCUUCUUCAUACCAAAGCAUACAAGGGCUUGACUAAACUUACCAAACCACGCACGAGGACUCUGUUUCAAACCAUACAGAGAUUUUCGAAGGCGACAUACUUUAUCACUCUCCCCCUGAGCAACAAACCCUGGUGGUUGUUCCAUAUAAACUUCCUCUUGAAGAUCACCGUGAAGAAAAGCAUUCUUAAUGUCAAGUUGAUGCAACGACCAUUUAUUGGUAGCAGCCAUGGAAAGAAAUAGGCGAAUGGAAGUUAACUUGGCAACCGGAGAGAAUGUAUCUGAAUAAUCAGUGCCAUAGAUUUGAGCAUAACCUUUGGCAACAAGGCGAGCCUUUAAACGAGCCACUGUUCCAUCAGGAUUCAUCUUGACAGCAAACACCCAUUUACAACCAAUGGCCUUCUUUCCUGCAGGACGAGAUACCAAAUCCCAAGUACCAUUAUCAUCUAAAGCAGUCAUCUCCUCAAUCAUUGCAUUUUGCCAGCCAGGAUGAGACAAAGCUUCAUGAACAGAGUUAGGAAUAGAUGUGGACUCAAGAGACGUAAUAAACGCAUAUGUGGAGGGAGAUAACUGGUGAUAGGAAAUAAAGGAAGAAACGGGGUAAGUACACUUGCGUUUACCUUUGCGAAGAGCAAUGGAAGAUCAUCACUUGGCGCUGGAUCACAUGAUGAAGGAAGCAUUGAUGGAGGACAUGAGUCUGAAGGUUGUGGUGGAGGUCGUCGGGAGUAGACUUGAGAAAUCAACGGGCGGGAAGGAGGCACAUCAGUAGACAAGGAUGGUGUGGGAGAGGUAACCUCAUAUAUAAAAAGAUUGUCAUCCUCCCCCUGACACAAACUCGAUGGUGAUGAAGUAAAGGGUGUAUCUUCAAAAAAGACAACAUCAUGCGAAACCAGAUACCUUUUAAGGGUAGGACAAUAACAACGAUAACCCUUUUGAACACGUGAAUAACCCAAAAAGAUACACUUCAAGGAUUUGGGAUCUAACUUAGUAUGAUGAGGACGAACGUCACGAACAAAACAGACACAACCAAAUAUCUUAGGAGCAAUAGGAAAAUAAAUGCUUGGUAGGAAAAAGAACACGAUAGGGAAUCUCACCAUUAAGAACAGAGGAAGGCAUUCUAUUAAUCAAAAAACAAGCUGUAGAGACAGCAUCAACCCAAAAGAUUUUUGAAACAUGCAUUUGAAACGAUAAAGCACGGGCAGUUUCAAGUAAAUGCCUAUUUUUCCGCUCUGCAACACCAUUUUGAGAUGGAGUGUCAGCACAGGAAGAUUGAUGAAUAAUGCCAUUUUCACACAAGUAAGAGCCAAGAGAAUGAGAAAAAUAUUCACCCGCAUUAUCAGUACGCAAAGUUUUGAUAGAGACAUUAAAUUGGUUUUUUAUUUCAGUAUGAAAGGCACAAAAAUGAGAUAAUAACUCAGAACGAUUUUUCAUUAAAUAUAACCAAGUUAGACGAGAAUGAUCGUCAACAAAAGUAACAAAAUAACGAAAGCCUGUUUGAGAUACAACUGGACACGGACCCCAAAUAUCAGAAUGAACUAACUCAAAUGGAGCAAUUGCUCGUUUAUCGACUCGAGGACUCGAACUAAGACGAUGAAAUUUCGCAAAUUGACAUGAAUCACAAUUUAAAGAGGACAAAGACCUAAAUUCUGGAUAAAGUUUCUUCAACACGAACAAAGAUGGAUGACCUAAACGACAAUGGACUUCAAAAGGAGAGGGAACGACAGGACACGCCACAACUUGUGAUACUUGAUGAUCAAAGAGAUAAAGGCCUCCUGACUCAUAUCCUCUACCAAUAAUCUUCUUCGUCACACGAUCCUGAAACAAGCAAUAACCAGAAAAGAACAUGACAACACAAUUUAGGUCAUGAGUAAGUUGACUAGUAGAAAUUAAAUUAAAGGAUAAGUUAGGCAAAUGUAACACAGAAGAGAGAGAAAAGGAUGGGGUAAGGUGAAUAGUGCCAGAGCCAAGAACAGAAGAUGUGGAGCCAUCGGCCAAUGUAACAGAUGGGAAAGGGGCAGGGGACAACGGUCUAGAAAAUAGGUGAGAAUUACCUGUCAUAUGAGUUGUGGCACCAGAGUCUAUGACCCAUUUGGUAGAUGAUGUAAGAAGACACUUUAUAUUACCUGGGGCAACAGUGGAUGCAAUCGGAGUAGAGGAAGAUGACGCUUGUAAUGACUCUUGGUAUUUCUGAAACUUAGCAAACUCAUCUGCAGAAAUAGUAACUGACGCCUCUGGUAUAUCGCAUGUGGAGGCUAUCUGAGCAUGUUGAGAUCGUUGACUAUUCUUAUAUAGCAAUUUCCGACAAUCACGUUUCAUAUGGCCUGGCUUACGACAGUAGUUACAAACAAUCUCUACAGACUCUGGUUUUCGAUGAUCAGUACUAUUCCUCUGAGGUGCCCGAGGGUUAUUGUUCUUGCUAAAGAGAGCACUACUGGGUUGAGGAAUAGACACACUAGUCGGAGAGCUUUCAAUGCGAAGGACUCGAGUGAAGGCAUCAUCUAAUGAUGGAAUCUUGGAGUCAGAGAGAAUCUGUGUCUUUGCCAUUCCAAAUUCAGGUAAGAGUCCAUUCAGAAAAAUCAUAACAGCCAUCUUCUCUCGUUGAACUUGUUGAACUUUAACAUCAGGACUAAAAGGUAACAACAAGCCAAGCUCGGCAAUGAUCUUCUUAAGUCGCAUAAAGUAGCUGGUGACAGACUCAGCUUUCUGUUCCGCACGAAAAAAUUGCAUACAAACUUCAAACAUUCUAUGCACUUGCUCUUUACCUGAGUAUAGAAAAUCCAAAAAUUCCAAAAGUUCUUUAACAGACUCGCAGUGAUCAACCAAUCCAAUUAUCUCACUCUCAAUUGAAUUCUUGAUCUGAAGAUAUAAACGGGCAUCAUCACGAAGCCAAUCCUUCUUCUGCUUUGCAUCUUUUGGGGGAUCUUCAGUCAUAUGAUCAUCCAUAUCAGUACUUCUCAAAUAAAAUAAAAUUGUCCGACGCCAAUCGUAAUAAUUGGAUCCAUUUAACUUAUGUUCUGUGAUCUUAGAGGCCAAGGGAAUAACGUUGGAGACUACCAAAUUUUUUAUGUCGGCCAUAUUGAAGUCACACGUUGAUUGUAGUCCACUCGAACAAAGAGAAAAUCAAUCCAAACAGCUACAAAAUUGGAAAAAGACACAAAACCAAUCGUGUAACCUUCGGUUUUCGUCAAACCCGAAUGUUAUUUGAUAGACCCAAUGGUACAGACUGGCAGGAAACAAUGGUUCGAGACAAGCCCAGAAGACAGAAGACAAAUCGGACUUCUCACGCGCUCUCACGCGCCGGCGCGUGGGUGAAGGUGACGAUGAUUCCGGCGGCGCGUGACGUCACGCGCGGUGUUUUCCGGCGAUCGGCGAAGACAGACUUGGGCGGAAGGAGGUGGUGCUUCUUAUGGUAUGGGCGGUGUCGACAAAUGGUCACCGGAAGGUAACCCAAACUUCAAACCUAAUGGAGCGCUCUGAUACCAUGUAAUUUAGAAUUCAGAAACGUAAAUGUCUUAUUAUCAUUGAGUCAAAGCAAUGUUACAUAUUUAUAUAGAGAAUAAACUAAACCCUAGAGACUAUGUAAAAUUACAAUAAAGGACAUGUGUAUAUAUAUAUAUAUCAUAACAAACCCGACGCAUUCCGACCUAACCAGCUUAACUCUCCUACUUUCUACGGGCUAUUGUUGCUUCAGCCAAAAGUGAAGAGUUCCCUAAGCAAAUUUUGAUUCCGAAGAAACCGAUGCAUACCGACCUAACGGCUUAACUCCCCGACUUUCUAUGCGUUAUUGUUGCUUUGACUAAGAGUUAAGAGUUUCCUACGCAAGUUCUGAUUCUCGAGGAACCCGAUGCAUUCUAACAUAAAUGGCUUAACUCCCGUACUUUCUACGGGCUAUUGUGGCUUCGGCCGAGAGUGAAGAGUUGUCGAAGAAGUUAUGAUCCCAAAGAACCCGAUGCAUUUUAACCUAACCGGCUUAAUUCUCCUACUUUCUACGAGCUAUUGUGGCUUCAAUCGAGAGUCAAGAGUUCCCGACACAAGUUCUGAUCCCAAAGAUUUCCUUGUGCAAGUUCGGAUAUCUAAAGAACCAAACAUGCAUUCUGACCUAACUGGCUUAACUCUUCUACUUUCAACCGGCCAUUGUUGCUUCGACCAAGAGUGAAGAGUUCCCUACGAAAAUUUUGAACCGAAGGAACUCGACACAUUCUAAACUAAUUGGCUUAACUCUUCGACUUUCUACGGGCUAUUUUUGCUUCCACCAAGAGUUAAGAGUUCCCUACGCAAGUAUUGAUCCCGAAGGAACCCAUCGCAUUAUGAUUUAAUCGCUUCAACUCACCUUCUUUCUACAGGAAAUUGUUGCUUUCACCAAGAGUGAAGAGUUCCCUACGCAAAUACUAAUACAGAAGGAACCCGACGCAUUUCGACCUGACCAACUUAUCUUUCCUACUUUCUACAAGUUAUUGUGGCUUCGGUCGAGAGUGAAGAGUUUCCUACGAAAGUUUGAUCCUGAAAGAACCCAAUGCAUUAUGACUUAAUAGGCUUACCUCUCCUACUUUCUACCAGCUAUUGUAGCUUCGACCGUGAGUGAAGAGUUCUGAUGCAAGUUUUGAUCCCAAACGAACCCGACGCAUUCUAACCUAACAAGCUUAACUCUCCUACUUUCUACGGGCUAUUGUAGCUUCAGGCAAGAGUGAAAAGUUCUCUACACAAAGAACUUUUUGGGUAUUUUUCUUCCUUCCAUUUUUUUUCUACUUCCAAUUUCAUUUCCAAUUUCUUGAUUGAGCAUUCAAUUUCAGGAAAUGCACUGUAUACUGUCAAAAGCAAAUUUCAGUUGGCAAGUGGUUUGGAAUAUCAGAAAAAAAUACUUGUAUAGUUUAUAAGGUAAUUUUGAGGUGAUUUAAGAAAAAUUGGUUGUUCGGCAAUCAAUUUUUCUAAAUUACCUCGACUCUACCUUAAUAGAGGACAUGUGUGUCUUCUAGUUUCACAUUAGUUGGGUCUUUCUUUUCUAUUGCAUAUUAUUUUAUGUUGGUGAUUCGUUGUGCAAUGUGUUUGUUUUAAGUCAUUGGUUACUUUGUAAAGAGAAAUACAAAGUGAAUUAUUUCAUCGUGUACUCUUUCUACAACAUUUCCGUAAAUAAGCAAAAAACUGCAAACAGGGAGGUGAAACUUUCUUUAAAAUUCAAUUGGCCAUUUCUUCAUUUUUGAUUUAAUAUUUGUGUCAUGACCCUUAAAUCUCCUCACAAUCUCUUUGUUCUUCCAACAAUCAUUAAGAAAAAUCCCUCGAAUCUGAACCCCAUGUCUUUUCUUUUCUCCUCACCAGCUAGAAUUUUGCCCACUCUCCAAACAAAAUCUUUUCAACCUUAUUUUUCUUUACUACCCAUUUCCAAAAAUUUGAUUUCCCUCCUCGAAAAAUCUUCAUCCAUGCAGAAACCUGCGGCUGGGAGCUGAUUGUUCUUGAUCAAGUCCAGUGCUGAACCCCCAAAUGGAUUGCAAGGAUCAAAGGUUAAGGUUUAUUUUUUUGUUAUCGUUGGUUAGUUAUUUUCUUUCUUUUUUUUUCUGCUUUGAGUUAAUUCCAUUGUUUUUGAAGAAUUUAAAGUUGGGGUUGUUUGCUGAUUCUUUCUUAGGAACGUUUUUGGAAAACCUGGAGACUGCAAAUCUGAGACGGAAUUCUACGCAAAAUCCGUUUUGGAGCUUGUUCUAUCUGUUCAUGGUGAAUCAAGUCCGUUUUGUUAUAGCUUGCCACUUUCAUUUUGAAUUUUUGCAUAUUUUUUGUUCUUUUCGAUGUAUAUUGUUUUCUAAUGGGCAUUUAGUGUGCAAUGUCUUUCUUUUAAGUCAUUGGUUACUUUGUAAAGAGAGAAAAAAAGUGAACUAUGUCCUCGUUCUACUCUUUCUACAACAGUUCCAUAAAGAAGCAAGAAAACUGCUAAAAACAGGCGGAUCAAACUUCCCUUAAAACAUUCAAUUGACCAUUUAGUCUUUUGGGAUUUAACAUUUUUUCAUUCUUUUUGUUUCCCUUAAAUCUCUUCAUAAUCUUUUUGUUCUUCCAACAAUCAUUAAGAAAAAUCCCCGUUAAGUCGAACCCCAUGUGUUCCCUUUUCUCCUCACCGGCCAGAAUUUUGCCCACUCUACAAACAAAAUCAUUUCAACCUUAUUUUUCUUCACUACCCACUUCCAAAAUUUUCAUUUCCCUAUGAAAAUAUUUUCCGAUGCCGAAACUUGCGGUUGGGAACCGAUUAUUCUCUAUCAUGUCCAAUGUUGAACCUCCCAAUGGAUGGCAAGGAUCAAGAGUUAAGGUUGAUUUUUUUUGUGAUUGUUGGUUAGAGUUCUUGUUCUGUUUUUCUGUCUUGAUUUAAUUUCGUUGUUUUUGAAGAAUUUAAAGUUAUGGGUUGUGAUGAUCGUUCGUGCGUGUGCGAACAUGUUGAUUUUUUUUAGUGAUGAGAUUCUUCCAAUUUUAAAAUAAUAAUUUCGUUAUCUUGAUGUUUAAGCCAUUAAUGUUAUUUUGAGAUAAAAAUAGCGAACAAGUUGAUAUUUUUUAAUUUUGAAUUCAAUUAAGGUUAUUUUGAUACAAAAUCUAUGUUGAGAUUCUCAAAUUCUGAAAAAUAAUAAUUUGGUUAUUUUGAAAUUUAAAUUCAAUUGGGUUAUUUUGAAAUUAGUAAGAUUGAAUAAAGUUAUUAAAAUAUUGAAUCAAUUAGUUGAGUCCCAAGAUAUUAAAAAAAAAGUUGCAAUAUGGAUUGAUGUAUAUUUUUCAAGUAAAAAUUAAUUAAAAGCUGAUAAAUGACAUAAAUUAAUUACAACGUAGAAACUAAAUAAUUACAGUUGGAGAAGGUGGAUAUUUUGUAAAAUACCAUGCACGUGCAAAAAAUGUUAUUUGCUAAAAUUCAAAAGAAAAAAUAGUUUUUCCAUUUUUUAAAAUAACCCAUAGAAAAGUUGUUAUAUCUCUUAGGACAAAGAGUGUGGAUCUACAGGUCCAUAUUCGACUUAUUUUUUGUUGGUAAAAUUGCAUAAAACCGCAUUAUAUUGAAAUAAUGACACUCUUAAACCAAUAUUGAUAGAAAUUAUAAUUUAAUUAAUGUUUUUAAGUCAAAUGAACAUGAUUUUUACUCCUAAACAUAAUUAUUGUAAUUGUUUUUUAAUCUUAAUUAAUUUACACAUCUUUGUGCAUAUGUGUGCGUGCGCGUGUGCGUAUGGGUGAGUGUGCGUGUACGCUAGCGUGUGCAUGUGUAUGCGCGUGUCCGUGUGUGCGCAUGUGCACGUGUGUGUGUGUCUAUGUGUGCGUGCGUGCGUGUGUAUGUGUGUGCUCGUGUGCUUGUAUACGAACAAGUUGAUAUUUCUUAAUGUUGAGUUUCUUUCAAUUUUAAAAUAAUAAUUUAAUUAUCUUGAUAUUCAAGUCAUUAAUAUUAUUUUGAGAUAAAGAUAUCGAACAAGUUGAUAUUUUUUAAUUUUGAAAUUCAAUUAAGGUUAUUUUGAUACAAAAUCUAUCGUUGAGAUUCUCAAAUACUAUUAAAUUAUAAUUUUGUUAUUUUGAAAUUCAAAUUCAAUUUGGUUAUUUUGAAGUUAGUAAGAUUGAAAAAAAUUAUUAAAAUGUUGAUUCUCAAAUUAUAUAAAUUUGGUUACACUAGAAGAAAUUUGCCAUUCAAUAUCGGUUUAAAAUCGACAUUAAUGAUCUUUGGUGUCAGUUCGGAACGACAUUAAUGAUCUUUGGUGUCAGUUCGGAACUGACAUCUAUGCUAGCGUUAUUAAAGGCCUUUAAUGUCGUUUUUGUUUUGAUGUCGGUUUAAAAACGAUAUCAAAUGCAUCAGUAAUGUCGGUAUGGUCAUUGAUGUUGGUUUAAAACCGACAUUUUUUAUGGUGCUAUUGUUGACCUUUAGUGUCGGUUUGCCUUUGAUAUCGUUUUUAAACCGACAUUAAAGUCUUGUUUUUGGAUCUAUUUUUACAAAAAAAAUAUAUAAUUAUUGCAUUAUUGUUCAUUUUUUAUAAACUGACAUUAGAUACGUGUAAAUAAAUAUUUUUUUCUCACACCAACAAAUCAAUAAAAUUAAUAUUAUUUUAGGAACUACAAUAUUUUUCUUUUACAUUUGUAUAUAGAAAAUGAAAUCUUAAUAUUGCGUUUGUAUAUACAUUCUAUAAUAAUACAUGAAACUAGAUCCUAAUACAAGACUUAAAUAAGAAAUCUUAUACGCUUUCACAAUCUUCAACUUCAACAAUUGCUUCCAUCUACUUAGCUUAGCUUGGCUGGCUAUCUAAGACCAAAAUAUACUUUACAACCUGGGGAAGAUUAAAUCUAGAAUUUGCAAAAUUAGUACAUAUUAUUUAAAAUCAAACUAAACAGACUGCAAUCUAAAUGUGGAAAAUUAAAAAUUACCACAAAGUUUCAGUAGAGUAAAUAAUGUAGCAGCAACAAAGAAGGCAAUUGAAAUGGCAACCCAAAAGUGCUGCAAAAAUAAAGAAGAAAAUAAGCUUUGAUCAAACAACUCAUUAAGAAGAAGAAAAUAACCUAAUUUGGUUCUUCAAAGAUCUAUAAGAAAAAGAGGAAUACAACUAAAGAAUAAUUAUACCAUCCUCGACUCUUACUUCAAAGCAAAUUUUUGAAUGUUCAAUUUAGCAAUGUUAGUCUAUAGGCUUCUUACUCUUAAUUGUAUAAAUUUACCCAUCAAUAGCAACAUUGUUUUUAUAGAGAAAGUUAAACAAUGGAGAUGAUAAAUAAUCUUACAAACUCCUAUUGGAUCGUUUUUCUUUUCAAAUGAAAAUAGUUAAUUUAUUUCAUUUAUGGAAGGUGAAAAUCUCAAAUAUAUAGUAAAAGAACAUGGAAUAUAAGGAAGCCCAUAAAAAGAAGAGACUCCACUAGCUAGGUAUUGAUCAAAGAUAAAUAUAUGGAUAAAUAGAUGCAACCUACAAAUAUAUCAAAACAGACUAAUACUCAAACUAAACUAAAGAAAACAAAAACAUUUACUACUAAAAGAUAAAAUAAAACACAAUUCAAAACAAUUAAUUACCAAGAUUGAUCUCAAUCGAAAACCAAAAUGCAUCACAUUAUGAAGAUAUUGUGCUUCACAUAACACUCCAAAUAGCUAUACCAAAAUUACUUACUCUACAUUUUCCAUUUUGGCAAAUCCACCUACAAGAUUGGUAGUUACCAAGCUCAUUUCUAAGUCUUCUCUUCUUUCAUUUUUCUAACAAAAGAUAGUAUGAAUAAGGCUGCACAUUUGAAAAAAUAAAGACAAUUAAUAAUCAAUAAUGCUACCUAGCAGUCACAAGUUAACAAUCAAAUGAAGAAACCCAAGGAUUUUUGCAGCGGAAGCACGAUGAAGAUUGGUUGCCGUUCGCGAUCUAGGGUCAACAGAUUGAGAAGAGAAGAAAAUUAGAAACCAACUUGGAGAGAAAGAAAAGAAAAAUUGAUAGGGAAAGAGUAGAGUAAGAAAGAGAAAGUAAGAAGAGUAAAGUAAGAAAGAGAAAAGUAAGAAAGAGAGGAAAAUUUUAGUUUUUAAAACCUAACAAUUUUUUAAAAAGAAAUUAAAAAUGGGGGGUCAUUAAUGUCAGUUUUUACAAAAUACAAAAAAUUAAAAAAAUAAAAUCAUUAAUGUCGAUUUAAAAACGACAUUAAACCCUUAUCAUUAAUGUCGGUUUGAUCCACCUUUUCAAAAACGACAAUAAAGACAAUUUUUCAUUUUUUUUCACCUGACACUACAACCCAGAUUUGUUGUAGUGUUAUUAUGGGUUGAUGUAUCUUUUUCAGAUAAAAAAUGCUAUUUGCUAAAAUUCAAAAGAAAAAGUUGUUUUGUCAUUUUUUAAAAUGACCCAUAAAAACGUUAUUAUAUCUCUUAUGACAAAGAGUGUGGAUUUUACUAGUCCACAUUUGACUUGUUUUUUGUUGGUAAAAUUGGAUAAGAUCGCAUUAUAUUGAUAUAAUUACACUAAUGACACUCUUAAAUCAAUAUUAAUAGAAAUUAUAAUUUAAUUAAUGUUAUUAAGUUAAAUGAACAUAGUUUAAAAGUCAUUCUAAACACAAUUAAUGUAAUUGUUUUUUAAAUUUAAUUCAUUUUCACAUCUUUGUGCAUAUGUACGUGUGUGCGUGUGUGUGCGCAUAUGUGCGAGUGCACGUUUGCCCGUGUGGGUUGAUGUGCGUGUGCGUAUGUGUGUGUGCUUGUGUGCAUGUGUGUAUGUGUGUGUAGAUGUGUGUGCAUGCGCAUGUGCGCAUGUAUGUGGGUGUGUACGUAUGCGUGUGCGCGUGCGUGUGCUUGUGUGUGUGUGUGAAAGUGUGCGUGUGUCUGUGUGGGUGUGUGUGUGCUCGUGUGUGUUAGUGCGUAUGUGUCCGUGUGCAUGAGUGUGCAUGUGCGCGUGCGUGCAUGUGUGUGGGUGUGUGUGUGUGCAUGUGUGCAAGUGCACAUAUGUUUGUGUGGGUGGGUGUGCGUAUGUUCGUACAUGUAUGUGUGUGUGUGUGCGCAUGCGUGUCUGGAUGUGUGUGUGCGUUCAUGCGUGUGUUCGUGUGCGUGCAUGCGCAUGGGCGUGCUUGUGUGUGGAUGUAUAGCAUGUGCGUGUGCGAGUGCACGUGUGCCAAUGUGGGUGGGUGUACGUGUGCUUUGUGUGUAUGAGUGCACAUGUGUCCCGUGUGGGUGCGCGUGCGUGCAUGUGUGUCGGUGCGUGUGUGCAAGUGCGCAUGUGCCCGUGUGGGUCGGUGUGCGUGUGCGAGUGCAUGUGUGUGCACGUGUGUGUGUGUGCGUAUAUGUUCGUGUGUGUGCAUGUGCAUGUGAGCGCGCGCGCGUGUGUGCAUGCGCAUUUGUGCGCGUGUGUGUGCUUGUACGCGCAUGUGCCCGUGUAGGUGGGUGUGCGUGUGUGUGAGUGCGCAUGUGCCCGUAUGGAUGGACGUGCGUGUUUGCGUGCAUGUGUCUAUGGAUGUGUGCAUGCGUUCAUGCGUGUGUUCGUGUGUGUGCACGUGUGUGUGUGGGUGUGUGCGUGUGCGUGUGCAAGAAAAGGAAAAAACAAUGAUUAUUUUGAUGAUGCUACUCGAGAUUGUGUCUCUCGAAUCGUAAGUUUGCUUGCGAUUUACUUAUAUACAAUAUUUAAUCUUUUGUUAACUUAGUUAAUGAUGAAUACUUGUAUUGUUCUAUGAGAUGCAUUAGCUGAAACACAUAGAGAUGAGGACAUAUUGACUGAGUCAUUGGGCUCUAAGGAGCAUGGUGGACGUGUACGUGGCAUCGAUGGUUUUGUCUCUCAAUCACUAUAUUUCAAGACAGUGAAAGGGAAAGAGAAAAUUGCAAGUUCUCAAGUUGUAGAAGAUGAAUCAAAAAGCAAAAGUUACAAAAAGAGUCAUAAUCACUUGAGAUCGUCCAUCAGAAGUGUUAACAUAGAUCUCUAUGCCGAUGAGGAUUUGGGCAACACACCUAUGAACGAAGAAGUGAAGGUAAUUAACUUUGUCGUCACUUUUAAAAUUUUAAUGUUUAUAGGAUAAAUUGUUCUUAAUGAUGCUUUUAAUACUUGUAAAGUAAACACCGUGCAAAUUGGCUAUAGGAACAAUUAAUAAUAUUGUUGCAAUAGCAACCAUACUUGAUGAUAGCAAUGGUGGUCCCAAUGUUAAAAUCUUGGUGGACUUGCUCACAGGGGGAGAUUGUAGUUUACCUAUUCCAGUGAAGGGCAAGAUAGAGACUUUAAAUCAAGCAUUAGGUAAUAUUGUUGAAUGACCUCGUUGACUUCUUUAUGUGCUAUUGAAGCUUUGAUAUUUAUUUGUGAUUGUAUUUUACGUUUUGAUAUUAUUUUGUUUGUGCUUGGAGCAUUCAACCCCAAAUGAUGUUCUGUAUUCUUCAAAUUACAUAAAUGUUAAUGGAACCAUUAAGCUCUUAUAUGGACAUGUCGUGAACAAUAUGAAGAAUGUAGAUAUGGUUCGCAUCCUAAUGAACGAGCUAAUAUUCGGUAAAAACAAAUUCAUUUAUUUAGCUCGUUAGGACUUGCUCCAUUAUUGCGGCAUGGUAGAAAUAGGCUAUAUGUGCAUCCUAGCAUACAUUACGUAAGUAAACAUCUUUUACUCAUCUUUAUGUCCAAUACUAUAGCUAUAGUUAUUUUGUUCCUUUUUAACUAAGGUUGCUUUAACUUAGAUAUCUUUGGGAUGAAUGUGAUUGUGGAAGCAAGUUUUUUGUUAUGACCAAGCAAAAAUAACAUCACAUAUCAAGGAUCGUGAUCUCCGAUCCAGAAAUUUUGCCAACCAGUUAGAAGCGGCUACCUUGGAACAAAUAGUUCUAAUUUCGUAUAAUACUGGGUAAAUAAAUAAGAUUAACACAUUAUUAUGUUUUUCAUUGAGGUUAAAUGUAUACUCACAUUGAAGAUGUUUAUUGUAGUUUUUCAUUGGAUGUUGCAUGUCAUCGAUCUUCGAGAGAACUGUGUUUAUGUUUUGGACUCUCUUCAAAGUAAAGUUAACGAAGACAUCCAUGGAGUCAUAAAUGUGACUUAUGAUUUACUUCUUAUUUGACUUCAUUGUCUUCUAAUUCUAAUGUUUCCAAAUGUAUAGAGGAUUAAAAACAUGGCAAGCUAAGCAUGAUUUACAACAUUAUCGGUCAAAUCCGAAAUGGAAACCUAUAAAGGUAAUUUGCAUUGACACAUAAUUAUUUUCAAUGAAACAUAAGAAUAAUUUGUAUGUAAUUUAUAUACAUGCAGUGUCCUCGUCAAUUGGAUUCGGUUGGGUGUGGGUAUUAUGUCCAAAAGUAUAUACAUGAAAUCGUCGCAUAAUUCUAGUAUACUACCCCAUCACUAGCCUUGUAAGUUUCUACUUUCACUUUUUAUAUGUUUAAAUUACAUAAAUUAUCUAAACUUAUUCUUUCCAUACCUUUCUUUUUGCGUAGUUUAAUACAAAAAAAGUGCAUAUACGCAAGAGGAGAUUGACGAGAUUUGAAGCAAAAUAUGCAAGCUUUGUUAGCCGAUUUGUGUAAGCUUUACACUUUUUUUUUGUAGUUUAUAAGUUACUAGUACUAAUACUAAUUGUUUUAAUAUAUAAGCUACGAGAUUCUAGUACUACUUGUUGUACAUCUUUAAUUUUCAGGUUUCCUGCUUGUAGUAGUUUAUGAAUAGGUGUUGUAUUGUAGUGUUUUAGGUGUUGACUUUAGAGUGUAUUUGUUGUAGUACUAUGUGGAAAGUGUGUAUUAGUGGAGGAAUUUGUUGUACACAUACUUUUAAUACUUUACAUAUUAUUUACUUGAUUGAUAUGUGUAUUAUUGUAGUAUUAUGAAAGUGUGGAAAAGUGUAUUUUUGUAGUUUUCCAUGGAAGUGUGGAAGUGUAUGUGCUGGUUUUGUGGCCUCUUACCAUGUUGAAUUCUAUAGCUAGAAAUAGUAUUAGUUUGCCAUUGGAUUUGUGGAAGUGUAUGCUUGUUUUGUAGGUGUUGAUCUUUUGCCUUGCAGGUGAAAUAUGGAAGUAAUAUAUAAGGUUUGCCAUGGAGUGGUAGACAGCUAGCAAUCAUGCAACAAUUAUUUUCUAUACUUUUUUAAUAUUCGAUGACGAACAUUUCAUGUCGUAAUUCGUAACAAAUAAUGUCGAUUUCGACACCAUGAAAAAUAAUUAAAAUAAAUAUAUUAAAAAAACAAACAAGGCUUUUGAUGUCGGUUUAAAACGACAUUAAAGGAAAACCGACAGUAAGGUCAAUUACGCCAUAAAAAAUGUUGAUUUAAAACCGACAUCAAUGGCCAUUAAUGAUGCAUUUGAUGUCAUUUUUAAACUGACAUCAAAGCAAAAAUGACAUUAAAGGCCUUUAAUAACGCUAGCAUAGAUGUCAAUUCCGAACUGACACCAAAGGCCAUUAAUGUCGGCUCUAAACUGACAAUAAAGAGCAAAUUUCUUCUAGUGCUUGCUCCAUAUUAUAAGUAGAUUUUCAUUUAGCUAACUGCUAAAGUGAACUUAUGGACUUCCACUUAGGGUUCAGUCGUUAUAUUCUCGAUAGUCGAGCCCCAUAUUGUUUGCAAUGGAAUGAGUCCUCACAUUAUAACCCUUGAGCAGACGAACAUGAGAGCUUUUCCCUUCUCGUAACACGAAGAAGUGAAAGAUUAGCUCUAUUACUUGUCACCAGGGAGCAUUAUUUCAUGGGAGUAGAUGUAGAGACAAUAUUUGGAAAAGUUCUUUUCAACCUUUUAUGCUACGAGCCAAGUAUUUUCGUCAUUAGGUACAGAACCAUAUGUUGAUUCAAUAUUUAUAUGGGUGAUUGUUGCAAUGAGAUAAAAUGAUUAUUGAUGUGGAGGCAUGAGGUGCUCUUAAGGAUAAUACGACAACUAAAGUAAAUAAAUUGAUUUCACUUUGAAAUGUAAAUUUAUUAGGUCCUUUCCUAGUAUGUAAAGGGUAUUAAGGUUAUUACAUAUUUACUGUAAUUUGAAAUGUUCAUAUUUACUUUGAAAAUUAGUAUAAUGUAUGGUGAUAUAUUAUAAUAUAAAAUUUAUCUUUUAAUUGAACUUUAUUAUAUAAAUUUAAUUUUGUAUAUGAUUUAAAAUUAAUUUAUGAAAUAAUAAAUAUUUGAAUGAGUUCAAAUAUUAAUUUAAUAUGAAUUAAAUUUGUAAUAAAACUAUAGAUUAAAAUUUAAUACGUAUAUGAUACAAAUUCAAACAAUAGGUUAUGAGAGAAAUUCAUAUAUGAGUAUGAUUCAAAUCUAUAUUAAAUCAAAUAUAAAAUAUUUAAUUUAGAAAUUAAAUAAUUGAAGAAUUAAUUAAUAAUUUAGUUAAUGCGUUCAUGCGUGUGUUCGUGUGUGUGCAUGCGCAUGUAUGUGGGUGUGUACGUAUGCGUGUGCGCAUGCAUAUGCUUGUGUGUGCGUGUGAAAGUGCGCGUGUGUCUGUGUGGGUGUGUGUGUGCUCGUGUGUGUUAGUGUGUAUGUGUCCGUGUGGAUGAGUGUGCAUGUGCGCGUGCGUGCAUGUGUGUGGGUGUGUGUGUGUGCAUGUGUGCAAGUGCACAUAUGUUUGUUUGUGUGGGUGGGUGUGCGUAUGUUCGUACAUGUAUGUGUGUGUGUACGCGUGCGUGUCUUGAUGUGUGUGUGCGUUCAUGCGUGUGUUCGUGUGCGUGCAUGCGCAUGGACGUGCGUGUGUGUGGGUGUAUGCAUGUGCGUGUGCGAGUGCACGUGUGCCAAUGUGGGUGGGUGUACAUGUGCUUGUGUGUGUAUGAGUGCACAUGUGCCCAUGUGGGUGCGCGUGCGUGCAUGUGUGUCGGUGCGCAUGUGCAAGUGCGCAUGUGCCCGUGUGGGUGGGUGUGCGUGUGCGAGUGCAUGUGUGUGCACAUGUGUGUGCGUGCGUAUGGGUGGACGUGCGUGUGUGAGUGCGCAUGUGCCCGUAUGGGUGGACGUGCGUGUUUGCGUGCAUGUAAAGGGUAUUAAGGUUAUUACAUAUUAUUAAGGUUAAUACGACAACUAAAGUAAAUAAAUUGAUUUCACUUUGAAAUGUAAAUUUAUUAGGUCCCUUCCUAGUAUGUAAAGGGUAUUAAGGUUAUUACAUAUUGACUGUAAUUUGAAAUGUGAUUUAAAUGAAAUAUUCAUUUAAAUGUGAUUUAAAUUAAAUAUUAAUUAAAUGUGAUUUAAAUAAUUAUUAUAUAUUAACUAAUUAUUUUAGUGUUAAUCAAAUUUAAGUGGAAUUUUCAAAUAUACUAAUUAAAUUGAAACUAAUUAGCAUAAUAAUUAAAUUCUCUAUAGCACAUUUGAGUCUUUUUGUAAAUAGUUUCAAUUUUUUGCUAUAUUUUGUAAAUAGUUUUAACUUUUUUGCUAUUUGUGAUCAUUAAUUUAAAUUAAGAUAAUAACUUCCAUAUGUGGGUGUUAUUUAGAGAAUGUGGGAUGCUCCCGUAUUCCUAUAUCCAAGUGGCGUGAUUUCCAAUUAAAUAUUAAUUAGAUUAAUUUAAGAGUAAUUUACAUAAAUGUAGAAAAAUCCAAAAUAUUUAUGGUUCGUAUAACAAAAUAAGAAAAGUCCAUGAUGCGAGAUUAUUUUUUCACAAAUUCCAUAGACGUCCUUGCGAUUUAUAUCUUCGUUGUGAUUUAUUAAUAACGGGUCAUCUCGAUGCAAUUAAGGUCGAGAUCGAAUAACUAAAGGCAAAAAAAUUUCAUUUCGGAGCAUCUCAAUGUAAUGUAUGCCCAAGAUUAAAUAAAAUAAAGACAGAAUUCUUUCAUCCCGAGCCAUUUCAGUGCAAUUAAGGCCUGAGAUCGAAUAACUAAAGGCAGAAGUCUUUCAUAAUGUAGCAUCUUAGGACAAUGUAUGCUCGAGACUGAAUAAAAUAAAGGUAAAUUUGUUUCAUCCCAGGCCAUCUCUCGGUGCAAUUAAGGUUCAAGAUCGAAUAACUAAAGAUAGAAGUCGAUCGCUCCGGUUAUUGAGGUGUUGUUUCUCUUCAACAAUCAGGACUUAGUGUUAGUAAAUGGUGAAUGAAAAUUAUACUCAAUCUAGGCGAUAUAUCACUAAGCAUGUUAACUGCAUGUGAAUUGCUCACUAGACCUUCAUAUCGUGUGGCAACUAAGUCCUCUUGAGUACAAGUUUUCUUACUACUUGUCCAAGUGCAAGUGAAAUGGUAGGUUUACCGGGGUGAUCCCGGGUCGAACAUAAGGAAUUGAUUCAAGAUAUUAAUUUUAGGUAUUACUUAUCAUCUAGGCAGUAUAAAAGAAUUAAAGAAUAACGAAUGGUAUAAAAGAAAUACAAGAACAAACUACCACUAGAUAUCUACGCUUAGAGAUUCUAUAAAAGGGAAUAUGGAUGACAAAAUAGAAAUGGGAACUAACUUGUAUGCAAGAAAGAGCAAAGGAAUGUCUUUGUGUUAUAAUGCGAUUAAGUAACACGACAACUUUAAUAGGAUAUAUCUCGCUCAACUAACUUAUAAUUAAGAAGUGCUCCUCUCAGAGUCAUUAAACGUCACAUAUGGUCACCUCUCAGAAUCCAUAUGAUUAAGUGUGCUUAGGAGAGAUAUAUCUAGAAGAUUUCACUUAUAAAACGUAUAGAGCAUCGCAAUUAAGGACAACAACCUCUCGGUGCCUAAUGUUCACACUUUUUCAUCUCUCGGUAUACAAAUGAUGGAAGUUAUCUCACUAAGGUGGAGUUCGUCGCGAAACUCCCCCUUGCACGUAUUAGCCUUAUCCUUGCUACUUGCCCUCUCGAGUAGUUGGCGAUUGACGUUGGCUAAGCGAUGAGCAUAGCCUAACUAAUGCGACGAGAAUUAUAAACUGAACUUCUUAUCAAUAACUUAUCGCUAAAUUAAACUACUAAUAACACAUUGACAAGUGAAAAGUAAAGAGGUAUUGAAUUGAAAAGGUAUAAACAUGUAAUAUAUAAAAGAACCAAGCGCAUUUUGACCCAACUUGCUUAACUUUUCUACUUCCAACGGGCUAUUGUUGCUUCGGCCAAGAGUGAAGAGUUCCCUACGAAAAUUUUAAUCCUGAAGGAACUCGACGCAUUCUAACCUAAUUGGCUUAACUCUUCGACUUUCUACGAACUAUUUUUGCUUCCCCCAAGACUUAAAAGUUCCCUACGCAAGUAUUGAUCCCGAAGGAACCCAUCCCAUUCUGAUCUAAUCGCUUCAACUCACCUACUUUCUUCAGAAAAUUGUUGCUUUCGCCAAGAGUGAAGAGUUCCCUACGCAAAUACUAAUAUGGAAGGAACCCGAUGCAUUCCGACCUAACCACCUUAUCUUUCCUACUUUCUACGUGUUAUUGUGGCUUCGGUCGAGAGUGAAGAGUUUCCUACGAAAGUUUGAUUCUGAAGGAACCCGAUGCAUUAUGACUUAAUAGGCUUAACUCUCCUACUUUCUACCAGCUAUUGUGGCUUCGACCGUGAGUGAAAAGUUUUGAUGCAAGUUUUGAUCCCAAGCGAACCCAACGCAUUCUAACCUAACAAGCUUAACUCUCCUACUUUCUACGGGCUAUUGUAGCUUCAGGCAAGAGUGAAGAGUUCUCUACACAAGUUCUCUACUUUUUAUGGGCUUUUUAUUAUAAGUGUAAAAAAAUAGGUGUAUGAAUUGGAUUGAUGAACAUUUUUUUGAAUUUUUUUUAAGCUUAAAUGGAUACUUAUGGAACUUUCAAUAAUUCAUCAAUAUUUUUUAAACAAAACUUUUCAAUAGUUGAUGAUUAUUUUUUAAACAAAACUUUAGCAACUUUCAUUUAAAACCAAAGACAAUGGUAUUUUUGAACCGUUUUCGAAAGUUUAAGGGCAUCUUUCAACUUUUAAAAGGAGACUUUUUUCACAAACCACUAGGGGUAUUCUAACACUGACAACACUAACAACCCAGACUACCCAUCCCAAAUUUCGAGUAUUAUUACAAAAUAUGUUUUUUAACUUAUGGAUAUGUUGAAUUUUGAUAUUAUGAAAUUUUAGUAAUUGAUAUGUGUUGUAAACAAAUUUAAGUAUUUAAGUUAAUCAAGAAUACACUCCAUUUACAAGGAGUCCAAGUAGAUAUUAGUUGUGUUUGAAAAAUUAUGAAAAAAAAUCCUAUUUUUAAAAAAAGUACAAUCUAGUGAAAUGUUACAUAAACUUCGCAACAUAGUUAAUAAGAUAACACAAUAUUACAAGAUUUUGUUUACACAUAUACAUACAUAUACUGGUGGUUAAAGUAAGAUUAGAUUUGAAUGUAAAUUUAACCGAAAGUUAUGCCAUUCAACUAGAGUAAUAAAAUAACUAAAGAGCCUCAAUAAAUUACAACAAAUGUGAUGGUACUUUGACACCGGAAGCUCAACCAUUUGAAGGAAAGUUCCAAACAAUGGAUAAAAGGAAGCAUACUAAAACACAAGUAAAACAAGAGGAUUAUUUUUAUUGUCUUCCAUUAUCUGAGAGUGGAAUGCAAACAAAACAAUGCAAAAGCACCAUUCAAGACAUCUGACUAAUUUAUACAAAGUGUAAAUAAGACACCAAUACAAUGUUGAACAUUCUCCAAAACAAGAUGCAACAUACACAUCAUUCAUUUGGCUAUUCAACGGGAAUAUGUCACGUUUUUUGCCAUAAUUAUUCUUGUUUCAUGUUUGCCCACGAUGGCAGGACAAGACUUUCAGGUAAAGCAAAUCUUGGUUUUCCACUGUCAAAAGGCCUUGGCUGCUUGCAGGUAAUACUUAGUUUUCCAUUUUCAACCUUAAGGUUGCACUUUAUGUUUAAAUUGUCCAUCCGAACAUCCUUUUCUUUUUCUUUUUCUUCUUUCCUUCGGGUAAUAAACAAUAGUGACCUUGAAGAAUUAAGAGAAUUGGGGUUUGGCACCUUUGGCACUUUUUAUCAUGGAAAAUGGAGGGGAACUAAUGUUGCUUGAAAAUGAGUCGAUGAUAGGUGUUUUGUUGGGAAGCCUUCUAAACAAGAUCGCAAGGUUGUUCAUUUUAAGUAAUUGGCUUUUCUUUUCUUUUGUUAUUCAUGUAUUUUCUUUUUGUUCAUUGACUCAGAUCCUUUUUAUUGUUUUAUACUGUACCAAUGAGCAGAUUUUUAGAAUGAAGCAAUUAAGUUUGCUGAUUUGCACCACCCAAAUGUGGUACUUUUUAUGGUGUCGUGCAUGAUGGGCUUGGGAGAUCUAUGGCCACAAUAACAGAACAUAUGGCCAAUGGUUCGCUCAUAAGUGCUUUGUUGAAGAAUGAAAAGUAACAAUUGUUCUCAUUUGUUUGCUGUUUAAUUGGCUAUUCUUUUCUUUUGUUAUUUGUGUAUUUUUCUUUUUGUUCCUUGACUCAAGUCCUUUUUAUUGUUUUAUAUUGUACCAGUGAGAAGAUUUUUAGAAGUAACAGAAUUUAUGGCUAAUGGUUCGCUCAUAAAUGCUUUGUUGAAGAAUGAAAAGUAACAAUUGUUCUCACUUUUCAUAUGUUUAAUUUAAUUUGUUAGAAGUUAGUUGCAGUAUAAUGUAUCUUCACCCUUAUAUUAAGCAUAAAAUACAAUUGAUGCAGGAGUCGUGAAAAGCGGAAGCACCUCUUGAUUGCUAUGAAUGCGGCUUUUGGAAUGGAACACCUACACAAAAAGAAUAUUGUGCACUUUGAUUUGAAAAGUGAUAAUCUACUGGUCAAUCUUCGAGAUCCUCAUCACUCAAUAUCCAAGGUUUGUGUAUUGUUGAUAAUAGCAUAAUUAUCAUUGUAGUGCAUUUCAUUUAGUUAAACUCUUGAUUUGAUUUUUAAACAAACCAGGAGGAUAACCAAUUUUUAUAGUUAUUGUUGUAAUUAACACAAUUAAUUGUCAAAUAAAAACUGUAUUUGAGUAUUAACAAUUUUUUGUUUGACUAAUUAUAGUAUGUUUUAAGAAGAAAAUAAGCUUGGCUUGUCUUAGAUAUACGAGAGAUAAAGUAAUGUUUUUAACUAAAAAUGCCUUAAACCAUCAAUGGUCUCAACUCCUCCCAAGACCUCUCAAAACCCUUACUCUCUUCUAGUCACAUGUUCCAUUAAAAAAAAAUCUAGUGAGAUAUUUCACAACCUUGAUCACAUAAGACUACAAUCUCUAUUUCAAACCAAACUAACUCUAAAGGGCUCGACAAAAGUUGGAAAUCAAGGUAGCAAACUGCCAUCUCUAAAGGAUGCGAUGUGAUCUAAUUCCUUAAAUGCUCUCGUGCUAUAAAUGCAUGGGUGCAGUCCAAACACAAAGGAAGAUUGUCCCUAUAUAUAAUCAUUUUUUAUAGGAAGCAUAUCUGAUAUAAUCUAUAAUGUUAACUCCCUAAUGCAAAGUCCUUGCUUCUAAUUAUGCCACUCUAGAAACUUGACAUUCUUGGAAGUUUCUUCGUUUACCGUGAGGUGGAGUUGAUAGUAAUAAUAUUGAUGGUGUUGGUUGUGUAGAAACCAACCUAAACUGUAACGAACGAGACCACCUCAAAGUCAUGAAUCAUGGAUGUUGGAAUUUAAUCAGUUGCUUUCCUUGUUAUUAGUACAACUUCCCAUGCUAAUAAACCUUUUUGGUUGUUUGGAUGUGAUAAAUUCCAGUUUUAAGUAUCAAACUCCCCAUGAGUGUCGAGCAUUAUGAACUAGCUAGUGCAACAAUCUUGAUGACAUCAAUAUUAGAUCAAAGUUCUCUCUCUAUAUAUUUUUCUUUCUAUGUUUUGAUCUGAAUUUUGAAGUAUGUAGUAUGUGUUGGCUGAGGAUUCUAGAACUAACAGAUUUCUUUUUCUUUUUCUAGGUGCUGUUUAUGGUAUGAGGCCAUUAGAUUUAAGGUAAUACUAUCUCCCAUAAAUUCAACCAUGGCUCUCUAACUCUGUUAUGACAAUCUAAAGUUUCUCAUCAAAUUAUCAUGAAUAGUUAAUCUUUUUCCAGUUAACUAGUGUUUUAUCUAAGCAUCUUGAAACUAAUAUGAGAUUUCGGCACUGCCUUGCUAGGAAUUCUAUUAUCAUGGGAGAUUACCAAAGUUAUGUUUUAUUAGCAUGGGAUCAAAAUUCGCACUCAACCAACUUUGAAGUGAAAAAUAAAAUACUACAGAUUUUGUCCUUGUCGAAACAAAUUUCAUAAUCUUUUCUCAUAUUUUUAUAUUCUUCUUCAUGUCAUUCUAAAUGACUUUGAGGAGAGGAAAACUCAUAGAUUAUAGGAAAUUAUUCGUAUUCCUGAAUAUUUCUACGUUUGGUUCAAUUAUUCCAUUCUUAUUAUGUUAAGUUUUAGUUUUAAAAGCCCAAAGGUUUACAAAAAAGAAAAAAAAAAAGACUUGAAACAGUUUUUGAUGAUGAUAGAUGAGAAUGAAUUAUUGACUAAACUUGUAUCUGUUGUUGCAGGUGUUAGGACUAUUGAAAAUUAGAUAUAUUGGAUAAAAAACAACACUUGGAAGUACUGCCAUAUUUGGCCUUUUCUUAGGGGCUGGGAGUUUGAAUAUUGUGGAAAGUCAUAUUAAAUCACAAGGUCCUGUAUUACAAGUUAUGUUUAUGUGAUUAUUACCUUAAUCUUACUUUUAGCCAGCAAACAAGAACAUUUAUUGAAGUCGUGGAUCAUUGAUGCACAACUAGGUUCGACAUUAUGUUUGGCUUGCGUGCAUUCCAUUGAUACACUUCGUCUCGUGCAUUUUAUGAAUACUUUAUGCAUUCAUCAAUAGUAGGUAUCUUGAAAUCAUUAGAGCAAUAAACAUGUUGCAACCAGAAUUUGACCGCUUAUGUUAUGAUGCGAGCUAAAUUAUUUGUACAGGAUGGCCAAAUUCUUUUUAUUACCUUUCUAUGUAUAGUACCCGUCGUGUAUUUAAAUUCCAGAAAUGAGAAACAAGAGUUUCACGGAGAAAAUGAAUGCACUGGGACAUAGAAAAUGAAAAGCCAACCAAAGGAGUCCAAACUACUACAAGAGAUAAUUAGGCCAAAUAGACUAGUACAGAACGUGUUAGUGGUCGAGUCCCUCACAAAGGUGUUAUAUUAACGACCUCUCAAAACCUCUCUAAAAAGUCUAUUGUCUCUAUGUCACGUUUGACCUUGGAUUGGAGACCACCAAGGAUUGAACCUUUUAGAGACCCUCAAUCUCUCAUACCUCUAUCAUGUGGCUAUUGAAACCUUUAAUGGUCUUUAUAAAAUGUAUUUUUGUUGAUUAGGGAGGAUCGCUGUAAGGACUUUUGUUUUCUUUUUCCUCCCUAAUUUGGGAUAAUGUUGUUCUCUUUAACUCUUUUUACUCCAUUUGUUUCAUUUGAUUUUUCAAAUAUUGGUACAAGUUGGAUUUUGUUUCUCCCUUAUUAAACAUAAUUUGAUUUUUUUUUCUUCAAUUCUUGACCUAUACCUUUCUGGUUGCUUAAGCUCAUAUGUAAGUUUGUUUUUUGUUGUAUGAUUGAGUUUUUCUUUUACUGUACUUUUGAUGUCUAUGCCAAUGAGCGUUCAAGUCUACUUGUACCAUGAUUUGCAGGGUUGACAUGCAAAAAUUUCUUAAAUGCUAAGCAACCCCUCACAGUGAGUGAAAGAGUUGAGAGUGAAGGUGAAAAUACAUCUUUCACUUCUAAAUCAAGUACUUCGAUAUCCAUGUUUUCUUUUUUUUUUAUAGAAAAACCAACUCAAAAUUUGACAACUAAAAUUUUGGAAUUUUGACUAAUUCCUACAAACACAAUAUUCUUAUGCUUAAAAGAUCAACAAAACAUAGUAAAAAAAUGGAAGAAAGUAAGUUUAAUUUUUUUAAAAAAAGAAAUUAAAAUAAUUACUAAGCAGAUGAAAUCUUACCUUUCAAAAACAUAAUUAAGAGAGCUUACCUUUCAAUAUCAUGGUAAAAGAUAUAUGAAUGGAUGUGUUAUUAUUAUACUUUAGUCUCUUGAUGGUAUAAUUUAGUCAAUAAUUUGAUGUAGAAAAUUGAUAGUAAAUAGAGAUUUGUAGAAAUAGAGAAAAAAGAACAUAUUGUCUUUAACUAUAACUAUCCCACAAAGAAACACAGAAACAAGGUUUAUGAAGAAAACAAAAAUUCCACUUUAAUCACAUUUAUCCAUUUUUUUUACAAUAAACUCCAUUUUAGACUUUUGGCAGAUCCCCACACCUUCACCACAACAUUACAAAUUAGUAAUAAUAAUAAUAGAGAAAGAAAGAAAAAGCUAAAUUUUUUAUAAAAAAAAUUCUACCCAACCAAAACAUGCAAGAAGUUGGUUAUAUAAAGAGAGUGAUUUUAGAGGAAAGCUCCCAAGUACAAAAGACCACUGAAAAGAGUGGCUCUCAAUUUAUUUUGUUUUAAUUUAUGAAGUCGAAAGCUCAAAUAUGUGCUUAGUGAAAUAUAAAUAUAUAAAGUUUCAUAUAACACUUGUAAUUAAACUUAGGACAAUACAAACCAAACCAAGAUAACAAGUUCACAAAAUAAAAGUAGAAAGUCAUCAAAUCGACAACUGGUCCAACAUUAUCUUUUAAAAGAACCUUGCAAUACUCCAAUUUAAGUUUUACCUCUAUGGCAUCCACCCUAUGGAAUAUGAUUUGCAUAAGCUUUACCUUGUCUCGAUUCCAUAGUUCAGGGAUAUCUUGCAGUUCUUUCACGACUUUAGCACGCAAUUCAACCUCUGUUACACACUUUUCUUUAAGUCAAUUUGCAAUUGCUUUUAAUUGUCAUUUCUAACUUCCAUUGCAUUACUUAUCACAUCUAUCCCUUCAUAUUGUUGGCCACUCUUUUUUCUCUUACUUUCACUUCAAUAAUUUCUUCUUUCAUCUGAUCAACCUGCACGUAUUUCUAACAUCUUAUCUGGUGACAUAUCAAGUCAUUGGCUAUACAUUGUCGGGAUGUCUUGAUCAUGUGAAUCACCCAAGGGAACACCAUCAUUAAAAUUGUAAUGCACAUUACAUCCCACAUCAGCAAAGGUCUCUGAACAUGCUCAUGUUGCCCGAUCUUUGCCGAAGACAUAGGACAGAUCAUCAUAAUGUGGAAAUGAUUUGUGUAGAAGGCUUUUGGCUCCAGGACGACUCUAUACAAACAUAAUUCAGACAUAUUAGAUGAUGAUUGGGAUUAUAAAAGUACAUAAAAUUGUACUGUGAAAUUAAUACCUUGACCCAACUAUCAAACAACUCUCGCUCUACAACGAUGCAUUGAUACUCUUCGUUCCAUCCAAAGCUACACUUUAGAAAAUGUGCAAAACUUUAUUCCAAACUUUAUUCCAUGUACACUUUAGAAAAUUUGACUUUGCAAUUUCAUUACAAAUUAUUUGUUCCGCAUAUCAACUAUGUAGAAUUAAGUUAGGAAAUGAUUUUCAAACACACAUGAUUUAGUAUUGCACAAUUUCCGUGGAUAAUAAUAAGUUACAAAUAAUAAAUGCGAAAUCAUUCCAGGAAAGUAAUGAAUUACAAAUAUGGUCGUUAGAAAAACAAAUAUUAAAAAUAAUUUGUAAUGCAUUUUAGGGGGUGUUUUUCAAAUAUUUGAAAAUGAGAAUAACACUUUCAAUUCAAUAAUUUACUUUCAAAUUUGAAACAAUUAGACUAUGUGAUAAAUUUAAAAUUAAUUUAAGUAUUUGAACUAAAAUUGUCAUUUGAAAGUAUAACACACAAACUAUUUUUUUCAACGAUGAUUAAUUACAAAAAAAAAAAUUAAUUAGAAAACUUUACUACACAUUUUUAUCACACAUUAUAGAGUCUACCUUUUUAAAAGGGUAAUUCAUAGGUUUAGGCAAUGUAAUUCUUUAGAUCAACCACACAUAAACUUACUUUGAUUACACAAACUAUUCUAAUCUUGGGCUAUUAUAAUUUGGUAUAAAAACCAUGAAUAACACACAAACUAUAGAGUGUUUAAGAAGUUUGGCUAAAUUAGAUUAUAUUACUGCUAAAUUUAUAAAUUUACUAAUAAAUUCCCAUAGCAAUAUUAUUAUAAGCAAAUGGCCAAGUAAAAUAAACAUAUUUUUUCUUGUUUGUCGUCUUGCGAUCUGUCUUUGAUGUGUAAGGUCAUCAGUUGUCACCACAUAAUGGAUCCACAAUAACUAGUUAUGAUACUUACCGUAUUUACAACUUCCAAACAUGAGUUACUUAUGACACUUUAAUUAUUAUUGGAUGAUCAUAAGAUGAUAGAACAUACAUCAUUUGAUAGUAGACAAUUAUCAUAUUUUCGACUAAUUCAUAAGUAUGAUCUUUCCUGUUGUCAAAGUACAAUAAUGAAUAGAAUAUGUUUUGCCAUUUUAUGCCAUUUACUUAGGACGACUGCUAGAUUAGUUGGAACAUAAGUUAUAGAUGUAGAAGAGAUGAUUGUCAUGUUCUUGCAUAUAUUAGCUAAUGACUUGAAAAAUCUAAUAAUACAAAGGGAAUUUGUACGGUCUGGUGAGACUAUUUCUUUUGAAUUUUCUGAUGGCAUUACUGCUUCCGUCCCCUGUUCGUACAUCAAGUUUGUCGAAUAUUCGUUACUGCCUUAGUAUAAAGGUAACCAAAACAAAAAAUUGAGAUCAGUUUGAGAAGAAUAGAAAAAAGAACAUCAUAUUCAAAAAUUGUACAGGUGAAGGAGUAUCACAUAAGGGAUGAGUUUGAAGUAGGGAUUGGUGUGAACAUCUUUGAAAGUACUUCCAAACAACAACAAUUGUACAAUGGUUGAAGCGAAAUUGCUACAAAUACAAGGACAAUUAGAGGUUUAAAUGCGAUGUGGAAGUAGGAAUUCGACACCCUUUAAAAUAAUUUCCAAUUUGAAUAAUUGGUGCAAAUCUAAUUAGUCUGUCUGAUUGUCAAUUCUAUCUAUACUUAGAUAUAUGUACAUAUAGCUCAAACACUUACUAACAUAAUAUGGAAUAUAUCUAACCUCCUCCCUAGAAUGUUCACCGAAGUUGGGCAUCGUUUUUUUUUUUUUUUACAAGCGGCAUCAUUAGUAGUUGAUGUAUCAAAUUUGAGAAUAUAUGCAAUUAAAUAUUGUGAUAUCAAGGAAGAAAUGUCCAAAAGAGAAAAGCCCAACUGAAGAAGCAUGUAAUAUUUUUUUUCCACGUUUACUAACAAUCUCCUCAAAACAUUCCUAACUUAAUUAUUACAUGUGCAAUAUCUUGGCUUCACAUGAACCUUGUCCUUUCCUCAAGGUUGUACCAUGAAAAUUGGGGGCAAAAAUCAUCUAUGUUCGUUCAUAUGGUUUCAUGCUCCAAGAGCCCUUGCAACUUACCAAUAGUUCUUUGGUGUCGGAUUGGGGGUAUCCGACUAUGUUGGCUGGUUUUGCUAUCUAUUCAAAAUAUUUAGUUAGGAUUAUGUUUCUUUAGGGGAUGAUUUUGAAACAAAUGACACCAACAACAUCAAAUAGGGGCAAACACAAUUAGAUCAAGAAAAUAGCCUCAUAUGAAAGAGCUUUACUGUCAAGAUUCAAACCAAUGUACCACUUAAAAGGUGGAGCCUAGAAAAAUAACUAAUUGUAUUUAUUAGAUAAAAACUUAUGGGGUAAAAAUUAGAUCAAUUAUAUCUAUAAAUAUAUUAUUAUAGCUUCAUAGAUCGAGAGUCAUUCUCCACUUGUGAUCUCUUCACUUGUUGCAUUUAAUUAUUUUUUGGCUUGAGCUCGUGAAUUCAGUCCUUGCUUCCAAUCUUUUUAGACUUAUUUGACAACUAAUCACUUUCUGCAUUUUCAAAUUUAAAGAAAAUUUAUAAAAUUUGGAUUGAACUUCAUAAACUAUGGUUGGAUUUGGAACUCAUUGAUUGACUUCAACGUUUAAGAGUCAUAAAAGACACAACUUACUUUCUCACCUGUCACCACUAAGCCUACGACAACAUCUUUUUAUAAGAUAUUCAGUUAAUCUUUAGAUUGUUUACCGAAUAAUCGUCUAUUGUUUUGUAAUUGAUCCCACCAAGCGCUUGCGCCACCUUGAAGUUUGAGAGCAACUAAUCGGACCAUCUUGUGUUCGGGUGUAUUGGCAUAGUCGAAAAAAAUUUCUACGUUCUUGAUCCAAUCAAGAAACUUCUCCACGUCCAUUCGACAAUCAAGAAAUUUCUACGUUCUUGUGUUCGGGUGUAUUGGCAUAAUCUUAAAUCCAAUAAAUCAAGUUCCAAGGCUAUUUUUGAAUAAACUUGAACUUUAUGUGUAAACAUAAACGUGGAUCAAGUUCGAGUAUAUAGCCUAAAUAGUCUAUAGUAUAUGAAAUAAAGGUUGGGCGCCUUAUUUAGAGAAACUAUGGAUGCGGCCCACUUUGUAGUACAAACGAGGUGAUCCUAAUCGUUCAUGUAGAGACAUGAAAGUGGGGGCAUCCUAUGUAAAAUGUGUUUACAUAAGACUGAACCAUGAAUUAGUCUUUUUUACGUUAUAACACCGUUUACUGUUUAAAACUGACUAUCUCAAUUAUUGAUGACCUAGGUAACUUAGAUUUAAUCCUGAGUUAACUAUGAACUCCUAUUCACACGAGAUUAUCCUUAGAUCUGCAUAGGUGAGGGCAGCUCAUCAGCGUUGGCCCAAUAAGCCUCCCAUUUCAGGGGUAAGAUCGGGGUGAUAGCUGGGAAACAUAGGGUACAAGAUGGAAUUCACUCCUACCCGCUUUAGGGUUAGUAGAUAGGUUGUUCUCUUAAGCUUUGAAUCCAAGUCUUGAACAAGGGGCCCCACCCUCUCAUUGGCCCGAGAGGGAUUAAGUUUAUAGGAUUGAACCUUAAACCAAUUGUUCAAUAGUGGAUUAGUGGGACUUAAGGAGCAAGAUGUAAUCUUGGGGGUAAAACGGUAUUUUGACCCAGCCAAGGUUACGAGCAACCUGUGAAGGAUUAACUUACUGAUUAUGGUUUUAUCAAAUGGACACAAAUAUAUCUAUAGUGAGGGGAGUGCAACUACGGGACUUUAGUGGAAUGAUCCGUUAGUUAACGAAUGUUGAUUAACUCGGUUUAAAAGAGUUUAGCUAGUUAAUCUUGAAUCGUUGGAGCCCAUGAUCUAUAGGUCCAUUAGGUUCCUCUGCUAGCUCAUAUGGAUUAAACUUAGAACAGUGUGAUGAAAUAAGUCGAAUUGUUCGAAUUGGGAGAAGAAAGGGAAACCGACAAAUAUAGUGAUAUAGUCGUCGGUCUUCUAAUUAGAAAUAGAGCUUUAUGUUUUACAUACUAUAAGUAUGAAUGCAGAUUCAUACUAAGAAGCUCGGAAUUGAUAGAAUUGGUCAAAAAUAGUAAAAAGUCAAAAAGGUUGACUUUUGACUUUGAAAAGUCAAACUUUGACCGGCCUUAUAUUCAAAUGUGAUUUGAAUUUUGGAAAAAUGAAUGCGGAUUCAUGCUCGGGAGGUUGGAAUUAGUCAAGACGGACAAAAUGGUAAAAAGUCAAAAUAUUGACUUUUGACUAAGAAAAGUCAAAGUUUGACUUUUGACUAGAAAUAUCUAAUGACCAUUUUACCCUUGGACUAAGUUAGUGGGAAAAUCCAACAUUUUGUUGGAUAAUCCCACUAACUGUUAGUGGGGAUAUGUGGCUAUAUGAGAUAUAGACACCUAGCCCACUAAGUUCCACUAAUUGUUAGUGGAACAUUAGGUGUUGAGAUUUGACAAAUGAAUUGCAUGCAUUUUUUCAUGUAAUUAGGUUAUAAAUAGAGGUGUUUUCAAAUGUUGAAAAAACUUUUGCCUCUUUUAUCAUUUUCAUCAUCUCAACAAAAGAAAAAAGAAAGCUUCCAAUCUCAUUUUAUCUGCAUUACUUUCUACACCAAAAUUGGGUCCCACAACCCGGUUCUUUGUCUAGAGGAUAGCAGUUGAGUACUAGUGGUGAUCUCGGUUAGAAUUGGUAAGAAGAUAUCAAACCUUUUGAAAGCUUCAAAGGUAAUAUUUCUUAAAACCCUAAUUUGAUUAGUUUAUGGUUACAUGUUAAUUGUGGCAAUUAGGGUAGAAAUUCGAUUCUUUUUCCGCUGUGCAUGACUUAGUUCUAUCAUGUGGUAUCAGAGCAUGCUUCAUUUUUACCCAAUUGCAUGUGGUGGGUUCAUAUUUAUUAGAUAAAUUUUGGUUUGAACUAAAAUGGAUAUAUUAUGAUUUUGGCUCUAGAUUAAGUGUUUUUGUUCUAAUUAUUGUAAUUAGCCUUGUUAAUGGCUUAUUUUUAUUGUUGCAAAGUGUUUGUAAUUUUUUAAAAAAAAAAAAAAGUCAUUAGAGUUGAAGUUAGGCUGUAACUGGUUCAACCGGGUGAGAGAAUUGAAAAAAAAUGAAGAAAAGAAGGUCACAGACCCGAAAACCCGCCUUGACCCCGCUUCGCGACCCGCACUGCGCCCGCGCGCCCGCAUGCCACCACCACCGCGCCCUCCCUGCCCCGCCUGUGCCCGCACGCCCCUGCGCGCCCGCGCAUGCUGUCCGCAUGCGUCUGCGCGAGCUGCAUGCGCCGCGCCGCCUGCCUUCGCCCGACCCGUGUGCGCCUGGGCCGGUUCAAGCGGUUUCGGUUGGUUUUUCAGCCGGUUCAAAGUUUUUGGGAGUGGUUCUGUACUACACCAAAGUAAUUAUGUAAUAAUUUAGUACUUAGCUUAAUUUAGGAGCCAAAAAUCAGUCCAUUUUAGGGUGUGUUUUUUUUAUUUAUGCAUGUGAUGUAUGAUUAAAUUACUUUAAAUUUGUAUGUGCAUUUUGAAUGUCAUAUAGAUUUAAAAUCCCACCAUAGGUUAACAUGUUCAUGCAUUAAAAUGUAUGAUAUAAAAGGUUAUAUUGUAUUGUAUGCAUGUUAAUUGAUUAAUAUGGAAAAUUAAAAUCCCACCAUAGGUGUUUUGCUUUUCAUUUCUAGGUCAUAAAGCUUGGGUGUGACGUUUCGGCAUUUUCAUAUGCAAGCCUGCCAGAGCUGAAAAUGUUCAAAAUGUAUUAUAGGGGAGGCAUACCAGUUGAAUCCCCGCUCGAGCAUUAGUUUGUACUCUUUGCAAGCAACCCUUUUCGUGGCACGCGUGCGGGGCCUGUGAGCUGUCCUCGAGAGGUGCCUGCCAAUGUUGUGGGCAUAUGUCCUGGUCACCCUUGGGCUGUCUCGGGACCACGUUGGGCUACUCCUGGGCCAUGCUAAAGGAGUCGUGGCACGUAUUGGCGCAAUUUUGCGGGUGAUUUUUGGGGUCAAAGCUUCACAUGUGACAUCAGGCUUACUUCUUUUCAUUUCUUUCUUUUUUCUUCUUCUUUCUUUUUCCCGUUUUAAAUUUUAUCUCUAAACCAAACUCCAACUAACUCUAAUUUAUGUUUAGGAACUUGUAAUUUUGGAGUACAAUAUAAGUAUAAUUGUUUGUGUUAUAUUGUUUUUUUUUAUUAUUAUUACUAUUAAAAAUAGCCAAAUUAAUUAAAAUAUUUAUAAAGUAUUUUAAAAUUUGAUAUUCGAUAGAUCGAUCAAUGUCACUAAACAUAUAAGGGCUUAUCAAUAUCUAUUAUUAAUAUAAUCUAGUAAAUAUUUUGUCGAAUUUAUUAUUUGUGACAGUUUUUUUCUAUUCUUUUUUACAUAUAUUCAAUAUAUAAAAUAUCAAUUUUUUGAAAAUUUCAUAUAGGAUUAUUAACAAGUUUAACAAAUAGAUAAAAUGAUUUUCAACAUUAUUCUAAUACUAUGCUUUAAAUUAUGUAAGAGAUAAAUCUCUAUAAAUCAUAGAUGAAUUAUUUUAGAAUGGAAAACAAUACAAAAAAUGUGAGUGUUGAGCAAGAAAUUUUGACCAAUUAAAUUACGUCACAUCAUCACAGUAAAUAAUGAUGAUUAUACUUUUGUUUGAGUUUGGAUAAUUAAGUUACUCAACCCAACCCAAUUCAGAUCCAACAAAACAAAUGGGCUCAAGCCCAAGUCCAAGAAUCAAAUGGGCCCAAGUCCAAACUCAUCUCGCAAAUGGGCUCAAAUCCAAGCCCAAAAGCAAAUGGAAGCAAGCCCAAAAAAAUGACCCCAAUUUCACCUAAAGCCCAUGAAAUGUCUAUAAAUAGAGACCACUGUCAUUCAUUUUAAAAGGGGUCUUUGGUUGAAAGAAGAAUUGAAGCUCUGAAGAAUUGAAGAUUCAAAACUUCUACAAGCUCUCAAGACGUGCAAGUUUGUAUCAACUUCGAGAUCAACAACUUCUGAAAGAUUGAAGACUUGGAAAAUUAAACUUUUCUUGGAUUCCAGAAGAUCGAAGUUCAAAUCAACGUGCAACUACAACAUCCUGAAGAUCGAAAAUAAAAAAGUUCUAAGUUUUAACUUGUAUUCGAGAAAAAACAUCAAAAGAGUAAAUACUAGAGGUUGUAUUCACAAUAUUCUUUAAUAUAUAAAGUUCAACUCCACGAAAUACAUUUCUUCAAAAUCUCGUGUGAACAGUUUGACACGUCCAGUGAGACAAUCUCUACCUUUCAUCUCUUUCUCUUUUGAAGAACAUCUAAAGAAAUCAUGUCGAUUGACGAACAAAUGACAUCGGCAAGCAGCCAAAUACUCACAGCCGCUCAAGGGAGACUCAAUCAUCUGAGGAAAUGCCAUCCUUUGAGGCCGCAAAGAACAUUUGGGAGCAACUGUCCAAGCCACCAAAAGGUGGAAUUAUAGUCGAAGAAAAUCCUGUGAUUGACGAACAAAUUUCCUCCUGUGAACGCUCGAAUGAGAAGAUGCCUCAUCCAAAUAUCAUGUCGAUUAUGGUGACUGACGUGGAUACAAGUGAAGACAUAAUGACUGAGCUUAAAAAGAAGAUCAACAGGCUCAUGAAGGUCGUUGAAGAAAAGGAUAAUGAGAUUGCAUCUCUCAAGAAUCACAUCGAACGUCAUGAUGCUGAAUCAAGUCAUACACAUACUAUCAAAAAUACUGACAAAAGGAAGACAAUUAUGCAAGAAAGUCAACCACAAAAUUCAACCUCAAUUGCAUCAAUAUCUAUUCAGCAAUUGCAGGAGAUGAUUGCAAACUCCAUCAAAACUCAAUAUGAUGGACUUGCUCAAACUCUCUCUCUAUAUUCCAAACCAUAUACGAAGAGGAUCGACAAUCUCAUAAUGCCGAAUGGAUACCAACCACCCAAGUUCCAACAGUUUGAUGGAAAGGGUAACCCAAGACAACACGUUGCUCACUUCAUUGAAACAUGUGAAACUCCUAGUACGAGAGGAGAUUUGUUGAUAAAGCAGUUCGUUCGAACUCUGAAAGGAAACGCCUUCAAAUGGUACAUCGACCUGGAACAUGAAUCCAUUGAUAGUUGGGAGUAACUUGAGGGGGACUUUCUCAAUCGCUUUUACAGCACCCAGCGUAUCGUCAGCAUGAUGGAGUUGACAAAUAGCAAAUAGCGAAAGAGGGAGCCAGUCAUCAACUACAUAAACCGAUGGAGAGCUCUAAGCCUGGAUUGCAAAGACAAGCUCAUAGAAAUGUCUGUAGUCGAGAUGUGCACCCAAGGCAUGCAUUGGGAACUUCUCUAUAUUUUUGCAGGGGAUAAAACCACGCACGUUUGAAGAGUUGGCGACUCGUGCCCAUGAUAUGGAACUAAGUAUCACUCGUAGAGGAGCAAAAGAUUUUUUGGUUCAAAAAAUGAGGAGUGACAAGAAUUAAAUUGAUGACACUAAAAAAGAUUACAGAUAGUGUCAUAAAUGAGUCUAUGGUUGUUCAUGCAACCCCUUUGAAAUCUUUCUCUAAAAGAAAAGAAACAAAAUUUGAAGGAAAGCAUGAUAGAGAGGAAAAGCGACGCCCUUAAAGAAAGACAAGAAAAUUUUUAUCCAUUUCCUGACUCUGAUGUUGCAGACAUGUUAGAGCAGCUGUUAGAGAAGCAACUUAUUCAACUGCCAGAAUGCAAACGACCGAAACAAGCAGAGAAAGUAGAUGAUCCUAACUACUGCAAGUACCAUCGGGUCAUUAGUCAUCCUGUUGGAAAGUGUUUCGUGUUGAAGGAGCUGAUUAUAAAGUUGGCUCGUGAAAAGAAGAUCGAGUUAGAUAUGGAUGAAGUAGCUCAGACAAAUCAUGUUGCAAUUGAGAUGACUUCAAGUGUUCCGCCAUCAACACACCUUUAUGAUUAAUGGAAAAACUUGGUCCAGUUUGGGACUUUUGAACCUGUACAUGUUCGAUUCCAACCAAAGGAUCGUGACAAAGAAAUCUCAAAACAAAGAAAAGCCUAUUGAAGAUGAUUGCGAAAGGAUGGAUAGUCAUGACUCGUAAAAAGGGGAGACAAUCAAUUUUCGUACAAACGAAGUCGCACUUCCAUCAGAAGCAUGGAAAAGGAAGCAACUCUCGUAAAAAUGAGAAAAGAAAUAAGAUGUGGAAGUCUAAGCCUAUCAAAGGAAAAGACGAGGACUUCAUCCGACAUCGACGGUCGAUAACUUUGAAAGAAUUUCUCCCAAGAAGCUUCCUUGAUGAUCAUCCAAAGAAAGUAUUAGAAGUCCUUGCAUGUCAUGUUGUCAGUAUAACAGAAGUCGACAACAAUUAUGCAUCUUCUGAAGAAAUCGACAAUUCAAAUGAAAUUAAGCAAAGGACUUUUGUCUUUGAUCGUAUCAAGCCUUCAAUUACUCAAUCUUCAAUUUUUCAAAGAUUGAGUAUGACCAUGAAAGAAGAAGAAAACCAAUGUUUAACAUCUACUUCCACUCAAACUUUAGCUUUCAAAAGGCUAAGUAUCUCCACAUCAAAGAAAUAUCAACCUUCAACAUCUGUUUUUGAUAGACUAAAAUGACAAGUGAUCAACAUGAAAAAGAGAUGAAAACUUUGAAGGUAAAAUCACUUCAUGAAGAAAAUAAUGGCGAGAAGAUACGCAGUUGUGUCUCAUCACGCAUGAAGAGGAAGUUAUUUGUUGACAUAAACACAGAAGGUCCCUUGAUCGUGAAGCCAAAAAUUAUUAUAUUCACCAAUUCUACAAAUGAAGAAGGUGAACAAAUUUUUUACGAAAAUAUUUGUUAAAUGUGUAAAGCUCCUUAUCGCAAAAGCCUAAAUUGCAUGAUGCUCUUAGUCCACAAGAGCUUAAAAGGUGAAUAACAAAAAAAAAAAAAAAAAAAACAACAACUCAAUUGAACUACGUUAUGACUUGAUCUCUGUGUUAUAAAAAGGAUACGUAGGCAGCUUAAAGAUUACUUUAAGUUCAGUCGCACGAAAAAAAAAAAUUAUGCUUCAUCGUGAUGAUGUAAUCUCAAUAGAAAAUGAAAUUCAUGAACAGUUACAACAGAAAAGAAAUGGGACAAAUGGGGCAAAGUCAAAGUAGCGAGCUCUACCUUUUCUCGCAAGUGUUGCAGCUGAAAAGAUAUUCAUCUUCAUCUUCUCUCAAGUGUUGCAGCUGAAAGGAUCUUUAUCUUCACCUUCUCCAUGUGUUGCAGCCGAGAGGAUUCAUCUUCACCUUCUCCAUGUGUUGCAGUCGGAAGGAUUUAUCUUCAUCUUCUCCAUGUGUUGCAGCCGAGAGGAUUCAUCUUCAUCUUUUCCAUGUGUUGCAGCCGAGAGGAUUCCUCUUCUCCCACGUAUUACAGCCGAGAGGAUUCAUUUUCAUCUUCUCCCACGUGUUAUAGUCAAAAGGAUUCAUCUUCAUCUUCAUCUUCUCCCACGUGCUGUAGCCAAAAGGAUUCAUCAUCAUCUUCUUCCACGUGUUGCAGACGAGAAGAUCAUCAUUUUCAUCUCCUAGGUGUUGCAGUCGUUAUCAUCUGCAUCCUCGAUGUGUUGCAACCGUCAUCAUCUACAUCUCUGAUGUGUCACUGCCGACAUCAUCUGCAUCUUCGAUAUGUCGCUGUUGUCACCAUCUGCAUCUUCGACGUGUCGCAACCAUUACCAUCUGCAUCUUCGACGUGUCGCAGUCGUCAGAAUCUCCAUCUGCAUGUGUUGCAGUCAUCAUCAUCUGCAUCUCUGAUGUGUUGCAACCGUCAUCAUCUGCAUCUUCAAUGUGUUGCAGGCGUCAUCAUCUGUAUCUUCGAUGUGGCUGUCACCAUCAGAAUCUUCGACGUGUCGCAGCCGUUAGAAUCUUCAUCUCCAUGUAUUGCAGUCAUCACCAUCUGCAUCUUUGAUGUGUUGCAGUUGUCAUCAUCUGCAUCUUCGAUGUGGCCGUCAUUAUCUUCGAUGUGUCGCAGCCGUCACCAUCUACAUUUUCGAUGUGUCGCAGCCAUCAGAAUCUCCAUCUCCAUGUGUUACAGUCAUCAUCAUCUGCAUCUCUGAUGUGUCGCAGCCAUCAUCAUCUGCAUCUUCGAUGCGGUCGUCAUCAUCUUUGAUGUGCCGCAGUCGUCACCAUCUGCAUCUUCGACGUGUCGCAGUCAUCAAAAUCUCCAUCUCCAUCUUCGAUGUACGAAUUUUCAUCUCCAUCUUCGUCUUCCAUGUGCUCCAGUUGGUCGAAUCUCCAUCUCCAUUUUCGUCUUCGAUGUGUCGCAGUCAAUUGGAUCUCCAUCUUCGAUGUGUUGCAGCCGAUCGGAUCUCCAUCUCCAUCUUCGAUAUGUGGAUCUUCAUCUCCAUCUCGGUCUUUCAUGUGCUGCCGUCGGUCGAAUCUCCAUCUCCAUUUCUGUCUUUGAUGUGCCGCAGUCGAUUGGAUCUAUAUUUACAUUUUUGUCUUCGGUGUGUUGCAGUCGAUCAGAUCUCCAUCUCCAUUUUCGUCUUCGAUGUGUCGCAGCCGAUCGGAUCUCCAUCUCUAUUUUCGUCUUCGAUGUGUUACAGCCGAUCGGAUCUCCAUCUCCAUUUUUGUCUUCGAUCAAGCUUGGUGUGCUCCACCAUAUAAAUUGACCAAACUUCGUAUAACAUUUUAAUCACACUUAUGUCCAAAUGCAUAGUAUGAUUAAAUUGACAUAUUAACUAGAACCAAAUCCAAGAACAAAUUCACUUAUUUCAGCUUAUCGUUUUCAAGAUUCACCCAUCAUAUAAACGUGCACAAAUCUCUAAAAGGAGACAUUUGUUGAGCAAGAAAUUUUGACCAAUUAAAUUACGCCACAUCAUCACAAUAAAUAUGAUGAUGAUUAUACUUUUGUUUGAGUUUGGAUAAUUAAGUUUACUCAACCCAACUCAAUUCAUAUCCAACAGAAAAAAUGGGCUCAAGCCCAAGUCGAAUAAGCAGAUGGGCCCAAGUUCAAACUCAACUCACAAAUGGGCUCAAGUCCAAGCCCAACAAUCAAAUGGGCCCAAGUCCAAGUCUAGCAAGCAAAUGAGCCCAAGUUCACCUAAAGCCCAUGAAAUUUCUCUAUAAAUAGAGACCAUUGCCAUUCAUUUUAAAAGGGGUCUUUGGUUGAAUAAAGAAUUGAACCUCUGAAGUACUGAAGAAUUGAAGAUUCAAACUUCUACAAGCUCUCAAGACGUCAAAGUUCAUAUCAACCUGGAGAUCAACAACUUCUGAAAGUUGGAAGAUUAAACUUUCCUUGGGUUCCAUAAGAUCGAAGUUCAAAUCAACUUGCAACUACAAUAUCCUAAAGAUCGAAGAUCAAAAAGUUAUAAGUUUUAACUUGUAUUCGAGAGAAAGCAUCAAAUGAGUAAAUACUAGAGGUUGUAUGCACAAUAUUCAUCAAUAUAUAAAGUUCAAUUCCACGAAAUACAUUUAUUCGAAAUCUCGUGUGAACAGUGAGAAUAUGGUUAACCAAGUUUAAAUAUAUAAUGCAACAAUACAAACGUAGUGACCAUAAUCACAAAAUUUAAACCGAACUCAAACAACACAUGAACAUAAAAUAAAAAGCAACAUACCAACAUUGUUUACUAUCGAAUAAUAGUCCAAAUCAAGUCAUGGAUUGGUCAAACAUUAUCUUUAGGAGAAUAUUACAAAGAAAAAAAAGUAUGAAAAAGUGCAUUUUAUAAAAUAUUAUUAUAACUAAACUAAAAGUAUUUUCUUGAAUAACCUAAAAAAUCUCAUUUUUGUUUAACAUUUUUUCUAAAAACUUCUUAAAAUAAAAACACAAUCGUGUUUUAAAAUAUAUAUUUUAAAAAAUAUUUAUACGUACAAAUUUCUUUUGUUUGUUAUAUAUACUAAAAAAUAUUUUUAUAAAAAAUCUUCAAGACUAAUCGAUGACAACGGUCGUCGAAGUUGAUUAUCGGAAGUUCGUCGAUGGAGUCACUAGAGAUGAUGGUGGGAGAUUGGCCGACCAUGAUCAUUGAAGAUUAGCCUAAACCCAAAAGAUAAAUAAUUUUUUUGUAAUAAAAGUAAACUAACAUUUGACUGAACAAUUUUCUCUAUUCCUUUUGACUUCUUUUGGAUUUUUUUUCUUUUUCAAAAUAAGAAUGGUCACUUUGAUUCUCAAUUUUGUCGGAUUAUAAUAAUUUAUACUCAAACACAUAAUAUAAUAACUCGUACUAUAAUAAUUUACACAUAAACACAAAUUAUAAUAACUAAUAUUAUAAUAUUAUGUACCCUAAACACGACUAUAACAACUUAAACUAUAAUACUAUGCACCAAACUUCUCCUAAAAGAAUUUGUUUAUAUGAAUAUGAUGUCUCUCUAAAGAUGAAGAAACAAUUUAUUUAUAGAGAGUGAUAUUGCAAAAAGUUAGUGAAACUUAGGAGUGAGCAUUGACUUUAAAAAAAAUCAAUUCAAACAAUCGAAAUUAACCAAAUCUAUUUAUUAUUUAAUAUUAAAUAAAACAAACCGCUCGUAGUAAUUGUCUCGUUCCUAGAUUUGGUCGAUUUCCUAAACCUUAAGUCUAUAUUUUCAUUCUAUAGGUUUUGUUUACGGCACUCGGGUGAAAAAAUGGCGCCCAAGGGAAAGAAAACCAAUAGCCCUACUAGCGACAGCGACGAGGACGAAACCUUCUAUUACCGGUAUCCCUCCGCCCCCUCUUCUGACCCGUCGCUGCCGUCGUCUUCACAGUCGCACUUCUCAUCGCAAUCGCACUCACACUCACACUCUUCCACUAAGUCUGGCGGUGGUUCUGGAGGUUUGGUUCCUUCGAAGUCUACUCUCUAUGUUUCCAAUUUCGACUAUUCACUCACUAAUUCCGACCUCCACACUCUCUUCUCCAACUUUGGUAAGAUCGCUCGUGUUACGGUGUUGAAAGAUCGACAGACUCGCAAGUCUCGCGGCGUUGCCUUCGUCCAGUUUAUUUCUCAGGAUGACGCGGUGAAGGCCGCGAAACAGAUGCACGGGAAGAUUUUGAAUGGCCGUGUUCUUAAGGCUGCUAUAGCGACUGAUAAUGGUCGUGCCGCUGAGUUUAUAAGGAAGAGGGUUUAUAAGGAUAAGAGUAGGUGCUACGAGUGCGGCGCAAUUGAUGGGCAUUUGUCUUAUGAAUGCCCUAAAAAUCAAUUGGGGCCAAGGGAGCGACCAUAAUCGAAGCGGGUAAGAAGGGGUGGAGUUGGUGCUAGGCACGAGGAGGAUUGGGGAUCGGAUGUUGGAGAAGGGUUUGAGGAUGACAAUUGGGCCUCGGUGGUGGAUGGAGAUGCAGACCAGAGACUCCUGACUGGCGUUGAGAACAUUGUAGAGAAGAAAAAAGAGAAGAAAGCAAGUUAUUUCAGUGACGAGAGCGACGAAGAUGAUUAACUGAGCCUGUCUCUUUGGGAAGAGUUUGUAAAAGGUGCGUGGUUUUUACUAUUGUAUUGUUUUUAUCUGCCGUUCCAUUAUAUUUUGAACCUCUAUUUCUGGUUGAUUUUGGUGCAUGAUUUUUGGGUGGCAUUGUUAGAUGAGAUAAAGCUUACAGAGUUUAGAUUUUGGGCUGCCGGGUGCGAUAAGUAAUAAUGAGUUACAGGUAUGUAGUCUACACUUCGUGGUAAUGUCAGGAGUAGUCAGGAUUGGAAUACUAACUCUUAACCUAUGGCACUUGCUCUCCACCAAUAGGUUAGUAAUUGAAACUAGAAAUGUUAUGUUGAAUUCAAAGACUCUCUUUGGAGAGCUGAAAUGUAUGAGUUUAAUUACAAAUCGGCUCUAAAACGCUGAAUCCAACCAUUGGUUAUUGAUUACAUUACAUUACAAUCUCAUCCGAUGACGGUCUACCGAAUACCCCAAGGAUUUAGGCACCGCUGUUAACAGUAUAUGAGCACUACACUGGAAUUUGGAAGUGGUAAUAAAUACUCAUCUUCCAAUGCCUCCUGUUUUCUUUUAAGAGUUAAGGAUUUCUGCAGUCAGAGAGUAUAAGUUGCUUAUUCAAUCUCAUGAGCAUGAGCAAUAUUUGUAUUUUUGUACAUUUUGGAAUUCCCAUAUCAUGAUCUCGGCGUUUAAUGCCAAGGGCUUGAUUUCCCAAUGUGCCAAGACUUGUCCAAAGGAUUCUUUGAUCAAACAUUAUUGUUAUUAUUAUUCUUUUUGAGGAGACAUUUCUUUUAUCAGAAACAUAUAAAUAAUUUCAUUGAUGGGAUGAAAUUACAAAAGAGCACAUAUGCUGCGAGAGAUUACAAAGAUUAUUCCAUUGUGAUAUAAGAGAAGUAAGAUUGUAAUAAUGAAAGUGUGGGGUGAAUUUACACCAAGUGAAGGUUGUAUACAAAAGAUGAUCGAAAAGUGAGUGAAGUCGGAUUCCUUAUCUUUGAAAGUACGAUGGUGGCAUUUGUUUCAGAUGAGCCAAAAGAGAACUCUUCACUAAGAUUAGAUGAAAAGCAAGGGUGGGGAACUCCAGAAAACCCAAGGGACUUGGGAGAAAAAUCAAUCCAAUGACAUCAAUCGAUAAUGAGAGUGAAGUCAUUACUUAAACCUUUAAAGUGGAUACACGUUCACCAAUUUUAAGGUUCAUACCUUGUGGUUUGGAUCAGUGUUAGGUGGUCUGCUCUCUUCUAGUUAGCAUCAUAGUUCAACAUUUUAACCUAAUAUAUUGUAAUCCUCUUCUUCCUACUGACUAUUUGUCCAUUUAGGCACAUUUUCUAAUAAUUUUGCUUUUAGUUUUGUUUGUUUUCUUCUGUUCAAAGACUAGGAAAGAAAAAGUAGUUUUCAAGAACAUUUUUAUCAAUUGUUCAAAGAAGUUUAGUCAUAAGUAAUUUUCAUAAGCAUAAUUUUGUGAAACAAAAUUGUUGCCAAAUAGAGGCUUAAGUUUUUUUAGCUUUCAACUUGACUUUGUGAUCAAUCUCUUCAUGUUUGAAAGAAGAAGGCAUUUGCCACAUUUUAGCGAAGAAGGCAUUUGCCACAUUUUAGCUUUCUCCCCUUUACCACUUUGUUUUAGUGGAGCUACGUGAGGAAAAGGUGCCAUGUCUCUGAACUAUUUUGAUUUAUCAUUCAUAUAAUUUCUUACUUCUAAAUCUCUGAUGUACCGCAAAAAAUAUUGCUAAUAUAUUUGAAUCUAUCUAUUCUAUAACUUAUAUUCUUGCACUUUCAAUGCUUUGAUCAUAGUCACAAGAUGUGUGUGGAAACAACAAAAUGCAACCUUAAACAUAUUGGGUUAAAGAAAUAUUCGAUAUCACUGAUUUCAACUUUUGAUUAUCACUGAUUCAUCUAUAAUUUUGGCUGGAUCCAUGAUCUUCCUAACUCAUAGUAGUAUAUGUUUAUCAUAACCAAUACGUCUUACUGUCGUUACAACAUCUUUGUGGGUUUUUGUUAUUGUUUUGCUUUGUUUUAGCUGUUGGUUUAUUUGACUAGUGACUUACAUGAGAUUUAGUCUACCUUGACAUUUCUCAUAACACGACCCGUCCUUGUCUUCUGAGCUAAGAGGAUCAGGCUUAGUCAAGUCUACCGUCACAUUUCAAUUUAAUGAUCUAUUAUGUUUGAUUUUUCGUGAAUUUGUGUUACUUAAUAUGAUCUAUUUUGUUUCUCGCUUAUCAAAUAAUUGGAAUCAAGAGGAGAUUUGUUUAACAUUUGAUGAGAAUGGUGAUGCGUUAAAGAUUCGAUUUUAUUGCCAAGUGUCUUCGUGAGAUUAUGUCUUUCGGUAGUGUUGAAAGAGCUACUGUUUCUAAUUUUGGUUCAUUUCUUGUUAUGGGAGAUUGGUUUAAGAUAUGGAAUAAAUGUAGUUCAUUUCAGGGUAAUGAUGUUGCAAAGCUUUUUAAUAUUCCUUCACACAACCAUGGUUCCCUGUAUUCAGUCACCUUUAUUUUCUUGUGGCAGGCUACAUUAAGAUAUAUCAAGGUUGGAGACCAAAGUUGAGAGGCUAAAGUCGGUAGUACAAGUUAAAGAUAGGGAGAUUGCAACAGUUACACGAAUAGUACAAUCUCGAGACUUGUCUAAAUUCCAUGAUUUCUCUCUAUUUAACAUUGAACAAGGAAGUUCUUUUCCACAGGAAGCCAAAGGUAAGGCUGCUUUUAAAGCUCAAAUUGACAAGCUACAGUAGGAAAAUGUUGAACUCCAGAGAAGGGUUAUUGGCAAUCAGGUUAUGGUAGUUGGAUGCUGUGAGAUAGAUACUAGUUUCUAUGUAAUAAUUUUAGUACUAAUGUUGUUUUCUGUUUGUGUGCAAAGCAAGUAAGAACUCAACAAAUACAUGAGAUGAAGAAGAAAGAAAAGGAGUACAUCAAAUUGCAGGUGAGAACCUACAGGGUAUAGGAAUACCUACAGGAAAGCUGGAUAUGUAUGUUGCUGCUGCUGGCAUAAACCCUCAAAGAGUAUGUUUUUCUUAGACAAGCUCAACGCCCUCCCUUCAUCCAAUGGUUGUUUAUCCAACUUGAUUUCAAUCAGUUGUGGCUAUUGUUUUAAUUGUUUAUAGGAUUGCCUGCAUUCAGAUUGUUUUAUCUUCUCAUGUUGGGCUACUUCCAAGAAAUUUUUUAAGCGAAGGGUGGAUAAUAGCUCGCUUGUUUAGUCUAAACUUGGGGGAUUUCAAAUUUUGCCCAAAUUUCAAAAUUUUUCAAAAGUUUUUCAUUACAAUAACGAGCAUCAUAACUUCUUAGAUCUUGCAUAAAAGGCAUGACUGUCAACCCUUGAGCACUAAGCUCGGGUUUGUGACGUGAGAUUCUGAAUUUUGAGAAUAAGCUUAUGUCCUUUUUGUUUUUGCUAAGUUUCAACUAAUACACUCGGUAUUUAUCUUUGUGCUUAUGUGAUAGAUUUGUUAUGCACUGUAGUGAUGUGGGGUGUUUCCUUAUUUUCUGCAUCUUAACUACCUUAUUUCCUGCAUUUUAACUAUCUUAUUUCCUGCAUCUUAAAUACCUUAUUUGCUGCAUCUUAAAUACCUUAUUUUCUGAAUCUUAGUUGGUACUGAAAUUUGGUUUGUUUCAGUGAAAGAGGCACUAUCAGCAUUGACAUGUACAUGUGAUUUUAGGCAUGAACCAGGAGAGUGAGAGUUUUAGUGUGCCGUGUUUAGAAUUUGCCGAUAUCUUUUUCCCGUUCCAGCAAGUAUUCCUGAUUGUGGGGGUAACUCUCAAGUCUGCAGUCUUUUCUUCAUGAAAUUUGUAGAUUAUCUAAGAAUACGAAUAUCAUUUAAUGUUGACAUUUUUUUAGCAACUUUUCUUAACCCCACUUUUUGAAUUUCAUUAAGUUUACUCUUGUUUAAUUGGCAGAUUCUUCCAGUAAUGCUAGAUAUUGGUACUAACAACGAGAAGUUACUUAAUGAUUCUCUUUGUAAGUGAAAGGGAAACCUUCAUGUCGUUUAUCUCCAUAUUUUCCAUGUAAUGUAUUGUGCUUAUAUUGAUCUGUUUCUGUUGUCAAUGGCGAUAUAUUUGGGUUUUUUGUUGUUGUUGUGGUGGUGGUGGUGAAAUAUUUUAUUUAAGUCUCUAGUUAAUAUUUAUGCUUACUUAACAGAAAAUUUGUUGCUUGAGCUUGCUUCAUUUGGUUCUUUUACUUGUUUAAGUCCUCCUCUAACUAAUUAUACAUUUCGUCCUUUUACUUGUUUAAGUCCUCCAAAAAAUUAAAAGAGAAAAAUGUCAACUUUAGGAUCUUAUAAAAUUAAAUUUAUAAUAUAUUUUUGGUUUGAAGAAAGAAAGAAAGAAUAGAAGGAGUGUGAGGUCACGCUCGGGAACGGGGGAGUGGGGAGGAGGGAGGAGGGAGGAGGGGGAAAUUGGAUUGGGAAGUGGGAAAAAAGGACACAGCUUUUAAAACAGUUUGAGUGAAUCUAAGCAGCAAAGGCUGAGGUUGAAGCAACGUUGUGAAACCCAGAAAAGUUUUUUUGUUUUAUUUAUUUAUUUAUUAUCACUCCUUUAAAAAGAGAGAGAGAUAUAUAAAUUUUUUUAAGAAUCCUAUGUUUCCGAAUCUACCAUUACCACAUAACCAAAUCUUCCUUUUCUUACUCUCAUCAGCACACAUUUCUAAAACAAUCACCUUCACAGUUUCUGUCUCAUCUCUCCAUAACUCUAAAAUAAUAUCCUAUGUUCUUCUACUCCAUCUUAACAUACCCUCGAGCUUAGUUGAAAAAGAAAAGUGAAGUGUGGAUUGAGAUGGUUGAGUCAAGCCGGUUACCAUCUACAUUAUGUUCUUUUACUUGUUUAGGGUUCAAAUAGAUAAAGAAACAUUUCUCAUAAAUACAUGAAAGGUUCAACUCACAAACUCGGUUUGGCCACAGUGAAGGAUCUUAAACGAAGCUCAGUAUCUCAGAAUUAUGAUAGAACACCACAGCAGUGUUCGUAUAUGUUGAUAUAAUAUGAAAACUUACACGAAUUAUUGAGACUCUUCGUGGAUCAAUAGAGUAUUGAUCGCGAUUACAGAUUCAAAGCAAAAAUUACUCAAACUAAUAGCAACCAAAUAAAAGACUCAAGAACAAUUCAAAGAUGAACUUGGACCCUCUGCUUUCCCUCUCUCAAGGAGUAAUGUAGAUUUCCUUCCUCAAAGUUCCAUACCCCCUCCCUCUGUAGCUUCCUUUCUUUUAUCUCUUUCCUCUAACUCCCGGCCCUACCAAAGUGGUCCCCCCUGGUAGGUUCUUGUUUCACCUGCAAAAGAUUCAACCCACACCCACACAAAUACAAAGAAUAUUUCCAGCACACUCACAAACACACAGUACAAUGGAGAGAAGCUGAUAUAUGUGUGUAUAUAUAUUCAAUAUGGAAUCAUAAGCUUCAACCAAGUAAGAGGGCUGCUCUCUCCCCAAUGAACAACGUUCAUUCAAAAUACAUAAUAACCAAGAUAAUCAGCCCUAGCAAAAAACGCCUAUAUAUAUAUUCCCUUUCUGCUGCUGCCACGUGUUGUUAGGACCACUGGUCAUCCUAACAACCAUGUUGUCUAGGUGGAAUUUUUAUUUUUACCCCUCCUUUGGUAAACUUGGGUGAUUGGAGGCCUAGUGUAACGGACAUACUUGUCCAAGGUGUGUUUACCUAUGGCCGUAUGCUCCGAUUAGCCCCAAUUUAUCUUGUCUUUAUGUCUUGUAUGUAGUUUAGGUAGUUGCUUUAAAUUUCAAGUCGAUAUGCUUGGGUGUGACGUUUCGGCAUUUUCAUAUGCAAGCCUACCAGAGAUGAAAAUGUUAAAAAUGUACUAUAGGGGAGGCAUACCUGUUGAAUCCCCGCCCAAGCAUUGUCGUACUCUUUGCAAUCUAUGCUUUCUUAUUGCAAUUGACAGUCUUCAAUGCUUGUUUUAACAAUGUUUUCAAUCAAUUUAAUCAUCUUUCACGUUUUCUAAAAAUAUUUUCCAAGAACGUGAGGGGAGGUUGAAGCAUGUGUUAAAGUUGUCCGCGAUUUGUGGAUUUUGAUCGGCUGACUUGUUCGUCGAGCUAGAACAAGUGCCGCACAAUCGUUCACAUCGUGUUUGAAGAAUUACGAUUGUGACAAGUGGUAUCAGAGCCAGGUUGGCUAGUUGACAGUGCGUGACAGAAAGAUGUCGGUGGCGAAACAGUCUAGCAAGACCCAUGAUGAGCGACUUGUGGGAAUCGAAGAGCAGAUGCUCUACCUGGUGGAAGUUCCUGAUUCCAUCCAGUUCUUGGAACAGCGGCUUGAGGAUAUUGCCAAGAAAGCUGAUGGCAUUGAAGCCGUGUCCGAUCGCCUUGACGGACUACCCAUCCAAGAGUUACUGACUAGAGUCGACACUCUAGAGUCCCGAGUAAUGAAACGGGAAAUGUCGCCUACGAGCUUGGGGCCAGUUCAUCGGGCUCUAUUGCCCAGAUGGAAGAACGAGUUAUGGAGCUUGAUAACUCGCAAAAGAACAUGUUGGAGAUGAUCAACGGCAUGACAGAGGAUUUUCGAGCAACCCUCGAUGUCGUGAGGAAUGAGCUCGCAUAGGUAAACACGAGGGUGAACCUUACUAUACGAGAACUAGCAAACCAGGCUCCAGCUGGAGGAGCCAUUCCUGUGGGCAGAAUCAAGGUUCCUGAGCCCAAGCCCUUCUGUGGGGCGAGAGAUGCCAAGGCAUUGGAAAACUUCAUCUUUGAUGUCGAGCAGUAUUACAAAGCCACGAACACAAUUACUGAAGAGGCCAAGGUGACGUUGGCAACCAUGCAUCUGUCAGAAGAUGCGAAGUUAUGGUGGAGGUCGAUACAUGGACAUUCAAGAAGGGCGUUGCACAAUCGACACGUGGGAUGCCCUAAAAGGAGAACUUCGUUCGCAAUUUUUCCCUGAGAAUGUCGAAAUUCUAGCCCGACGGAAGCUGCGUGAAUUGAAGCACACGGGAAACAUUCAGGACUACGUGAAACAGUUUGCGGGGGUGAUGUUGGACAUACGCGACAUGACCGAGAAAGACAGUUUUAUGUUUUGUCGAGGGCUUGAAGCCGUGGGCUAGGACCAAGUUGUAUGAGAAACGAAUUCAAGACCUCACGUCAGCAUACGCAGUGGCUGAACGGUUGUUUGACUUAUCUAGCGAAUCUCAAGAUGCAAGACGACAUCAAGCUUCCUCCUCUGGAGGAAACAGAAACAACCGCCCAAAUUCCCCGAAGACUGCAGAGGGAGACAAGCGACAAGGUGGAGAUCGCAAGCCCUUCCAAGCGAAUACAGGAAACAACUGGCGAGGACCAAACAAUCAGAACAACUCCGGUCGUUCCAUCAGUUGUUUCAUAUGUAAAGGGCCCCAUCUUGCCAGAGAGUGCCCCAACCGUACCGCCUUCAACGCUUUUCAAGCUACCCUAGCCUCGGACUCAGAUGAUAGAUUGAGUCAGACUGAAGGAGACGUUGGACUGAUAGAAGAGGGUGAGAAUCCUCGGAUGGAGGCCUUAAAGUUUCUGUCAUCGCUCCAGAAGAAGAUGUGGGAGACCAGUGGACAGGCAAAGAAUGGUCUCAUGUACGUAGACUGUUGGGUCAACCAGAAGCCACCCAAGAGCACUAUGGUGGAUUCUGGUGCUACUCAUAACUUCAUUGCAGAAGCGGAAGCCAGACGACUGAAUCUCCGUUGGAAGAAAGACGCAGAAAAAAUGAAGGCCGUGAACUCAGUUGCCCUACCUAUCGUCGGGUUGGUAAAACGAACGACCAUGAGGAUGGGAGAGUGGAGCGGUCCCAUAGAUUUGGUGGUUGCAAAGAUGGAUGACUUCGACGUGGUACUAGGUAUGGAGUUUCUACUUGAGCAUCAAGUCAUACCAAUGCCACUAGCCAAAUGUCUAGUGAUUACUGGAACAACGCCUACUGUUGUUCAAACGGAGAUUCGUCAGCCAUAUGGGAUAUAGAUGAUCUCGGCUAUGCAGUUGAAGAAAGGCCUUGCUCGUGACGAUUUAACCUUUAUGGCUAUCCCACUGGAGUCGUUGGAAAGCUCAAGGGAAACAGUCCCCAAAGACAUCCUGAGUGUCUUAGAGAAGUACAAGGAUCUGAUGCCAGACAGCCUGCCGAAAUCAUUGCCUCCGUGGAGAAUGAUCGACCAUGAGAUCGAAUUGCUGCCAGGGGCAAAGCCGCCUGCGAAGAAUGCUUAUCGUAUGGCGCUGCUGAGUUGGCCGAACUUCGGAAACAACUGGACGAACUGCUGAACGCAGGAUUUGUGAGGCCUGCAAAAGCUCCAUAUGGAGCUCCAGUCCUUUUCCAGAAGAAGAACGAUGGAAGUAUGCGGUUGUGCAUCGACUACCACGCCCUAAACAAGAUCACGGUCCGCAACAGAUAUCCGCUACCAAUAAUCAAUGACCUGUUUGAUCGCCUUCAUGGAGCAAAGUAUUUCUCGAAGCUAGAUCUGCGAUCGGGCUAUUAUCAAGUAAGAAUUGCCAAAGAGGAUGAGCCCAAAACCACAUGCGUUACGAGGUAUGGGGCGUUCGAGUUCCUUGUCAUGCCAUUUGGUCUUACCAAUGCGCCUGCAACGUUCUGUACGCUAAUGAACCAGGUCUUCCAUGAAUACCUUAACAAGUUUGUGGUGGUCUAUCUGGACGAUAUAGUGGUCUAUAACUCCACGCUAGAAGAAGAAGAAAGGAAUAACAAAAACUGACGAACUCCUAUAGAUAGUAUUAACCUUUCCAUAUCUUUGCCGAACAAUCUUCACUCCCACUAACAAUGACUUCGGAAGCAUGUGAAUCCACUGAAUACACAAUGGAAGUGUCACCAACCAUCUCCAUCAAUGUUUCACCACUUAGUGCCCAUAACCUAAUGGAACUGUCUGAAUGGAAAAGAAAAUCAAAGUCAACUUUCUAAUUAAUUCAAUAUUCUAAUAUAAAGAAUAUAACAAAUAGUCCUCCCAUGUGAAAUGAAAAGUGGUUCUACAGAUUCAGAGAAGGCAAUAGAAAUCACUCAUUUUAAUAUCAUUUAAUAUUUCAUCAACAACCUAUAGAGUUUAUUAAUCUUUUUCUUUCCUACUAAAGAAGCUCUAAUUUAUUACUCUAGGAAUGGUCCUUUCUAACUUAUAUACAGGUAACAAAAAAUAAAUUGAAGAAAUACUCUGAGCUUUUCCAUUUAGAAAUCCCAAUGAGCAAAGACUAAAGUCUUCUCGGGAUUCUUAGGAUGCCAAACUCCUCUCAUUGGAUAGACAUCAAUAUAUCUUAGAUGAGAAGCUACCUUGAAUAGCCUUGCUUCCUCAGCAUAUAAACAUAAAUAUAUUUGUUGUAUUCAAUCAAAAAUAAAAGAUAAGCUUGUUCUGAAACCAAUUCCAAAAAUCUCUUCGAAAAUAUGCUGGGAGAGUUGUUGUUGUUUAAAUACUUGGUCCUUCGAAGGUUGGAAUUACAAUGUAACUUUUCACAUAUUUAUGAAAAGUUAUGAUUCUUAUUAUGAAAGAAUGAAACUUCGAACUAGUUCCUAAAGGUAGUACUUUUAGCUGAUGUGGCAAUUUGGAUCAGCCAUGUACGGUUGCAUUCCUCAAUGUGAGUGAUAAUCAAACCCAAACUACCUCAAAGGAAUUAUUUUGUACAGUAACUCCAUCUUUACCAACUUGCGACAUAAAACUAUCUAGGGUUCAUGGGUUGGGGUAAGAAAACUUUUGGACCCAACCCACCAAGUCUUUUUAUCAUUAAGUUUUCUUCAUUUUUAUGUCAAUUGGCAUGUAUUUUAUAAGCUUUGAGAGAAGAAACUUAAUAUAAAUGUAUACUUGGUCAGAACCCCGUCAUUUAGCCUCAAUUUUCACAAUGUAGAGGUAUAGAAUUCAGAGAGGUUAUUUUAUUUUCUUAAAAUUACUCCCCAACUGUUAAUCUAUGAUUAACUUUUGCUAUAAAAAAUUAGUCCUUAUAUCCCUCUUCUCGAAAUUUGACAAACAUAUUAAUCAGGCGCCUUUUUCUGAAAAUAAUUGUUCAUAUUUUUUUUUUGAAACAGAGACAACCCUUUUUAUUAAAGAUGUAAGUAAAAAAGAGACUAAUGCUCAAACUAUAGGAGAAUUAUACUAAGAGCGAAAAGAAUGACCAAAACAAAAGUACAGACAAAUUGAACAAAACAAUCAAAAUCCUGAGAAAACAAUAGAAAACUGAGAACAAAGCGAACUUAAAACCUUUCAACAAGAAGCCCAAAAUCAGCUGAAAAUUGCAGACUAAAAACUUCAAACUAGAUGGAAGGAAACACCAAGGGAGAGCUAACAACAAUGCAGCUUUGUUGAAAAAAAUAUCCCUCCCAAGUCAUCCUUCGAUCUUGAGUGAGUGACUAGAACCAGAAUAUUUCAUAAGAACUUUAGAGGGCCAAAAUAAUAAAAGCAUUCGUCGAACCUCAUGUGAUCCACUAAAACAAACCUAAAAGAUAAUUGGCUGAAAAACCAAGAUCAAGUUAUUCUAUACUCAAACCAAAGUAGUUCCACAUUGCUCAACAAUUGACUUCAAGCGAUCUGGAACUUCACAUUGUCGAGCUUGUGAGGGAAAUAAAGAGACUUGUUUCUCAGUAAUUAAAUCCUCCCUUGUCUGAAAGUGGUAUUAAGAUCAGAUUCUAGAGGAUCCUUAAUCGACUGAUCAAUGUUUACAAUGAGUAGUGGAGGCACUUUUGAUUCAGAUUUUACCGAAGGAGCUCAAGGUAUCGUGCAAUGUGAUCGAUUUUCUUGGGACACAUAAAUAAAUCUAACGCCAAUUGAAACAUAAGGACUAGUAUUUGGAGCAUGAUAUUUCUUCCUAUCUCUACAUGUAAAGAUCACAAGAAAAAUAAGAAUUUCACAAAAUAACAGAAAACAAAAUUAGACAAAAUCAGGGCAUGGCCGAGGAUGAGAUUAGAGAUGAAGCGGUGUGAUUAGUAUUUAUUGAGAAUGGGAGAAAAGUAGAAUGUCAAACCAAUCCAAGAACAUACCUCACAAAUCUUCGGAGAGACGAUCGUGGUCAAAGCAGUGGUUGUGGUCGAGGAUGAGAUUAGGGAUGAAAGGAUGCUACGAAAGGUAUAUCAACAAGAAGAAGGGUAAAACAACAACAUCCUGUCAAAAAUCACUUAAUGUGAUUGAGAUCUUUUAACAUGACUGCUUGAGAACUAAAGAAAAAUUUAGAAUGUGACUGAGAACUUUUAGCACAACCGGGCAGCAUCUUCAAUAACAGAAAAACAUGCAUAAUGUAGGAAGACAGCAGAUUUAAAAUUAUGACAGUGUAUUUAUGAAUGUCAGGCGAUACAUUAAUGUUCCAAAAUUCAACCAAAGUAUGGGAUGAAAGAUAUACAAGAAUCUUCCAUGAUAAGGGCAAGACCAGGAUAUCCUUAUCCAAAAGAAAGAAAAAAAUAAUCAACCAAAGUAAAUUCCAUGUAUGAUUGGAAAUUAUGGCCAAGGCGAAGGAUGAAGUGGAGAAUAGAAGGAAUAUUGAGCAGGGUACGACUUACCAUUAGCUUAGAUCAAAACCAGCAUCCGCAUUUAUGGCAUAAAGAAAUUUGUUUGCCAGCUGCUCCUUGCUGCAUUGAUCACAAAUCAUAGAGUUGUGAAAAUGAAAACUUAUGCAAGUUUUUUUUAUCCUUUUUAGAAAAGAUGUAUAUGUUUUAGUUCAUCCACAAAUCAACAGACUUAAUAAACUGAUGUAAUUCAAGUUGGACUUAGUUUUUCACAAUGAAUUCUCCACCAAUAGUGGCUAAGAGAUGGAGUAUAUAUUGAGGAUUGUAAGUAGUUACAAGUAGUUGAAAUAACUGUUUUUAUGAAACAGUUUUAAUUGCAGUCUUAACAGCUAAACAGUUUAAUUAUUUAAACUGUUUUACUAACUAACUACAGCUGUUUAGCCAUGGCAUUCUAUAUUACAUCAUUCCACCCCCUAGCAUGGAACUCGACCCGAGUGACUUAGUUGACAAGGCAGAAAUCAUCUGGGGCAUAGUACUGUUUCAGGUCUGCCACGUUAAAAAUAGGAUGAAUGUGCAAGUCUGGUGGUAGUUCAAUUCUGUAAGCGUUAUCUCAAAUCUUUUCUAGGACACGAAAUGGUCCUAAUUGUCUGUCUUUCAGUUUGUGUUCCAGUUGGAAAUCGAAUUUUUCUGAGGUGAAUCAUUACUAAGUCUCCCUCAGUAAAGGUAGCUUGUCUUCUCUUUUUGUCUGCUGCCUUUUUGUAGGACUGAGUUGAUUCUUUUAGGUGGUUAUGGACUUCUUCGUGUAAAUUCUGAAUCUUUUCUACCAUCUUUUCUGCUUCUGAGCUAGUGUCAAUAGUUGUGGGGAGUGAUGCUAGGUCAAAGGUUGUUAGUCUUGGCUGUUUUGUGUAUACGACCUCAAAUGGACAUUUGCCGGUUGAUCUAUUCUUCAUAUUGUUGAAGGCGAAUUCUGACUGUGCAAGAGCUAAGUCCCACUGUUUUGGUUUGGAUCCACUAAGACAGCAUAUUAAGUUGUCGACAGUUCUAUUUGUAACUUUUGUUUGGCCAUCUGUUUGAGGGUGUGAUGUUGUGCUAUAUUUCAUUCAAGGUUGUGUCAAAUUUGCUCCAUAAUGUCUUCCAGAAAUGGCUUAGGAACUUGACAUCCCGAUUAGAAACAAUGGUCUUUGGUACUCCGUGCAGCCGAACUAUCUCUCGACAGAAUAAAUUAGCUAUGUAGGUGGCAUCAUUUGACUUCUUACAAGCCACAAAGUGUGCCAUUUUACUGAAUCUGUCGACUACAACCAUGACUCAGUCAUACUGCCUUUGAGUUUUUGGUAAUCAGAGCCCGAAAUCAAUUGAUAGAUCUUCUCAAAUGGAAAUUGGGGUAGGUAAUGGUGAGUACAGGCCUGCGUUUAUACUUGAACCUUUAGCUCUUUGGCAAAUAGGGCACCUUUUAAUAAAGUUGUUACAGUAUCUUCUUAAUUAAGGCCAGUAGUAUCUCUUAAAGAUUAUUUCAAAAGUUUUAUCCUGCCCGAAGUGUCCAGCCAAUCCUCCUGAAUGAGCCUCUUUUAGUAGUGCUUCUAGAAGUGAUGUGUGUGGGAUACACAACUGAUCUCCUUUGAAUAGAUAUCCUUCCAUUAUAUGGAAGUCUUCCGCCUUGGUGUAGUGGCUGCAUUUGGUCCAUGUCAUGGCGAAGUCAACGUCUUCCCCAUAUAGGUUAGGUAAGUGUUUGAAUGCCUCGAUCUCCAUGGAUAGAAUAGUGAGUAAGGAGCUCUUCCUGGAUAGUGCAUCUGCCACCUUGUUCUCCUUACCAUUUUGGUGCCUAAUGACAAAGUCGAACCUUUGUAGGAAGGAGAUCCAUCGUGCGUGCAUCCGAGUAAUAUUCUUUUGUGACUAGAGAUCUUUCAAAGAGAAGCGGUUCGUUAGGAGUACAAAUUCCCUGCAUAGGAGGUAAUGUUCCUACUGUUUGAGUGCUCGGACAAGGGCAUAAAGCUCUUGUUCGUAAGUGCUCCAGGACUGUCUUGUUGUGCUCAACUUCUUACUGAAGUAUUCAAUAGGGUGGCCUUGCUGUGAUAACUCGGCUCCAAUUUCGGUUCCGCAAGCAUCAACAGCUACUUCAAAGGGUGAAGGAAUCGAAGAACGACCAUGAAAAAGAUGAAGGGAAGAGGAAGCCAAAUCUAACUGUGUAUUCCCAUGGCCGACGACUAAGGGUGGGGUGGUCAGAGACAAACACUUGGUGGAAAUGGAAACACCGAGCAGAGAAGGCAGAAGCAUGGGAAAGGAGGCAAACACUAUGGAUGAGAAGGAAGGCAAAGAAACGAUUGAGGAAGCGAUCAUUGAUACUUGGUGGUAGUGAAGAAAACAAAAAGAAGAAUCAAACAGUACCUAUGUGGAACAAGUCGACCUGGAUACGAUCUGUGAAAAUAGAAGAAACGGCUCAUUGGAGUGGCAACAUUGAGAGGCUGAUCAUAUAUAUAGGCCAAGAUUUUGUUGAGGUACGUUACUUUCCUUGCCUUUCUUUUGUGGCAUGCGAGUUAUAUCAAAGUAGGGAAGGGAUGAGGAAGCUAGGCAAUGAAGAAGAUGAAUAAAGGAAUUUCGAAGGUCAUCGGAGUAAGAUAGAAUGGGUAACGACAAGGAAGAAAAUGGCAAUGGAAUUAGUACAGGGAUCAUAGAGAGGCUGGCGAAUGGAAACAUAUUGGGUUGUGACAGAAAAUCGAGGCGGGGAUGAACAGAAACCGCGGCGGAGGAAAGAUUCUGAGUCGGUCACCGGUGGCCAAAAAAAGAAGAAGAUGGAUUGUCGAAAAGUCCAGUUACAGGAAGAGGAGUUGGAGACAGGGUGCGUUGGAGGUAGUCGACCUAAGGCACAAAGGGAGUUUGUCGGAACGCGGAUAGCAACGAGGCUGCAAGUGAGAUCGGAAAUUGUCGGGAAGAAUGCUUUGAUAUUUGCAGAGGGAGUGAGCAGCUACGGACAAAAAAAAUUCAGAAAGGAGGGGGAAGAUUUCUUGAAGAAAAACGAUUCUUCAACCCACGUGAAGCGUCAGACGUUAAGGCGAAAAAUUAGAGACAAUAGUAGUUAUGAUUUGUUUAGUGGGCUGAAAUUAAAUGAAAAGGGCCAGAUUUUCUCAAAUGGGCUUGGCUUAGGUGGAGAAAUUGGGGAUCAAAUUCCUAAUAAAUGGCCAGGAAAACAAAGUGGAGGCUAGGAGAAGGAUUGGCACAUGCAAACCUCAAUGGUUAAAGUAUAUCACGUGGGAUGGAAAUUAGGGAAAGAAUUUAAUCAAAAGUGGGCCAAAAUGUUGCUUUUUGGGCUGAUUGCAAAAGUAAGGGAUGAGGCCCAUUAUACCUCAAAGAAAAAUAAAUUGACGGCUUUAUCUAAGGAAGUGGAAAUCCUAUUGGAAUAUGGAUGGUGGGCCAAACAUGAGAUGAUAACAAAGAAAUACAGCCUUCAUAAAGAAAGAAAGGAAAUUAAUGUGCUUGAAUUUGCUAAAUUCAUUGAGACCCAUUUGUUAGUGUGGCUGAAAUGUAACUUGAAAAUGGAUAGGAAUUGCCGGAAGCUCAUUGGUAAUUCUAAGAAAGAUGGUGUAUGGGCCGUGAAAUUGAUUUGGGGAUGGGGUCAUAAAGUUAAUUGUGGGCUUAGCCCAUUAGAGAGGAAGAGCUUCAAAUUAAAAUGCAAGUGGCAUGGAAUUAGGCUCAGGGAAUGGCAGUUGGUUAAUUGGGAUCACUUUCCGUGUGAGAAGAAUGAAGAUUGGGGAAGUUCUUGGAGUCUAAAGGGUUGGAUGCAUGCAAGUGUAAUUAUUACAACCCAAUAGAAUUUCAAGGCAAAGCUGAAUAAAAUUUCUUCCGAGAUGGCAGGGGUAUGGUAGAGAGUUCAAGGUUUGUAGUUUGUAAGCACACCUUGAGGACAAGGUGUCUUCGAAGGGCGGAGUAAUGUAAGGACCCUAGAUAGAAAAAUAGUGGAUUAUUAGGAGAAAAUGAAAAUGGUUGUUAGUAAGGUCAUAUAGUAAAUAGAUGGUAAGUUGGUUAGUUCUUUUUGUUAUAAAUAGUGGGAGAGGGGUUGGAGAGAGGUGAAGAAUUUUGAGAAAGUUUUCCUUGUAAGGGAACCUUAGGAGAGUCUAACCCUCUCAAAAGGCUAGGGUUACUUGUUACUUGUUACUAAGAUCUUCUAAUAUAUAUUUCAUGUUUGGAUGUUUUUUAAGUAUUCUUGAGUUCAUCUUUUCUUCUUGAGGUAAUCCUUAUUAGGUGGGAUCCUAACAAAAUGCACUUUUAAUAUCAAGCUGAUGUAAAAAAGUUGGAAACAAAUAUUGAACCUCUCCUCUCCUCUCACCCACCCUCUUCUCUCUUCAUUCCGGCCACACCUUCUCACGGUGACGUCGACGGCAACGCCAAACCCGGGGAGUUACAACUCCAUCUUUUUCAGAAAUGGAAGUCAAAAUUUGAAAAAAUGGUAGACACUUUCUACUGUAUCUAGUUCGAAAAGGGGAGGUUCAAUAUUGAAGAUGUAGACUUCCAAAAAAUCCUCACUUUAUCCAAGAUCCAAUUAGAGUGGUUCAUUGAUUCAAUAGAUGUUCUUGUAAAAGAACCAAACUGGAAGUUUUUCAACAAAUAUGCGAGUGAUGAAACCGAAACAACAAAGCUAUCCAAAUUCUGAACCCCAUCUGAUUGGUUUAUGAGGUGUGUUGCUCGAAACUUCUCUGGAAUACAAUCCUUCAUCCAUCUACUCAUGAGAAACCAGACAAGGUUGGGUCUCCUUCCUCAACAUGAUCAGGUCCUUUUUAUUGACUCAUAAUUACACCUCCUUUUCAAAAAUAUCAAGCUGAUGUAAAGGCCAGUGACUGAUUGAAGUUAGUGAAAUAAACAACCUCACAAAUGUCAUUUUUACUACUCGAGAAAAAGUAUCAGCAUAGUUAACGCCAUGUUUGUGCGUAGCCUUUCACUACAAGGUGUACUUUUAAUUGAGCGACAAAACCAUCAGGAUUAACUUUAAUUGUAACCACCCAUUUGCAACUGAUAUACUUUUUUCGUGCAGGGAGAGAAACUAAAUCCCAAGUACAAUUAUCAUCUAAAGUAAUCAUCUCCUCCACCAUUGCAACACACCAACCAAGAUGAGAAUAGGCUUAAUGAUACAAACUCUAAUGAUGCAAUGAAAGAACAUGCAGAAGACAACUAAUGGUUAUAUGAAACAGAAGAAAGGGAAAUAAGAUGAGCACACUUAAGUUUACCUUUACGAAGAGCAAUAGGAAGAUCAUCACUCAUUUCUGGAAUCCAAUGACGAAGAAGCCUUAGGGGUAGGGCAUGGAAUUGAAGAAGGUUGUCGUCGAUCAUAGGACUUCAGUGAUGGGGUUGACAAAUAGAAGUAAACACACGUGGAAGAUGAACCACAAAGAGGAUUAGAAGGAGAGAUAAACAUUGUAGAUAAAGAAAUCAUCCUUUGACUCUUGAUACUCCCUCGACUCAUAUUCGAAGAGAGAAAGAAGGUGAGGGAAUAAAAAGGAGGAAUGUUCAAAGAACACGAGAAUAACCAAAAAGAUAUAUUUUAAGGUCUUUGGAUCCAACUUUGUAUGUUGAGGCCGAACGUCUUGGACAAAUCAAGUAUAACCAAUUAUUUUGGGUGGAAUGAGAAACAAAUGUUGUUUUGGGGCCAUAAGAUACAAAAAGGUAUCUCACCCUUAAAAAUGGAAGAGGGCAUGCAAUUUGUUAAGAAACGGGCUAUGGAAACAUCAGCCCAAAAAAGAAAUUGGAAAAUUCAUUUGAAACAUUAGGACUAGUGGUUUAAAAAGGAUGACGAUUCUUUCAUUUUGCAAACACCACUGACUUCAUGAAAUUAAUAAAUAGAAGUGUGAAAGUAACAUAGACAUGAAUAUAUAAGCUAGAGCAAGCAGCAAAGCAUGACUACUAUAUCCUGACUAUACCAUUACAUAGCGCUAAAAGAAAUUGUAAUUUUCUUUUUCAUUCAAUAUGUAAUUUGACGUAAUAGUAAUAGUAAUUCCUCUUUCAAACACAACCACUUUUUUUUUUCAACAAAGAGGACAAGGCUUAUGAUCCCUAAAUCGUUAGCAAUUAAGAUGCAGCAAAUAAGGUAGCUAAGAUGCAGAAAAUAAGAAAACACCCCAAAUCACUACAGUGCAUAAGAAAUCUAUCACAUAAGCACACAAAGAUAAAUACUGAGAGUAUUAGUUGAAACUUAGCAAACACAAACAGGGCAAACUAUUAUUUAACGUGCUAGUUUAAAUAUAUAUCUAAACUAAACUACACAAGUAUUUCAAACUGGCAAAACUAAAAUUAGGUUUAUAGAAACAACGUGUCCUCAUCCUUUCUCCUAAGGAAUGCUAUUCAUUAUGAUUUUAUCUUUUGAGUUUUAAAAAUAUGCUAUUUAUUAUUCAUAUCUUUUCUCGUGCUAUCUAGAAGCUAACCAAACAACAUAGAGAAAGUACAUUUGUAUCACUAAUCAAUAUUUGAAAUGAUGACGCAGAUUAAAUAAUACAGAAUUCAGAAAGUAGAACUUGCCUGCUAGCUGACUUCAGCUGCUCCCUGAGUUCCUUGAACUUGAGGUUUCUCAUGUUCUCAACAGUGAAAACAAAAACUGAGUUGUAAUUUUCCACACCCCCUGCCUGAUCGAUUCCACCAUUGAUUUCUUGUGGUCCCUUCCUUUUCUUCUUUGUUUUUGAUAAAGUAACUGCAUUUAUCCCACGAACAAUUAGAUAGAAGACUUAAAACACUAAUCUGCAUAGGACUAAGUUCAUAUUUUUCCUCUUUAAAACACUAAUCUGCAUAGGACUAAGUUCACAUUUUCCCUCUUUCUUUUUAAGUUAAAAACCACAUGAGUUUGACAAUGAUUACUACCACCACAAGUCAUUUAACUUCUUCAACUGCCUCAUACUUUUCACAAGAAAACUGCGUCAUACAAAUUAACCCAUAAUAAAGCUAUCCAAAUUCCGAACCCCAUCUGAUUGGUUUCUGAAAUCAGUAACUCUCAUGGAAGGAAAAACUUGGACAGACUGAUGCAGAAAUUGAGAAUGAAAGUUAGAAAAAGAUUCUUGCACUAGAAUCGUUGUUCCCUGCCAUUCUCGAAACAGCCUGAAUAGUCAUGUUAAGAACACCGAGCCCUGCACUAAAGUUGAAAGAGGGGAAAAAACAGCAUGUUGAAACAAAUGAAGGUUAAACCAAAAGGAUUGAACUAUAGUUUCCAAAGUUUUCAUCUCUUAUAUUCACGUAAUAGUAAUAGUAAUAGUAAUAGUAAUUCCUCUUUCAAACAACCACUUUUGUUUCAACAAAGAGGACAAGGCUUAUGAUCCCUAAAUCGUUAGCAGUAUUGGCUAUUUGGAGAAAAUGUUAAAGUUAAACAGCUGACAAUACCUUCCAGCCCCUACCACUACUAUCUUUUGGUUAACAAAAUAUCACUCAAUGGCGCCGCCCUUGAGCUCUCACAGUUCCCAAUAUGUCCAACGAGAGCAACACCAGCAGUUCCCUUUAUGAAAUGAAAUAAACGAAAACGAAUGUCCUUUUAAGUAAUUAUCAACUGCAUUAAUACAUCAUCAACUACUCACUUGUAUGUCAUCGUUGAACAUGCAGAACCUCUUACGAUAACGUUUGUAAUGUUUCAAAAGGCCAUUUCAUUUGAAAAUCCCUCAAACUGGCAUCAUUCAAAAUCAAAUUACGAGAUUACGAUACUGAUUUACUGGCAGUGAACACCAGUUAAAAAUUUGAUAUCUUUAACCAAUAAACCUGAACAAUAGCUUUAGGCCAACAUGUAUGCACGGCUUCCAUAAAAUCAUCAACAAUUGAUAGAUACUCUUCUCCCUCCAAUCUAGGUAUUCCUAUUCCCUGAACUCCAAGGUCACCGAGGCCAAGAAUACGACUUCCAUCUGUCAAGACAAUCAUGUCAACCUGUAGUUGGAAGAAGAAAAUACAAUGAACUUCAAAUAUGGUGUUGCUGGAAAUUAAAAGAGAUUUUUCAUUUUUUAUUUUGCUCAAAAUCAAUGCUCUUGAGCUUUUAAUGUCCCGAGGAAUGUGAAAGUUUCCCAAUAUAUCGUGUAUGGAAGUUUAAAACUUUUCAAAGAAAACAAGGGUGAUCAACAUACAAAAGCCUCCUGUGGAUAGAAAAAUUAAUCAAACAAAAAUUCGAUUGUUCUGUAGCAGUUUGACUUUGUUGUUAAGGAAAUUAAGAGUGAUAAGAAGGCGAGGGAGUGACUUUGAGUGGUGGCCAUUCGACAGCCAAGCAACUACACUCAAAGUUGAAGGUCGAAUAGGCAGCAGGAAGAAACGAAAGAAGAAGAAGAAGAAAAGUUUUCGAUCUAUCAAACAUGAUCAUCAUACAAUAGACGAAAGUCAUUUAAAUUAUCCAAAUAUCUUUUGAAGUAAUUUUAACAUUUUCAAAAUAACUCUUAAUCAUGCUCUAAAUAUGGAAUGAAUUGUCUAUCCAACUACAAAUACAAAAGUUUUUCUAAAUCACUCUAACUAAUUAUACAAAUUCCACAACACAUAGAUCACAUGCUUCCCAAGAACCCAUAAAAUUGUUCAAUGCGGCAUUUCAUCAAACAGUUGGUGGAUGGAGACAACAAAAACAAGUGUUUUAACAAAAUUAUCUUAGAAACAAACACAUUAAUAUUACCUGAAGAUGGAACUCCAAUUGAACAGCCUUGAAAAAGUGAUGGAGAAACAAACAGAACAUAAAGAUUGUGGGACUCCUCAACUCCAAUAAAUCCUGCAAUGGAAAAAUGGGUUAGAAGGUGGAAAAGCAUAGUAGAGGAUUAUGAUAAUGAAAAUGGGUAGUAAUGUUUUUCAGUAGCUAUCUUUUUCUUCUCUUUUUUUUUUCAUGUUGUUGAUGGUUGUUCUUGAUUGUCUUUAUUUAUUUAUUUUUUUUCCUUUUUUGCAUUUGGGAAAAAACAGUUUGUUGACUAAGAGGUGAUGAUGCUGGUGAGGGAAUUUAUUAAAGUAAUGAAUACUUUUUGGAGGACUUAAACAAGUAAAAGGACGAAAUGAAGCAAGCUCAAGCAACAAAUUUUCUGUUAAGUAAGCAUAAAUAUUAACUAGAGGCUUAAAUAAAAUAUUUCACCACCACCACCACAACAACAAAAAGCCCAGAUAUAUCGUCAUUGACAACAGAAACAGAGCAAUAUAAGCAAAAUACAUUACAAGGAAAAUAUGGAGAUAAAAGACAUGAAGGUUUCCCUUUCACUUACAAAGAGGAUCAUUAAGUAACUUCUCGUUGUUAGAACCAAUAUCUAGCAUUACUCGAAGAAUCUGUCAAUUAAACAAGAGUAAACUUAAUGAAAAAGUGUGGUUAAGAAAAGUUGCUAAAAAAUGUCACCAUUAAAUGAUAUUAGUAUUCUUAGAUAAUCUAACAAAUUUCAUGAAGAAAAGACUGCAGACUUGAGAGUUACCCCCACUAUCAGGAAUACUUGCUGAAACGGGAAAAAGAUAUCGGCAAAUUCUAAAUACGGCACACUAAAACUCUCACUCUCCUGGUUCUUGCUUAAAAUCACAUGUACAUGUCAAUGCUGAUAGUGCCUCUUCCACUGAAACAAAACAAAAUUUCAAGUACCAAUUAAGAUGCAAAAAAAUAAGGUAUUUAAGAUGCAGAAAAUAAGGUAGUUAAGAUGCAGAAAAUAAGGAAAACACCCCACAUCACUACAGUGCAUAACAAAUCUAUCACAUAAGCACAAAGAUAAAUACUGAGAGUAUUAGUUUAAAACUUAGCAAACACAAAAAGGACAUAAGCUUAUUCUCAAAUUUCAGUACAUAUACUCAUCAAAAUUCAGAAUCUCACGUCACAAACCCGAGCCUUAGUGCUCAAGGGUUGACAGUCAUGCCUUUUAUGCAAGAUCUAAGAAGCUAUGAUGCUCAUUAUUGUAAUGAAAAACUUUUGAAAAAUUUUUGAAAUUUGGACAAAAUUUUGAAAUCCCCCAAGGUUAGACUAAACAAGUGAGCUAUUAUCCACCCUUCACUUAAAACAUUGCUUGGAAGUAGCCCAACAUGAGAAGAUAAAACAAUCUGAAUGGGAUUUUUCUGAUGUAUAAUGCAUAUGUUGUUUGUUUUUUUUAGCUCUUUAAUUGUCUCGUUGUUUUACGUUUUACAUUUGCAACUAUCUCUUUUGUUUCUUUGGUACGCACACAAGAACCGGUGGGGUAACCUUUCUAUGGUUCUAGACUUAGUUUCUAAGUUUGACUGCUCCCUUCGGAGUGACAACAAGCCUCGUUUUCCCCCUACUAUGGAACGGGGAGGAUUCCUCCUCUUUUCAAAGCCCUCGUCAAACUCAAUGCUAAGUUUGACUGCUCCCUUCGGAGUGACAACAAGCCUCGUUUUCCCCCUAGUGUGGAACGGGGAGGAUUCCUCCUCUUUUCAAAGCCCUCAUCAAACUCGAUGCUAUGUCUAGAACGCUAAGAGUAGGUGGUCUGGUUUUGGUUAGGCCAUAAGUGAAGUUUCCCCUCAUUUUUUAUGGGAUUUUUCUGAUGUAUAUUGCAUAUGUUGUUUGUUUUUUUUAGCUCUUAAUUGUCUCGCUGUUUUACGUUUUACAUUUGCAACUAUCUCUUUUGUUUCUUUGGUACGCACACAAGAACCGGUGGGGUAACCUUUCUAUGGUUCUAGACUUAGUUUCUAAGUUUGACUGCUCCCUUCGGAGUGACAACAAGCCUCGUUUUCCCCCUACUAUGGAACGGGGAGGAUUCCUCCUCUUUUCAAAGCCCUCGUCAAACUCAAUGCUAAGUUUGACUGCUCCCUUCGGAGUGACAACAAGCCUCGUUUUCCCCCUAGUGUGGAACGGGGAGGAUUCCUCCUCUUUUCAAAGCCCUCAUCAAACUCGAUGCUAUGUCUAGAACGCUAAGAGUAGGUGGUCUGGGUUUUGGUUAGGCCAUAAGUGAAGUUUCCCCUCAUUUUUUAUGGGAUUUUUCUGAUGUAUAUUGCAUAUGUUGUUUGUUUUUUUUAGCUCUUAAUUGUGUCACUGUUUACGUUUGCAAGUCUCUCUAUUCUUUCUUUGAUAUGCAAUGUGGUAACUAGGUCUUGCUAGAACUGGUGGGCUAACCUUUCUAUGGUUCUACACUUAGUUUCUAAGUUUGACUACUCCCUUCGAAGUGGCAACAAGUUUUGUUAAUGUCCACCCUUUUCUAAAGGGAUUUAGUUCAUUGUGGCUAGACAAACGGCUCCUAACUCAUGUUAUUUAUUAAAACCAUCUCAAUUUCUAAAGAGUACCUCCUAUCCUUUUUUAACUCUAUCUAGGCUAGGUUUGGACUAAGCGCAUCAUAGGUAAGUCACGGCAAAGCAACAAAGGAAGACAAAGCUAGAAAAGUAUCCAUGCACUUAUUUAUUAUAUACAUGCAAUCAAGCAUUCACAACACACAUACCAUUUUCUCAAUCAAGCAUUCACAUCUCAACAAGAUAUCGCUAACAUCUCAAUAAGAUAUCGCUAAAAAGGGACGUAAACCAAAAAAGACGGCAGCUUAUUCUCAAAUUUCAGCACAUAUAAUCAUCAACAUUCAGAAUUUUACAUCACAAACCCAAGCUCAGUGGUCAAAGGUUGCCGGUCAUGCUUUUUAUGCAAGAUCUAAGUAAGCUAAUAAGGUAUAAUGCUCCUUAUUGUAAGGAAUUUUUUUUUAGAAAUUUUGAAAUUUGGGCAAAACAUUUGAACCCCCAAGUUUAGACUAAACAUGUAAGCUAUUGCCCACCCCCACUUAAAAAAUUGCAAGCCUUUGAAAAUCAAUAUAAAGGGAGAAGAAUAAGGGGGAACUUUGGACUCCCCUGGAAGGAUCGACAUCCUUGACUUUGGUUUGAAGCUUGCAUGGAUAAACCUCUUCAUUUCUUUUUCAUUGAUUAAUUAUCCUUGUUCCUGAAAAUCAAAGGAAAUUCUCUCAAUUUCAUUUAUUACUAAAAUUAGGAUAAUUAUAGUUAACUGUAUUUUUAACUCUUUUGGUAGUUUAUGUCUUGAGUGUGUUUUCAAUGGUAUUUCUAUAUAAAGUACAAAGUUUAGGGGUAUUCUGUAUAAUGGAACCUCUUUAACAAAAAAAUAAAUAAAUUCAAACCCAUGAAGUCUAACUAACCGAACACAAUUAGAUUUCUAGUAGCAGUAAUUUACCACAGAAACAGAAAUCAAAGGUUAGAAAAUAAUUUAAUGGCAUUUCUAUAAAUUUAUCACAUGAUCUUUCUUCUUUUUUUUCUUUCCUUUUUUGAUAAAACUCUAACCAUGUAGUUAAGCUUCUACUUGUAGCAGUUAAUUAAAAUAGAGACAGAAACUAUAGAUUAACAAACAAUUGGAAGGCCUCUCGAUCAAUUUAAUGCACAAUAAGUUCAUAAUUGUGUGUUUUUGGAAGUAUGAAAAACGAAAAAUCGUUAUUUUCGCUAAAGGAGAAACCUCUUCAUUCCUCUUUCGUUGAUUAUUCAUCCUUGUUCUUCAAACCUCAAGCCUUAAAAUUGAGGAAGUAGAGGAAAUUCUCUCAAUUUACUUUAAAGGAAGGAUCAUGUUCUCUCCUACAAAGGGUGUCUUUCUAAUUUUCUUAACUUUAUGACUUAAUACGGUACUGUUGUAUAAUGCAAAUCCAUAUAGAAGAAACACCAUUUAUAGCACAGCCAAGGAAAAUGAAGAUUCAAUAUAAUGUACUGCAAUAAAAUUAAAAUACUAAAGAAUGUGCUAGGAUGUUAGCGUAAGCAAAAAGUAAAAUCAAUGGCAAAAGAAAGGGAAAAAUGGAAGGGCAUCAACAAAAAAUGUAACCUUUAAGUUGCUAUUUCCUUAUCUUGUUCCCGCAGAAGAUCAUCCUUGGCCCAAGCCUGUGAAGAAAUUAUAGAAUAAAAGGGUUAGUGAAGAAAAAAGCAGAUCAUUACAAAACAUUCUUAUGUAAGCACAUCAAGCAUGAGGGGGGAAAAAAAAACACACUGCGUCGUUGUCUAAUUUAAUUGAUUGCAAUUCCCUAUCUUUAUCUUCUAUUUCCCUUUCCAGUUUGCGAAUAGCCUGGUCUCUUUCACCAAUGUGGACGACGGUGAGAGAUCAGCAUGUUGUUGUGAAACAAUCGUGAGAGGCAGGGUAUCGCAGUCGUCGUGUUGGGUUUCAACGUGGCUUUCGUAGUCGUGCUAGAGCGCACUAGAGAGCAAAAUGAAUUAGAUUGAAAGAGGCCGAAAAUGGGGGAAAAUAUUUAGAGGGAACUUAAAUAUUUAUUUCCCGCUUUUUCUUUGUUGUUCUUUUCCACAUCCCAUUUAAAAUAAUGGGCUAUUAAAAGUUCAUUUUGGUGUAGUGCUAUUUGUGUCUCGGAUCAUCCAUUUUCGUUCAAACUACUUUAAAGAUACAAGUAUGAUAACCAACAACACGAUCGAAAGAAUUGGUCUAUGCAACUUCAACCUACGUGGCUUUAUCAGGUUCACACACACAAUGAGUGACUUUCCUUCGUUUGGAUCCAUUUCGAAAAUUGUACUCUAUGGCCCAAAAUGAAAGGCCCAUCGUCUAUUUACUCAAAUCCUAGCAAUAAUUUAUUCUCACUUAAAAUUUUAAACGUAUAUGGAAAGUCCACAAUGCUCGACCCAAAAUUAACUUAUAAAAAUACCAAACCAUAGUCUUGCCUAUUUGGUAGUUAAUUUGAGUCUCAAAGCCCGACCCCAAUUACAAGAACACUCUCUCAUGAGAGACCCCAUUAUAAGAACACAUUCUCAAAGUUUUUAACCACUCACAUUUUUUAUCCACUCUCCAACUAGAUAAUACAGAAGGAAUUUAAUUAGAGUAAUCACACUAAAACUUAAAAUGUUUAUAAGUGAGAAUUUCUAAAUAAAUGAAAUAGGUUUCUUUUAUAGUCUUUGAGUCAAACUUUUCUAUAAAAAAAAUCGAUGUGAGAUAACCACAUCUUGCCAAACCCAAUACUUAAAAAACAAACAAAUCAAAUCAUUAUUUUUACAAAAAAAAAAAAACUAAAAAAAUGCAAGUCGAUUCCUAUUUAUUAAAAAUAAUAAAGAAAAACCAGUUACCAAAAUCGAUGUUUUCCCCCAAAAGCUCUAAUAGCUAAGGAACUCAACAAGUUCUACUUGACCUAACUAACUUGACUCUAUAUUUUUUAUGAGCUUUUUUUAAUGCAUAUUGCAUAUGUUUUUUUUUAUAAUUGUUGAUUGUCUCACUUUUUUAUGGUCUGCAUUUACGAGCCUCUUUUCUUUCUUUGUUAUGAACUGCGGUAACUAGGCGUUGCUAGAACCGAUGGGGUAACAUUUCUAUGGUUCUACACUUAGUUUCUAAGUGUGAUUGCUCACCUCUAAUUUUCAAAACACUUAAUUUCUAAGCACAUACAAUGUUCACCUAGAAAAAAAUGAAAAUUGUUGUAGUUAAGAUCAAAACUAAAUAGUUAUGAAAUAAGACAUAAGAGAUUUGAUUUUAACAACCUUCCCGUUGUACUUGGGAUCCACUCUGGCUUUGUGCUGGAAAAUUGGUUUGGAGCUGAUCGUAAGCUUUCAGUUGCUCUUCUGUAACCUUUAGAUACUCAUCAAAGCUAUAAGCUUUGCUUCCCAACGAAGAAUCUUCUACUAUUACAAUACAUAAGAAAAUUCUAUUUCAUAAACCCUGUAUCAUAAUUGAGGCUGGUAGAAUGAUUAUUCUAUAACCUUACCGAUAGUUUCAUUCUUAACAUUCAUAGACACGAUGCAUGGCAGCUAUCCAAUUCUAUUUCAUGUUCUCGAGAAUGGCUCGGUUUAACAAUAAUGUUAAUUUUUGUUUUCUAUUUUAAAAUAAUAACGCUGCUUACUAAUCCUUUUUUUUUCCAUUUGGCAUUCUACUUUUUCUACUCAGCUUUCUUUUCCCUAGUGAUAACAAAUAAUACGGGUGAUAAAAAACUUAAUCACUCACUUGGUUCAGCCACCGAAAGCCCUUCUGCUUUAGAAAUAGAAGAUGGGUUUGAGUAGGUAGAUUUACUUGCAUUGUAUGUGUUGUUCAUUGAACUCUCAAUUUCAUCGAGACCAAUUUCUCACUCAAACAUGGUCUUGCAUUCUCUAGAAACGUCCUACAAACAAAAAUAAAGAACAAAAAACUACAAUAAGGUCUAUGAAAAAGUUAUAAAGGAAAAUCUCAAAAACUGAUAUGUAAGUCAUAACAACCUUAAGUUCUCUUAUCGUGGGUUAAAAUGCACGUAAGGUUUUUCCAAGAGUCCGAGCAACCAGCAUGUAAAUAAGUUAAGUCAACUAAAUUUGCUAUAAAUUUACUCGUAUUAACAUUAUCAUUGUUAUAGACUUGACAACUUCAAAUUUAUCAAUAUAAAAUAUGCUUUAACAAAACGUACCUUGAGGUUCCUCCAACCUUAUUAAAAAAGCAAAUAAUCCAACAAUUUAACAAAUUUAUAGUGCAUAUUAUGUAUAUCAAUUGAUCACAACAAAAUAAGAUCAAACAAAUACCCAUGAGUAAUAUUUAGCCACCAAAUGAAUAAUGAUGAAAACCUGAAAACAAAACCGAGAAAAAAAAAAGGAAACAAUUCAUCAACAAAACAAAUUUAGGGGACUAAAAAAUUGCUUACCUUAUUACACACUUCAAAAAUAUUAAGAGAAGUGGAGGGAAAAAAACCAACCAAUAAUCAAAAAAUAAACUUCAACACAAAUAGCCAUAAAUUUUCUUCUUUAAAGGUAUCACAAAUAAGUCCAUCAGUAAUAACAAAAUAAAAAAGGGCAAUGUGCAAGAAUUCUGCAAUCGUAAAGCUAUGCUAAAGGCAGUAUGAAAUCAAACUUGAGCACUAACAAGAAAAUUUGCAAAACAAAAAUUACUAGACAUCAUUAACUAAAGUACGAGCACAACAAUGAAUGUGUAACCUCCGCAAGAGCAAACCCGAAUGGAGAAGAACAUGAAGAAAUAUAUAAAUAGAAGAAACAUAAAAGACAAACAUGAAACACAUGGAAACAUACAAAGGGGAUAAAUAAAAGUACAAUUAUGAAGUGAUGAAGCACAAAUACAGGUACCAACAGAACUAGAAUACAAGUCUUACCCUAUCUCGACUGUCGAGGAGUGUUAACCAACCGUCGGAAGGUUGGUUUUAUUUUUUAGAAAAAAUUAAUGUUGUCUGAAUUCUUUUUCAAGCCACUAACCAGCCCCUCCUUAUCUAUGAUCGGCGAUCAACUCCUCAACCUCUAAUUACAUUUAAAAGAGUGAUGCGAACAUUGUGUGAAAUCCCAAACCUUUGAUGGAUCCCACCAUCACUCUCUUUCUAUCCCCUUCAAAACCUCAUUAUUUUCAAGAGAGGCCUCAAAGCUUCUUCCAAUUAACAUAAAAGAAGAAUGAAAGAGAAGGAGAGAAAGGGAAAGUGGUUCAAAAGCUAUGGAAAAAAAAGUAAAAGAACAUGGUCUACUCAUUGGCACAUCUUACACAGAUGAUAAUGUUAGGGCAAGGCAAUGAGAGACAGAAUGCUUUUGGAGCCUUCUCCUCUACUUUCGAAGAUUUUAAUAAACUAAAAUAUGCAAAUGUUACAAGAAAGAUCUUUGGAGAUUUGAAAUAAUCCAAAAUAAAGAAAAAGGAAAACCCCAAUAUGUACAAAUUUCAGAAUCUAAAACUUGAAAAGUGAUUGAAUGAUGAGAUAUGUUUGUACAAUCAAUUAUAGAGACAGUGAAAUAUUAAAAAAAAAUGAAACGUACCAAGAUAAAAAGAAUAGCAACUAGUAUUAUGACCUUUGUAUGUCUUCAAAAUACAAACAUCAAAAUGAAUCAAGAGAUCUACCACACAAAUAAUGGUAUCAACACAAAUAAAGCAAUUGUUUUAUUAACAAUAUUUGAGUACAAUUAAACUAAGCAUGCUAUUGUCCUUGACAAAUUUACAUUCUUCUAAUCGAACAAAAUCUGACCUUUAAAUAGUGAUAGAAACUGAAGAUGAAAGCAAGUUCAGCUACAACUUCAGACCGUGAUAUAUAUGACAGAACCUAUAAAAAGAAGAGUACCUAACUAUAUAUACACAGAGGAGAUCUGACGCUUACUAGCACAUCGGAGGCUCAAUCGAUUUAUAUUUAAUUGAAAAACAAUACCUAUAUUUUAAUGCAUACACAUUGAAUAGCCCCUGUUUCAAUCCAAUUUACAAAACUACCUCCAUAAAAUUACAUAAUGGGGGAAGUUCGACCGGAUGCACUGUGCUUUACCAGAACCACAUGAAAUUAUUAGAACAUAGUUCAUUCAAGUAACUUUCUAUUCAAUAAUUGAAACAAAUGGAAAGAGGACAAUUGAAUAUUAAAUAAAGAUGGAAUUAAUUGGGAACUCACGGGAGUAAUGCGAUUCGUUCGGGGGCUCACCGCUGGAGUUGAAAGAGAGACAAGGAUUAGAAAGGAAAGGAAGAGGAGCGUCUGAUAAUCCAGCGGAUUCUUUGAUGAGUGGAGUAGUAGUAGUAGUAGUGGAGGUUCCAAGGACAUUGAAGUCAAUCCGGUGAGAGUGAGGGAAUCCAGAAGGUUGAGGUUGAAGAGAGUAGAAAUUGCAACCAAAAUCGGUGAGGAUGGUGGAAUCGAAAUUGCGAGGGAAGAAGAAAAGAGCAUCACAGGUCGAAGUAGAGGAGGAAUCAACACUGGUUAAACUGGUUUUGGUUGUACGAACAAAGAAGAAUUAGGGUUUGAGAAGAGAAAGGGAAAUGGAGUGGAAAACGAGUGUACGAACAAAGAAGAAGAAGAAGAAAUGGAAAGGACGCGCUAAGAGAAGAAGAUGGAGAUGGAUGGGUGAAAUGGGUAUGAUAGGGUUUCGAAAAUGGAGUGUACGAAGAAAUGGAAAGGACGCACUGAGAGAAGAAGAUGGAGAUUGGAUCCGCGACUGAGAGAAGAAGAUGGAGAUUGGAUCCGCGACUAAGAGAAGAAGAUGGAGAUUGGAUGCGCGACUAAGAGAAGAAGAUGGAGAUUGGAUCCGCGACUAAGAGAAGAAGAUGGAGAUGGAUCCGCAAAAUGGGUAUGAUAGGGUUUCUGUUGAGAGAUAGGCCAAAAGAAGACAAGAGAGCAAGAGAGAAGGGGGGAGGAGAGGGAGACUUGGCCGUUAGAGAAGAGGAGAAAGAAAUUUGAAAUGAGAGAGACUGUACAUGUAGGGUUUUU